rnacentral:lncRNA from 1 species
AAAUUUUGUUGUAGAUCUAAUGACUGAUAAUUUUGUUGUCAACUAGGAUAUACUGUUGUAUUUUGUUAUAUUAAUCAAAUUUGGGGAAAAAAGAAGAUGAUUUUACUUUGUCAAAUUGAACCAAUAGUUUGAUAAAACCUUAUUUGAGCUGCGCUUGGAAGAAUCGAACAGCUUAAGUUUGACAUUUGACAUAUAUGUGCCAGUCAUCGAUGUAUUUGCUUUUUCCCUGUGAUUGUGGUCUGUGUAGCUGAAAUUCGUAUAUAUAGGACAUGGAAGGCUUCUUCUGAAUGUUUCCCUAUUGCACUCUAGGAGCAUAGAUAUUGAUAUUUGACUUUGGAUUGAUGACUUGCAUCAUAUGGUUUAUAUUAAAACUCACGUUGUGCGUGAUUUGAUUCUCUCAUUAGAGUAUGCUUAUAUUUUGGUCUGUUUUUCACCAUAUGUUGGUCUUUCAACCAUGUUUAGGGGCAGUCUGCUCCUAUUCAAUUCAUCAUGCAACAUAUUUAGGAAAUCAUGUGAAUUGCGACUUUCAGGUAUUCAGUCAGAUCAUGGAGGGUGAAGCUAAGGAGCUAUGGAGACGCAAUAUUGGGGCGGGGGGUUGUUUUUUUCUAUUGGUUGGCCCACAUUUGCAAGAAAAAGUCAUCUGCGUGUAGAAAUUCAUUGAUAGGAUAAUGUGGUGUUCAGAGUCUAUGUAUCCACUAGUGCUACUUAGGACUAUAUUUACAUCAAUCGAGAUGAACUCUGGAAAGGUCACUUUGGCUGGUACAAAAUGAAUUCAGUAUUCCAAAUAAUAACUGCUUCAGAUAGUCUUGAUGGACCAAGGAAGUGUACUUCUACGUUGAUUUUGUUUAUGAGGUUGAUAAUAAUCCAAAUGCACACUCAUUAAUGCCACAUUCCAAAUCUGAAUGAACUGAAAAGGAUGUGCUUCAAGAUGUCCUUUUUGGUUUAUGCAUUCUUGUUAUAUUGUUCUUCAUUCUGAAUAUGAAAUCAAGUCUCAUAGGCUUAUGAAGAUUAUACAUUUUAUUUUUUCCCACAGGGAAUACCAAAGAGGUUCAUGAAAAUAUGGUGACAAUCUCUCGAAAGGAUGAUUUCUGAGAGAUUGGUUUGGCCUGUGGAAUUGGAAAAAUGUGAUGAGAUGGUUUGGCUAUCAAAGGGUUGGAAUGAAUUUGCAGAGCAUUGCUAUAUCUGUGAGAGUGUGAGGGCCAAUUUUUCGUCUCAAAUCUGAAGAGGACUCCAUUUACCAUGUAAUCAUUUUUGAUAAAAGCAUGUCCGAGAUAGAAUAACUGCCAAUCAAUGUCAAUAUGAGGAACCGAGCCUCAGCAAUUGUGGAAUUAUCUUGUUAAAAGUGGAAGAUGCCUGCAAUUGCCAUGAUGUUGCAGUUGAGCUUGAAGUCUUAGGAGAUGAAGCCAAGUGUCCUUGGCUUUGUAUGACGAUGGAAUUUGAUCAGUUUUGCGAAGUUCAUGGCAGUUCCUAUGCAUGUUCAUCAGCACGGAGUUUGGGGAGGGACAGAAGUUUGAACAGCUCAUCAUGAGAUUUUCCAAGUAUGAAUCUUUUUAUAUUAGCUAAUUCUCCCAUUGAUUGCGUUCUCUCAUUUGAUUCGAAUUCCAUACUGGAACUCUCUAGAGCUAAAUUCAUUCUUAUAGUGUUUCUUUGUCUCUGGUUCUCCCAUGUGUGCAUAUGUAUGUGUUGGGGCUUCUUGUAAAUUCAAGCGAAUGGAAACAAGCCAAACUGGUCAUAUCGGAUUUGAUUAUGCUGAGAAUUGUAUUGGCAUGCAAAUUGGCCUCAGGAAGCUACACUGUUAGUAAGACUCAGAACUAUUGAUUUAGGGUUGCUAUGUUGGCAGAUAUGAGUUUCACAUAACUAGAAUAGACUAUGCCUAGAAAGCAAAAAAUUUCUUCAUGUUCUUUUGUGACUGCUGCAGGUGUAAGCUGAGAGAGCCGGGCUUGUGCAGCGCUCUUGAACCGGCCAACAAAUUUAAACCUGAGUAUCCUUUGUCCGAAAUUGCAGUGAGGUGAAUACAUCUUAAAAAAAGACAAUGUGGCAAGAUACUCAUGACAAUGACAACUCUUGGGUUUAAAUCACAGAGUCGCUAGACUAUGUUAGCACUAGGUUAAUCGCGCAUCAUGUCAAUAGUUUCUGUUGUUAUCCUUCACAUGCUUUGAAAAGGAUCCUCCCACUAUCUUCCUCAGAAAUCAUUGGUUGUUUUCUUGUUUCUGAUGACAAAAUUGCAAAAUGUCUGUACUUGAGUAGAGAGUUCCUGGUUAAUUCCCAAAGACGCAUAUUAAGGAAAGCUCAUAGAUCACUGGUUUCAUAUUUCAAGACAAAUCAUGGCCAUUGAAGCUCAUCAGCCACGACCAUUAUGGAAACUUAUCUGCUCGUUGGGCUGCAUUCAGGAGAGAAACUCCUCUGCAGGUGGAAGACGUCUGUGCGUUCGAGCUUUAUCGGAAGGGACAAUAUCGUGUUCAAAGUAUCCAUCUUCAGAACCACUGAUAAGAUUUGCGUGAAUAACAAUACUAUGCAAAUACGAUGCAGCAGAGGCAGCAUCGGUUUUAGCUCACUUUUAGUGAGAACUAAACAGACAGAAUUGCUAGGCUGAAUUCUGCUUCUAGUUCGGCAAAAUAGAUAAAAGCAUGAGUUUUGUUCCAAUGAAUGAAAUGGUCCUGAACGUGUACGAUACCUUUCCUUGACCCUAGACUUAAUGAUCACCAUGUGGGCGGGAGUCGUGAGUUGGAGGGAGCUGAUAACUAAUGUCAGUUCUGUAAUGUCCAUUUCUGGAGACAAUCUUUCAAACUUGGUGCUUCUUUAAGGUUUCCGGUGGCUCGAUAUGACCUUUAGAAUUGUAAAUGGUAGUAACGUCGAAAACACUUCCCUUGAGCCAUAUACCAGGUCUGAAUUUCAAGGUGCGACCAUGAGUUUACAAGCUUCGGUGGACUUACAUCAGAUUCUUUUCAUCGUCUCUUUCUGAUUUCUUGAAGAUUUCGUGAUCAGUCUUUUAGCACGUGGGCGCCAAUUGAAGUUUGUUGAAGGGCUUUCGGAAUUUUUUAUUUUUUAUUUUUCAUAUUAGCUGAAUGUUGAUAUGCAUGACAAAGCAAAUAUGCUGGCGUCUUUGGGUCGCUGCGGCACGACUCUUCCGCAUACUCUCUCGACAGAUACAGCAUCCGAGCCUCCAGCAGUGGCUUUUCGUCUUAGAAUCGGCGCUCUCAGAACUCGCUCUCGCCGCCGGAUAAAGCUCGCCGAUUCUCUCUCUCUCUCUUCCUUACAAGAACUCGAUACCUCCUCCAAAGCACAACCGACGGCAAUGGAAAUUUGGGAGACAGCAAGAGGAUGGGAGAAAACAAAAGCGAAACAUCCUGGAGAUGCAACGUCCCGGCAAUUGCGAUUGUUGAUCAAGGAAACUCCGUGGUCAAUUUCGCUGUCGUGGCAGCAAGGCGACUGUUAUCUUCGAACCGGUAGCCACACUGUUUGUGCUUCAGUCGCUGCUGGAAGCAACAAUCGUUAGAGAAUUCAAUCUCGAUGAAUCGCUGGCGGGUGCUCCGUUCGCGAUUGGACUUUCUCUCCAGAUUUUCUCCGACUAGAUUUUUUUUUUUUUGCAACUUCUCUCUCUCUCUCUCUCUCUCUCUCUGGCUCUGGAUUCCCCUGAUUCAUCUCCACCAAUUCAGAUCAUGCCCACGGUGAAGCACACCAUCGGAUUCCAUAUUCGAGUCGUGACCACUCCGAUUCGAGUCGUUGCUUUUCCUGUCCUUACCCAUGUCUGUCGCCGGGCCAUCUCAAGCUCACGUGGCCAUCGCCACCGAACCAUCAUCAGGGCCGUUUCAUGUCCGAUUGAACUUCCAAGUCAAAUUCCGAUUCACUCCAAAAUACGUUCUGUUGACUCUUGCUUCGUUCUGUCCCGCUCCCACUUCAUCGCCGUCUUUCAAUUCCAUUGUUUCGCCCAUCCAUGCCACACGCAAAGGGGAUGCGGAGUGGUUUGUUCACUGUUUACAAGAGUUUUAUCCGAUUGCCAAGGCUGAGGUUGGAUGGAUGAUCAUCAUCUGGAUACAAUCCACCGAUUCGAAGGAUGAGAUUCUUCGGGUUUCGCUCUCAGCUCCCCUGCCGGUCCGGCCUCGCUUCAUCAACCGCGGCAGCCGAGGCCAAUCUGGGUCGUCAUUAUCAUCCGAGACGAUAUGCCAAGCGUGAAGAUUGGCGGCGGUGAGCACGAAGAGAAAACAACGAAGAACAAAAAGGAGCGAAGCAGCGGAUGGUGGUUCUUUGGCUGAGAAGGAAAUAAAGUGCUGAAAAAAAAAAAAAAAGAGACGAAGGGAAAAAAUAGAGUGCCCACGAGAAAUCGAUCAAAAGGAAGACUUGCAGAAGAGAUGUAAUUCGUCAUUCCAUCGAGCACCUUCCUUGCAAACUCGAUCCCUCCUCCACAGUGCGACCGACGGCAAUGGAUCUUUGGAAACAGAUAUCAACGGACGAAGUCAAAACAUGUCAAAAUUAAUUCUAGAAUCGAAUCGAAGAUGAAAUGACCUGGUGAUAAGUACGACCGUCGAUCUGACAUAUAUCAUGAUCGCCCGAAUGUUAGCGAGGAACCGGCUGUCCAUGGAUAUUUCUUAUGGUGCGAUCUUCGUUCCUCCGUCUGUUGUUACAGAAUCGUUUCACUUUCUCUGUCUCUCUAAGCGCAAUUCAACGAACACCUUCUGCUCAGAGGACGCAGCACUCAAUGACCAGGAAACUCCGUCUGUCAAGUUCUUCGCCAUGCAUCGUUUUCUCUUUGUCCAUCUUCAUUCUUCACUAAGCCUUCCUCCAUCAGGGUCGUUUCCUAUCCGAUUGAACUUCCAAGCCCAGUUUCGAUUCAUUCCAGAAUACGUUUUGUCGAUUCUUGCUUCGUUCUAUUCUCUCCCACUUCAUCCCCGCCUUUCGGUUUCCAAAUGCCGUCGCUCGCGUCCUUCGUUUCGCCCGUCUAAGCCGCGCACAAAGGGGAUGUCGGGCUGGUGUAUAGGAUCCACUGAUUUGAAGGAUGAGAUUCUUCGGGUUCACUAUCGGCCCUCCUGCCGGUCCAAGAAGCCCGUUGAAAGGAAGACUUGCACAAAAGAUGGAAUUCCUUGAGAGGAAGAUUCAUCCCACGACUCAAGCCAUCAUUUUCAUUUUCUUUUCCUUAGAAAAAGGCAUCAAAAACUCCAAACGACGCCAUUGCUGCGUCUCUUCGUUUCACAUACCUUUGUCGGAUCUCUCCCUCCAUCUCGAUGCCCUCCCCCGCUCAGUGAAUUCCGAGUCGCUCCACCAUCACCCUCACUGUCUACUGCUGCCUUGAAACCGAGUUGCACUCACCUAUUUCCAGUGUGAGCCUUGUGAUUGAUUCCGUCCCUUGCCGUCUUUAGAAACUUUCGGUGAUAAUUUUUUUUUUUUUUUCCUUCUUCCGGUUUAAAUAGCGUUUUCGUAUUGUGGAUUCUUACAUGUUUUGACAGAGGCUUCAAUCUGGUGGCCUCGAGCCAUGUUUAAUGCUCUUGUCAUUUUGCUCGUCAAUGGAGUUCAUGUCAGAUUUUUUUUUUUCCUUUUUUCCUUGUUUACAAUCGUGAAUCCGAGACCACUUGGAAACGAGCGAACAUUGAACUGAAAAUGUCGUGAGAAAUCGCCACAGCGAGCAAGGGUUGUGCAGAGUUAAGCUCAGUCAAACAAUGGUUCCGUUUUCCUCUGUUUUUUGGCAUCCUAUCCUAUAGUUACUUCUGGAUUUAGUUGUGGUGCAAGGGUGACUUACUAGCCAUUCCUGAUCAGUCCUUCGGUUAAUGCUUUUCUCUAAAUCUCGACUUGAGGAAACCUCGGAACAUAAGUUUUUGCAUUUCCUCAAAUAAUUUCAGUAGUUUGUCUCAAUAUUUUCUGUGCUAAGCUAGCUUGACAUUCUAUAUGGAAUCCAUCUACAAUGUUAUAAUCUCUUCUGCUAUAUGUGAGAAUACCCUAGAGUUGUGUAAUGCGGUCGAUGGUAUGAAAAGUGCUAGGUAUAAACAAUCGGUCUACCAACUUGGUGUGCAAAUGAGAUUUUUCCCAUCAUGUAGUCUUUUUGUACAAUCAAGUUACUAAACUUUGAUUUCAAUUGCCUGAUGCACUAACAUUAUUUUCCCCCCUAUCCAAUCAAUGCAUUACGAAGACUUUUCGAACAAUUUUUCUACGCAUUAUUGACGUGGUGUCUUACAUAUCUGAUUGGAGAUGCUAUUACAACGACAUGAUGCCAUAUGGGUCUCAAUUAAGAAAAAAGCCAAAAACAAAAAGUUUAAAAAAAGAUAGGGUUACGUGGCCCUUGUGUUACGAGGGGAGGUUCUCAAGGUGUAAGCCGAUCAGGAGGAAGCUAAAGUGAUCAUAAGUAUCUAAAUCUUUUUUUAUCCCCAUUAGAUUUUCUAAAGAUUUCUUUAAUUGAGUCCAUAAUUACUAUUUUCAUUUCAAUUUGCCCCGCAAAUUGAUGAAGGUCAAUAAGCGAUUUUAGAGUCAUGAAAAAUCUAGUUGCUAGAAGCAAGCCAAACCAACACAAUGGUAAUUUCGUCACAUAUUUUUACCGACACAAUCGUAAUUUCAUCACAUAUUUUUACGCUCAAGGGCAUUGGUUUAUUUACUAAAAUAAUCAUUACUUAUUGAAGUUUGCCUCCACUAAGAAAAAUCUCUAGAUGCAUCCAUGGAUCAACCAUAAUUUGGUCGGGUUUCGAUUAAGUUACAAUUUCUGAAGUUCAUUCCGCGAUUGAAAUGAGAAUUUAAUGAUUGAUUGCAAAAAUGCGCUAUAUAAUUCAGUCAUCACAAUUGAUUUACCCUAAAUAAGUAGGUCUUAUAUUUUGAAGGUCAGUCUUAGUGCGUUUAAUAUUGUUCUUUAAGUAAGUAAUAGUAAUAUUUGUGUUCUUUUGGAUAUAUAACGCAAUUCCAACACAAGUCCACACUUUAACUUCUGGCCUAGCCUCAUCCGAUCAAACUUUCGCAAAAUUCCCAUCAAUCAAUCUCAUUUUCCUCUUCAACCGAGAGGCCACUCGUAGCCACAAUCACCGCCUUCUCCCCAUCUUCAGUUGAAUGAAAACCUGCUGAAUGAGCGUCAUGCGAUCUUUUGCGGCCAUUUUGGCUCAGUCUUUGAAAGUUGAGCUGAAAACUUUUGGGGAAUAAAUAUCUGAAAUCAUUUGAUAUAGGACUACACACUCUGCUUCUGCUUUGGAAUCGUAGGUAAGUGUUAGUUUUUGAAUUUGUAUGUCAGAGAGAUGAACUACACACGUAUCCAUAUUCAACUGUUGAAGUUUCUGCUGUAGGCAAAGGUGAAAUCAAGACUUGAUUACGUGCAAAUGUUCUGCCUGGGUUUUCUCAUGUGAAACCAAACAACCUCAGUGUAAGCUGUGAUUUCUCCUAUAAUAGGUCCAGAAGAAAAUAGAAGAAAUGAUAGCGUAAAAUAUAAAUACUUUUUUUCUUUUGGGCGUUCCGAGAAAUUACUCGAAAGAGCUCUAUCUUUUGACAGGUGGCUAAAAAUCUGUUGUUUUAACCUGGGCCAGAUUUUUAACUAGUGCCAAUAUACAGGAUGCGGUGGCUUCUCAAAGAAGGUGUUGUAGCACUUUUUUGUGUUCUCAUUUUGACAUCUGUCAAGCUAAAAUAGAAUGUGAUGAAUGGAAAUUCACUAGCAUAUCUACAAUUUUCUUUUUCUUUCUAUAACAUUUCAAACUCCUUCGUUUAUGAUUGUUUUCUGUGAUUAUGUUUGUCUCCCAGUUACUGAUUAAUGUCUCUUUUUAUGUUACAUGGACUGCUGUGAACGGACUCUUUUUGUUUUCUCUUCCUAUUUUGGCUAGAUUGAAAAGUCUUCUACUGUGUUGAUACAGCUGUAGUGUUGCAUGCUCCAAUAUUUUCGGACUUGCUGAACGGUAGUUCUUCAAUUUAUAGCAUCGCCUCACUUCUUGCAUUGUAUCAAAUUAGGUGCUUUGAUGGUGGGUAUCUACUAUUCAUAACUAUCAAUUUAGUAAACAUCAAUUUUGUCGCAAGAAGCGUACUAUGUAUGCUAGUGCUUCAUUCUCUCUUUCUUUGGUUCUUGUAGGUAUUGGUGGCUGCUACUAUUGGUGCCUUUUACUUUGCAUAAACAAAAGGGAUACACGCUUACUUACUUCGAUUAGCUCCCACCUGAAGUAUCCGUCUCCCUCUGCACUCCCACCCUGUUCUUUGCUUAUCUUCCUAUUUUAUCAGUUUCUCAAUUAAGAGUAUUUGAAACUGAGCAAGAAUAGACUUGUGGUCACUCUUGAUGGUGAUAUUUUGUCUAAUCCAUGUCGUACCACAUCAUUAGUACGCUCAGUACUUCGUCAUGAAGCAACCAAAAACAGCAUGUAAAAGGGACAUCCUAAUUAAAGAAGGAACCACAAGGGCACUUCAAGGCUAGUAUCGCUAGUGCCUGCACAGCAAAAGGAAGAGAACUAUAGAGGGUAUAUCUAGGAAAUGUUCCAAUAUUCAAUGAGGUAAACCCAAUAUAGCUAAGAAGUUCACCCAGACUGCAAACCUAGAACAUCUGAAAAGCAAUGAAUGAUAUAUGUAUCCAGCCUCUGUAGUAUGUAGCGUUCAGCAGGAAAGCUAUGUCUAGAAAUGAAAAGCAUGUAGAAAACUACGUUAAUGAACAUGCCUCAGAUGGACAGCAAAGCUGAAUGAUUGCUUAGUUGAGCAGAACAUGCCUAUGUGAUUUAAUAACUUGCACAAUACCAUGUUAGGAGGGUAAAGAACCCAUGCAUGCACAGAAGUUAUAUGCCCUAUACACUUAAAACAUUUAGUGGACUGGUGAACCUCCCCGUUUGUCAUGAUUCUGAUCUUUUUUUUUAAAAAAUAUGAUCUGCGUGUGGAAUGAGCUACGAAACAAUUCUCGUUCAAUUGAUCUUACUGGAGAAUUAUCUGAUACUUCGGUUUGGCAAUGAUCUUGAUGCAAAAUCCUGCUGCAAUAUCAUCACCAUUUAAAAGAAAGGAAAAAUGAUAUAAAUAUAAUGGAUUGAAUCUAGCAUCAAUUGAAAGUCAAUCAACAAAUGUCCAAUUCCACGACCUCAAUUUCACCUCAGAAGCAGCUAAGAAAACUUAUAGGAAGAGGAGGGAGGAGCUGUGCAGUGAAAAGAGGAGGAACAGCUUGCUGUAGGAACUACAGUGGCAUUGCCAUGGUGGUAAUCAAUCCUCAGGUACAUUGGAGGUCGCACUUCCACCUUGUUCUUUGCUUCAUUUUUCUUUCAAUUUAUAUCAGUUUCUCAAGUAAGAGUAUUUGACACUGAGCAAGAACAGACCUGUGAGCAUGAACAAAAUGAUAACCCAUGGGGUGGUCACUCUUGCUGGUGAUAUUUGUAAAAUCCACGUCAUACCUACAUUGUUAGUACACUCAGUACUUCCUCAUGAAGCAGCCAAAAAGCUACAUAUGAAAGAGACUUCCUUAAAAUAUAAAAGAAACCACACGGGAACUUCGAGGCCGGUAUCAUUAUGCCUGCAAAGCAGAAGGAAGAGAAUUAUGGAAGAUACAUCUAGGAAAUGCUGCAAUAUUCAAUGAGGUAAACCCAACGUGGCUAAGAAGCUCACCGAAACUACAAACCUACAAAAUAUGAGAAGCCAUGGAGGAUACAUAACCAAGCCUCCGUAAUAUGUAGCGUUCAAUAGGAAAGCUACGCCUAGAAAUGAGAGAAUUUGCUCUAAGGAUUGGAAGCACAUAGAAAAGUGCUUUUCCAGACGCACCUCAGAUGGACAUCAAGUUGAAUGAUUAGCUUAGUUGAACACCCCUCUGUGAUUAAAUUCCAAUCAAACUGGUCAAAACACAUUAAUAACUUCCACAAUGCAACGUUAGGAGGGUAAGGAACCCAUGCAUGCACAGGAGAUAGAUGUUCAAUGCAUACAUUUAAAACGUUUAGUGGACCAUGUGAACCACCCUAUUUAUCAUGAUUUUGAUCUGACUACAUCAGCAAUCGAACAAACAUUAACAUAUAAGUGAACAAGAUUACAUGAUACAACCUCUUGGUUGAAGUGAUUCAUGCAGAACCAAAACAUACCCUCCAAGUUCUCAGUCUGUUCCUGUUUGUAAUGCCUAGCAUGGCAAUCACAAAAAUGGUGACUACAUUCCCACCAAACACUACGACUGUGGACACCAUUAAGGAGAAGCCAAUCCAAGAAUAGUGAAACUGCCAUACUAUUCCAUUUAAACUAGAAAAGACAAUGUAUCAAAUUUAAAUGAUAUAUAUUACUAAAGCACUCGAAAAAUCUAUUUUCAUCCUACACCUGAAAAGCCACAAACAGAGCUGCUCAAUCAAAAUCCCCUAAAACAACAUAUGCUCCAUUAACUAGUUAACGAACAAAUGAAACUACUUAAACACUAAUCAUCAUAUUACUUACUUCCAUAGAGAAUGGGCCAUAGGGACAAGAGAGAAGUGUGCGGUGAAAGCUUGUUUAAGUGCUGUGAUCAUUAUUUUUCUCUAUAGUUGUAGCGGAACUUAGCACUUGUGGAUAUAUAUUAAAACCAGUCACUGUGAGAGACAGCUCAAUGAUCACCGAGUCGAACUAAAAGGGCUUAACCAAAAAUUUGAAAGGCAAGAGCAUCACAUGAUCUGUUCUAAAUUUAGCAUCAAAAGUCAUUGCAUCCAACACAUAUCUAAAUAUACAAAAAUUACAUAUUGAGAAAAGAUUCAUUGAUGAAAAUAUGUAGAUUGAAGCCCCGAUCAAGAUAAUGACAAAAGAUCAGAAACACCACAAGCGCAAGCCGAAAGUGAUUCGUCAAAAAAGCUAUGGUUUGCAAGUAAAGCGAUUGGAAUGAGCUACGGAACAAUUAUCAUUCAACUGAUCUUGUCGGAAGAGUUUUUCAAUACUCCGAUUUGGCAGUGACCCUAAUGCAGAAACUUGCUGCGAUAUCAUCACCAAUUAAAAGAUGCAAAGGAAAAAAUGAUAUCAAUAUAACGGACUGAAUCUAGCCAUCAUCAAAAUUCAAUCAACAAACGCCAAAUUCCAAGACCUCAAUUUCGCCUUAGAAGCAACUAAACGAAAAAAAAAAAAAAACCUACGGGUUGGGGAAGGGGGAGGAGCCACGUGGUGCUAAGAGGAGGAACGGGCCACCCUAGGGACUACGGUGGCGAUGCCAUGGUGGCUCUCGAUCCUCAAAUACAUCGGAGAUCGGACAUCACAAUGACGGCGACGACUUGGUGUGAGACAGAGCAGAGGAAGAAAUGGAGGAGUUUCCAAGAAGUGCAGCAGAAGGGAUCGGAGAACAUGAAAUUGAAAAGGAAAAAAGUAAUCCUGAUUCAUUUGGGACUUUUUUUUCUUACCCAAUAACAAAUUUCAAACAAAAUUGCUUCAAUUUAAAUCGCUAGAAAAUGUCCAUUGCAAUGAAUAUUGACCAGUUGGCGAGUUUGAAUUCUUAUUUGAUAUUGACGUGAUCAUUCCACACUCUUAUUUACAACAAAAUCCGCUCUAAACUAGUUUUUUUUAGAAAAAAGAUGAUCUCGUUUUAGAUUUUUAUUUGAAAUUUUUCUUAAAUUAUGUAAUGGCUAUUUUAGGGAGAAAUGCUGACUCAUGCGGUCCUCAAACAUGAAAAUGAGAAGGGUGAGGGGGAUUCUGAGGGUGGGCCCCACCAUCAUCAGGAAGCUUGACAAUAUAAAAAUGGAAGAGCUGGACUUCAAAGAUUUGCAUAAAGGCUUGUUCGGUGAUGGUUAUUGAUGUUUCGUUAUUUCAAUUUUUGAUGACUUGGCGUGAGAGGAAGGAGAUGAAGCGAUGGAGGAGUUUCUAAGGAGUGCAACGGAAGGGACUGGGAAGAGGAAACUGGAAAGAAGACUUAAUCCCAGAAUUUUCUUUAAUUUUGUUGUAUUAUAAAUUUCAAACAAAAUUACCUCAUUAAAAUAGUGAGAAUGUCCAUUGCAUUACAAUGAAAAUUUGACCCAUGGACGAACUCGAAUCCAUAUUUAAUAAUUUCUUUUCAUUAAAGGUCUUUGUUUGAUAUUAAUUGGAUCAUUUCAUGUUUUUAUUUAAAAUGAAAUCUAUUUUGCAUUUUUUUUAUAAAUAAAUGACUUGAUUUCAGCUCUCUAUUUGGAAUUUUUCUUAAAUUGUGUAAUCGCUAUUUUUAGCACCGGAAAAUGCUGGCACCGGGGGGGGGGGGUUCCCGAUGGUGGGCCCAUCAUUAUCGUCUAUCCACGUGAGGUGAAACUCUCCGUACAUUUCUUUUUCUUGAUUUUAAACUUCCUUGGAAAAUAGUUUUCCAAAAAAAAAAAAAACUUGGAAAAUAGAGGAGCUAGUUUGACUCUUGGACUUCGACUUGGAAAAGCUUUUGGACUAUUAUCAAAGAAAAAAUUGUUGGAUGAUGAUUAUCGAUCUUUUGUUAUUUCCAUUUGGAAGGGUUUUGAUACUUUAUAAUCUUAUUUAUGUUGAAGUCUUCUUCUUUUCAACUAGAAUUAUCUACAUGAAAUGAUGAUUUUAAAAGAUACACAAUUUUUAAAAGGCAUUUGCUUAUAAAAUUUCUUGCCUUAAAUCAAAAGGAAGGUUAAUGCAAUCCAUUCGUCCCCUCAAGGCUCAAAUCCAACAAGAGGAGGGGGAGGAGCCGUGUGGUGGAAAGGGGAGGAACAGGUUGCUGUUGUGGCUACGGUGGUGUUGCUGCAUGGCUGCCAAUCCUUAGGUACAUCAGAGAUCGGACUUUUCAAUAGUGGCGACACGCUGGUGUCAAGGGCGAUAGCAAUGACUUGGCGCAGAAGGGAGGAGGGGAAGAAAUAGAGGGAUCAGAAAACAUGAAAUUGGGCCACAAGCUUAGACUUUUAUUUGAGGUUAAUUUGGCAACUUUAUAUCCGAACUUAUGAAGCAAAAUCGACACUUUUCUUUUUCUUGCUUUUAAGCUUCCUCUAUAUGAAAAUGGAGGAACGACUUGAACGAUUUGCAGAAAGAUUUCUCGACUUUGACCUAGAAAAACUUGUGGACUAUUAUCACAAGAAAAUUUAUUAGAUGAUGAUUAUUGAUCUUUCGUUAUUUCAAUUUUGAAGAGCAUCGAUGCUUUAGGAUCUUGUUUCUUUUGAGUUCUUCUUUACAACCACAAUUGUUUGCAAAGAGCAUUCAUAUGAUACGCAUGGCAAAACAAUUACCAAUCAAUGUUAUAUUUAUUCAUGAUUAGUCAAUUAAACAAUUUUUACACAAUUUCUAUUAAGGCUUUGUUCAUUUCGCGAAAAAUAUCCCGUUUCUAAAAAGUGUUUUCCAAGAAACCUUUUUUUAGAAAAAUGAUUUUUUUUUUGUAUUUGUUUGAAACUUGAUCAUGAACUAGAAAAUAUUUUCCGUUGUUCGGUUUGGAAAAUUCAAUUUUUUUUUGGUCGAUGGAAAAUUCAAUUUGAUUUCCCUUUGUUCAUUCAUUUUAACAAAUUUUUUAUUUUCUUAAAAAAUCUUUUUUUUUGUUUUUAUUUUUCUUUCUAUUUUUUUUCUUUUUUCUCUUUUCUUUUCCUCCUCCUUUCCUCCUCCUUCUCAAGUCAAUCGCCAUGGCCACGGCAAUGGCCGGUGAGCUCCAGGUCUCGAGCCUUGCCAAAUCAACAAGCGAGAGGCUCACACUCGUCGACUUGGCAAGGCCCAAGCUUGAGGGCUUGGGUCUCACUAAAUCGGCAACCGAGUGAGUUGCUCACCAUAGGCUUGCUCGAUUGGCGAGUGGUGAGCCUAACUCGUUGAUCUGGUGAGGCCUGAGGUCAGCAAACUAGGGACUUGCCUAUGGCUGGUACAAAAGAAACAGAAAAAAAAAAUUAAUUAGAAAAUAAUUAAAAAAAGAAAGAUAGAAAGGAUAACAUGGGUGUGAGAUAAGAGAGAGUGAGUGAGAAAAAUAUUUUCCCAAACUUAAAAGGUAAAAAAUAUUUUCCCUAUUAUAGAAGACCUUUUUUUCAUUGAUAAAAAAUAUUUCCCAGUUUAGUUCAUUUUCUGGAAGUUGUUCUUUACGAAAUAAAUGAAACUUAAAUUCCUCAUUGUUCCAUUGUGGAAAAUGGAUUUCAAGUCACGCCCCUUACCCUCGGCCAUGCUGCCAAAUGAUAUCAUAUCGUAAGAAAGUCCCCCAAUGUGGAAGGAGCAGCUUUACUAUUUCUAUUAUUGUAGAAAUGGGAAGUAGUCUAUGCAGAUCGAGCCAUUCUGAGUUGGUUUUUCAUGGUCUUCUACUUCAAAGACCUCUCAUUACUCCUAAAUUAGCCCACAAAUAAUUUUAUAACUAUCCUUUUUCAAAAUGGUGAUCCCGCAUCUUUUAUGAGUUAUCUGGUAAGAUCUUGAGCUUAAAUCGCCAUUGGUAUACCUAGAGCUCGACUAUGAUUGCUAGCGCUUACAGUACCAUGACCGUUUUAGUAGUUGAUGUCCACUCAUUGGAGAUUUUUUUUCAUCUAUAUUGUGUUUAUAAAUAAUCCAAUAGAAAACUAAGAUGAUACUCAUUAAUAACAUAUAUUAGAAAAUGAUGUUAGCUAUUAAUAUCUUUCAUCCUCGAGCACUUUCAAAUAGAUAAUCCUUGGAUUUCUUUGACUUCAAAUCAUCACCUUCUUGCUCUUUGCCCUCUUAUUUUAUCUUUUGAUUUCUCAUUUCACUUAUAUAAUUUCAUAGCUUGGUUGUUCAAACAUGUAAAUGUGCAGAGUAUUCCUGAUGUAUUCAUUAAGCAACAUAUUCAGGAAAAGCAAAGAGCAACUCUUAGGUUCCGACAUUGAAGUUCAUCAGGAGCUAUAGACUCAUCAGAGGGGCUCUGUCUCUGUCCUUUUGUUCCAGUUGAUGUGCAUUUCAGAGAGAAACUCAUCUGCGUGCAGGCAAUGUCUGCAUGAACGAAUGAACAAAGAUAAUCACCUGAAAGCCUGCAUUACUCGUUACUUGGGUACCUCCACGUAACAAUGUGCUUUUUCUUCUCGACAUUUAUCAAAAAUCCACAAAGACACUUCCUCAUAUCUCUAUGUUUUGUAUUUCCAGAGUCUUUAUGCUAAUUUGCGAUCAUAAGAUACAUGUAUACAAAAACAAAUGCAGCAAUUGGCCUAUCAUCAACAGAGAAGUUGCCUAGCUCACUAAUUUCCUACCCCCCACCCCUUUUUUAGGAUAGAAUGAAACAACACAUAAUAUUGAUACUAAUAACCAUGAAGCAACGCAGACUAAAUUAAUCCAACCCCUAGAAUAGCAGAGCACGUAAUCAACAAAUUGAAUUCAACAAGACUGAAUCAUAGACUAAUUACCCUCAUUAUCAAAUGGAACAACAAUUUAGAGAACAGCAAUUAAGCUAUGCAACAAUAGAUCACCCAUCAAAGUUAUGAGGGCAAAGAGACAUCGAAUAGCAAAAGCAAUUACUACUUCAGAGCAGGACGAGCAUGUCCAGAAUGUGUGAAUGGUUGCUUACCCUUUCGAACAAAAGAAGUAGACAUGAAAAUUUCUGAGGCUAAAACCAAAAAUUACAAGCUGAGUUAAUCAGAGCAAUAAUGAUGGUCCCAUCUUGCGUCAACGAUGUUAUCAUGGGUAUAUGUGCCAUGUAUUAUCUCAUUUUUCUGUGCUUAUGUUGAUCCCGUCAUAAAACUAAUAUCAACUGAAAAGGAGACUUCGAGUAAACACCGAUUGAAUUUGCGACCACGCAUAAUAUUCACGCCUUGACAACAACGCAUUCAAAUAAUGCAACUAAACAGUCUGUGUUAAGAAAUUAGUGACUGCCAAUCUGAAAAAACCAGAGGAUGAGGAAGCACUUUGGUUGGAGGGACAUACCAGAAAUGUUGCACGGAUCAUGAGCAACUCUCAUUUUGCACACCCUGGGCCAUUCUCGCAUCUGAUAGAGUCAGAGAGUGAUGAGCGAUCUAACGAGGUCAGAUCCAGUAAAGCUUCCUCUAGAUGGGAUGGCGACAUCUUCACGAGGCUUGGGAAUGAUGGGCACUGACUCCUGCUGCAGCUCCUCUUGAAACUAUAGGGACUGAUGUAUUGCCAGCCGACAUGUAGUUCAUCUUUUCAGCAGAAUUUAUAACUUGUUCAACUGCCUACAUAGCGAAAUUGAAUGUCAUAAACUCCACAACAGGCCUGAGACCAUAGAAAGCAGCGCCGAAUUCAACUCCAGCAAAACCAGCCUCUGUGAUCAACAACCCUCUCAGGUCCAUACUUCUGCCAAAAAAAAAGAACCUUUAGACACAUCAAAAGACUCUAGGAUCUGCAGACAUUUCCCCAUCAAACGCAGCAUUCAGAGCCUCCCUCACAGUCAUCUCUUUCCCCGCAGUAGCAUUACUACGUAAGGGCAUUUCUGCGGCACAUCAUGCACUCUCGAACUCGAACUUGCUCGCACGCCAGAUAGAGCUCGCUGAUUCUCUCUCUCUCUCUCUCUCUCUCUCUCUCUCUCCUUGGAAACAGAGUCCAGCUUUGUCAUUCCAUCAAACACCUUCCUUGCAAACUCGACAGAUUUUUCUCCGACCAGAUUUCUUUUUCGCAUCUCUCUCUCUCUCUAUACAUAUACAUAUAUCCAUAUAUGUAUAUGUAUAUCAUCCCCACGGUGAACAACACCAUCAGAUUCCAUACUCGAGUCGCGGCCACUCUGAUUCAAGCCGUCGCUUUCCUAUCCGUGUCCAUGUCUGGACCAGAUUUAUCUUUGGCCGGGCCAUCCCGGGCUCACGCCGCCGUCACCACUGAACCAUUAUCAGGGCCGUUUCAUUUCCAAGACGAAUUUCGAUUCACUCCAGAACAUGUGCUGUCAACUCUUGCUUCGUUCUGUUCGCUCCCACUUCAUCGCCGGUUUCCACCGUUUCGCCCGUGCACGCCACGCGCAAAUGGGGAUGCGGGGUGGCGUUCGCUGUUUACAAGAGCCUUUUAUCCGAUUGCCAAGGCUGAGGUUGGAUGGAUCAUCAUCAUCAUCAUCAUCUGGAUACGAUCCGCCGAUUCGAGGGAUGAGAUUCUUUGGGUUUCGCUCUCAGCACCUCCAACGGUCCCGCGUCGCUUCGUCAACCGCAGCAGCCGAGGCCAAUCUGAGUCGUCGUCGUCGUCAUCCGAGACGAUACGCCGAGCUUGAAGAUUGGCGGGGGCGAGCAUGAACAGAAAAGCAAAGGAGAAUUAAAAAAGACGCCGGUGGUUGUUCUUUGGAUGAUUAAGGAAUUGAGUUUGAAAAUAAAAUAAAAUAAAAUAAAAGGGCAAAAAGAAACCCACCGUCCUUUUCGGAAAAGCCGGCAAAAAAUGUCAAAUUAUAUUCAGUUUUCGUCGUGCUGAUUUUUCUUUUUGUUAUGUCAAAAGCUCAAAAUUAUAUCCCUCUAAAUUUUUUUCUUCGUGUCAAAAAUCCUAAAUUUAUAUUAAUAUGACACAUUAAACUUCUAUCAAAAUUUCGUUUGAUAAUUUUCUAUAUUUUUUUUUGGUCGAAGUUGUUCUUAUUCAAUUUUACGUCAAUAUCAUUUACCUUCAAUUUUCUAACAAUACUUAUUGAUAGAGAACAAACGUGUCACAUAAGUAUAAUUUGAAAUCUUUGAUGAUACAAAAAAAAAUGAGAUAUAUGUGUUAAAGUGAGCAUAGUUUUGGAUAUUUGAUGGCUUUUGCCCUUUUUUUCUCAGCUUCAUGAACAAUCAGUCAUAACUCAGAACCAAGAAAACAUUAAUCUCUCUCAUGAAAGCAAGCAUUAACUUGUCGCCUGCCUGGCGAGUUGUUCUUGUCCCUUUUACCGUUAGGAAGGCGUUUUUUCUUUAGAUUUGCUCAUACGAUGAAUUUGCAGCUUAAAAUCUGCUUAUGUAAAUCGCACAAGUCUAUCAACCGCAACUUGUUCUCACUUGAAUAAGCAGUGUUUUAAUGUCACUUGUGAAAAGAAAAUUCCACUUUUAUCUCUCGAACUUCAAUUGAGUAGAAAUAUAUUUAAUGCCGAUAGCUAAUUCGACUUAAGAUUUCUAUUUAAAUUCCUUCUUAUUGAAAAAUUGACCCAAUGUUAUUGCUUGUUAAGGGCGGACAACGACCAAUGGCGUCGGAAAUGAUUGGAUUCCAAGAUUUCAAGAAAUCUUCGACUGGGAAUGGAUCGUCGUUUUAUUACCAUAUAGGGUGGGCUAGAGAAGCCGAUUGGGCUUGAUGGACCUGACGAAAUUUUAUCUCGUGAGAACUAUGUGAAUUGGGCCACGAACCAGAAAAGCCUCCAUUUUGAAACCCCAUUAUAUUCUAAAUGUUUUUUUGGUUUCUAAAUUUGUUUAUUCUUUAUUUGUUUUUUUAUCUAUUCUUUUUUCGCUCUCUUUUGUUGUUUUUGCUAUUUUCUAUUUUUGUACUUUCAUAGGAAUAACUGCUUGAAUUGUUGACAAAAAUUCAGGUGUUAACAACAUGCGUGAUAACACUAAGGUCAGUGCCAUGGAAAGCUCGGUAUUUUCAUAAAUUGAUUGAUUAACAAGUGCCUUUUGCAUUGACUAGCACAUUCCCCAAAAAUAUUUUCUGCAAAACCAAAAAUCUUAAAGAGGGCGGGAAGAAAAAGCUCCUCCCUCCUAAAAAUAAGCCAAAUUUAAGAGUAUAAGAAUCAAAAUUAAAUUCUAUAUCGGCAUUACCAACAAUUUUUAUUAAAUUGUUACUCCCCCAUCUCCUUGCGGACUCAACUCUAGCUCUGAUACACAUGAAGUAAUUUGAAUGUGAUAAUUCUUAUUUUUGGACCCAAGAUCUACCAUUAUUUAAAAUGGAGGAGUAUCAGAGAAAGCUUCUCUUGCUAGUGCAAAAAUGUGAGCAAAAUCAUGAGAUAGGGCUUCGCUUCUGAGCCAAAAGAGGGUCGGCUAGCAAGUCCAAGUUGAAGAUCGGUAGCAUGGAGCUUCUUCCGUCAACAAAGCCCUAAAUCCAAAAUGUUCAAGCACCACACUGUCAAUUUAUGGGGAAAUUUGAAGAGAUAAGGCUUCUUGAAUAUUCUAUCUGCGUUGCUUCAACUGAUUAAGUAUAGAUAGAUUCUCCAAUUUUUCUUCGAACAAAGGAUUUUACCAAUCUUCUCUUUCUGAUGGUAACAACUAGAGGUGUCAAUGAGGUUGGUUUUCAAUGGGCUUGUUGUCAAUGCAUAUUGUAAAUCUUGCUAUGAGAAUGAGUAAUUUGCUUUUGAUGCUUGAUUGUGCAUUGCUUCCCGAAAAGACCUAAUGCAAAGAUACUUAAUGUUUUAUAAGAGAUGAUUGUGGAUUUAUUCGAAUAGAAGGAGAAGGUUUGACUGAUAGAGGCUAGAGAAAAAGUGAGAUCUUGAGAGGAUAACAAAUCUUGAAGAGAAGAUUUGGAAGAACAAAGUUUUUUGAAGAGGAUAUAUCUAGAGGGAAAUCUUGCUUCUUAUCAACAUGAGUCAGGGAUGGAAUGACUACGUGAUUGGAAUUUGGUUUGAGUUGGAGAUGUCAAAGAGAGAAUCAAAGGAGAGGACUCGUGUUGGAAAGAUAGUUUUACUUGUGACGUUUAUACUAACAAUCCUAAGUGUUGAAGUAAAAAUAAAAAGUUGUUUGACAAUCACUAAAUAUUUGGAAUUCCUUUCCAAACAUAGAACUAUGAUCAUAACCAGUAGGCCAUAAUCAUACAAUUGGGAAAUUCUAAUUAUUAUCAAUUGUUUGAAAGGUCUUGUGUUGAUUGCUUACUGGUUAGGUGGUGUUUUACGGCUUUGCUCUAGGAUUGGCAAACGGUUUGGCUCGGCUUGAGCACAACACGGCCCUCAGUAGCCAUUUGGUUGGCUCCGAAUAAUUAAAAAUGGCCCAAAGGGCCAGGCCCUUGGAGCAAAGAAUUUUUUUUUUUAAAUGCUGGCAUGAAAUGAGCACUUUAGUUUAGUCAUUUAGAAGUCUGGACAUGAUUUGAGCAAAAAAGUCAUGAAUACUUAGAAAAAAUGGAAGAGUCUAAUCUAAUGUAAAGGAACUUCUACGCACUCCUUUAUUAUCUUAGCACUAAAUAAUUCAUGAGCAUUUAAAAAAAUGUUUUAUCAUAGAUAUUACUUUAAAUUAUAUUGUAUUGGACAAAUCAUAAUAUUCAGGUAUACACAUAAUUGAGCAGUACAAAUAUAAUGAGUAGGCUAAACUCAUCCAUGAAAUGUAUGCUGACUCAACAUAAAUUUGGAUACAUUGCACUCAUGAAUUAUUGCUAAAAAAAAAAAUUGAUAACAGCAGAUGCACUAAACCACUUGACUUUGUCUGGGAGCACAUGAGAUUUGCCACAUAGUUAGUCAUAUUAAUUACACUAAAUGUUUCAUAAGAUCCAUAUAAUUUCAUAAUUUAAUACUACAUAACUUUAUUAUGUCUUUAGCUCAUUCAAAGAGAAUCAACAAAGUGAAUUAGACUAUGGGCGUGCAUGGAAACGUUUCUAAGAAACGUUUUCGGCACACUUCUGUACGGAAAGUGUGCCCGGGAACAAAAAAGGAACAGAAACGCGUUUGGUUGCGUUUCUGUUUCUUUUUUGUUUUUUUGUUUCUGAAACGAAAUAAGAACAAAAAAAAAAGAAACAAAAAAAAGUUGUUUCUUUUGAAAAGAAACACUUCUUCAACGGAACAAAAGAACAAAAACCAAAGAAGCAAAAGAACAAAAUCGGAACAAAGGCGACGAACUCUUCUCCUUCGUGCGUGCUCGUCGCUCCUCUCGUCGGCUGAAGCUUCAUUCUUCCUUUUCCGGCGUCUCUCCCAUCUCUCCGGCGGCUCCCACUCGGCUGACUCUCCGGCGAUUCCUCACUCCGGCGACUCCAGGUACGUUUCCGGUCAGCGUUGCUCCCCGUUCGGCCCUCCUCCUCCGGUCAGUGUCACUUCCCGUUCGGCCCUCCUCCUCCGGUCAGCGUCGCUCCCCCUUCGGCGCUCCUUCUCCGGUCGGCACUGCUCCCCCUUCGGCGCGGCAAGCCGUCCCUCGAGCGAGCGUUGCUCGCCCAGAUCUGCCGCGCCGAAGGGGAGCAACGCUCACUCGAGCUGCAGCUCGAUCUGCAGCUCGUCGAGCUCGCCCUUCGCUCGCUCGAGCUCCAGCUGGUGCGAGCUCACUCGAGCUCAAGCUCCAGCUGCUGCGAGCUCGAGCUGCAGCUCGAUCUACUGCGAGCUCGCUCGAGCUCGAGCUGCAGCUCGAUCUGCUGCGAGCUCCAGCUGCUGCGAGCUCGCUCAAGCUCGAGCUCCAGCUGGUGCGAGCUCGCUCGAGCUCGAGCUGCAGCUCAAUCUGCUGCGAGCUCGCUCGAGCUUGAGCUGCAGCUCGAUCUGCUGCGAGCUCGAGCUGCUGCGAGCUCGCUCGAGCUCGAGCUGCUGCGAGCUCGCUCGAGCUGGAGCGAGAGCUGCUGCGAGCUGCUCGAGCGAGAGCUGCUGCGAGCUGCUCGAGCGAGCAGCAGCAGCUCGAGCUGCAGCUGCUGCUCCAGCAGCUCCUCCAGCAGCUGCAGCAGCUCCAGCUCCAGCUGCAGCUGCAGCAGCAGCUCGAGCUGCUCGAGCGGCAGCAGCAGCUCGCCUGAGCUGCAGCUGCAGCUGCUGCAGCAGCUCGAGCUGCUCGAGCAGCAGCUGAUGCAGCUGCUCACUCGUGCAGUUGCAGGAGCAGCUCGCUCGAGCUGCUCGUGCAGCUGCAGGAGCAGCUCGUGCAGCUGCAGCAGCAGCUCGCUCGAGCUGCUUGUGCAGCUGCUGCAGCAGCUCGAGCUACUCCAUUCUCAAUCUCAUGUUGAAUGAGUCUAACUGUCGUUCCUCCUGCGUCAUCAUUUUGAUGCUCUCCGAUGCAGUCGCUUUCGCCUGCUCAUUUUCCCGACUCGAGCUUGAGCCCAUCUGAAAAUUCUAACUUUCUCGCCCUGCCGUUUUCAGGGUGCCCUGUCUGAAGCGGGGCGGCAUCAGGUUCACGAUCAACGGCUUCCGAUACUUCAACCUGGUGCUGAUCUCCAACGUGGCGGGCGCAGGGGACAUCGUGAGGGUGAGCGUCAAGGGUUCGCGCACGGGAUGGAUGAGCAUGAGCCGCAACUGGGGCCAGAACUGGCAGUCCAACGCCGUCCUCGUCGGCCAGUUCCUAUCGUUCUGGGUCACCGGCAGAGACCGCCGCACCUCCACCUCCUGGAACAUCGUCCCCGUUGGCUGGCAGUUUGGCCAGACCUUCACCCACAAGAACUUCAGGGUUUGACUCCAGCGUUGACCGGGGCUCAUUUUAUCAAGAUUUUUAUUUAAGGGAGACAACAUUAGGGUCCGAGACUGAUGGUUUUCUGAUUAUUGUAAGGCAAGUGAGGUAUAGAAAUGUAGCUGAAGUGGCCGCACGAACGCAUUGUAGCCCGCAGCUUAUGAUAGUGAUAGAGGGUGUGAUAUAUUUAUACUUUUGAUAUGGGUGUAUAAGUCUCGAUGACCCUAUUAUAAAUUAUAAUCAUAUGAUUUGAGAAAGUUUGUGUUUUCGUGGUCUACGUUUGGUAUUUGGAAUGGUGUUAUCUUGCUUAAGAUUGAAGGUUGGACUAGCUUAAAAAAUGUAUUUUAGUUGACUGAAAAGUGAAUAAUGUCCAUCAUGUGUUUGCAAAGUGCACCGUGUCUAUGCGAGAUAAUUACUAAAAAAAACAAAAUCCUAAAUUCAUAAUGCAUAUGUCAAAGUAAUCCUAAACUUUAUUAAUUUAGUCAAUUUAACUAUAAAUUUUUUUUUAUGAUUUAUCAAUGUAGUCAUUUCAGUUAAUUUUGGUUGAAAAUCAAAGGCGUGGACAAAAUAAAAUUAAUGAGCAUUUUAUAAGAAUGACAAUUCAAUAUCAAUUUUAAAUUUAUUAAAAAAAUAAUAAAUAAAAAAAACAGAAAUUUUUUUGUCGUUACCAAACGUGUUUCUGUUCUUUUUCUAUUCUAGGAACAAAAAUUGACUGCAGUUAUCAAACAUGUUUCUGUUCUUUUUUUAUUCCAAGAACAGUUUUUUUUUACACUUACCAAACGCGUUCUUUUGUUCAGAAAUUGUUCCCCGGAACAGAAACACUUUUUUUUGUUUCUGUUCCCAGGAACAAAAAAGAAACAGAAUUGUUUCCAUGCGCAGCCUAUAUCUCCUGGAUGAAAACUGGCCUUAAGUUCUCUUGGGAAGCAACUUCCACAUGUCGCUUCUUGGUGGCCUGUGUUCCUCGAACCACUAUCAAUCCUUUUUUCGCUUCUUUUUAGGGUUUUACUGUCAAGCAUCUUUGCCUCGAUCACCGCGUAAUCUAUUUGUCCUUUUUUCAGACUAUAAUGUUAUGAAUAUCUUCAUAGGAUUCCCAAUCGAUAAAGCUCUGUCAUUGGAAAAAAACCAUGCGCGUUGCUCGGGUCCACAAGAUGCAAUAAUUUGACUAGUUAUUAGAUAUAUGGGGUGUCCCUACUCCCUCUCGAGUCCACAUUCAUAUAGUUAAGGUUGUGAAUGUACAUAUUAUUGUGUUCUCUCAUUCUAUGUGCUUAUAUUAUGGUCUUUCAUACUUAUAUGUUACUUGUUCAAAUAUGCAUGUGGAUAGACAAUUCUCUUUGUAUUCUUCAAGGGAUAUAUUGAGGGAAAUAAUUGAAUCACAACUUUGAGUCAUUUAGACAUCAUGCACGAUGAGAUUGAGGAUUCAUCCCAUCUUAUCAAAAAGAUGAGGACUAAAUUACAUUUUCAUUUUUCUUUGUUACAUUCAACUGCAAUCACAAGAGUUUGGUAAAGUUGCUUGUAGUUUUAUAAGUCCUUUUUUCCUUCAUAUUGCCAUCUUUUAAUUGUUGUUUAAUUAAAUCACAUCUUUUAUAAAUAGCAAGUACUUGAAAAUAUGAAUUCCUAUCAACAAUAAGCAUUGCAUGGUGAACGAUUUGAUUAUUAAAGUUACUGUUUUCAAGAAGGCAGCGAUGCAUUAUUACCACCGUCCCAUGAUUGUACCAUGCUUGCAAAAGUGAGGUCCAUACGUACUCUUUUGUCUAAUAGAGCUUUGUGGUUGGAAAAUAGCUUUGCUCGUUCCUCGAACCCCUCAUCACUCCUUUUGUCACUUCACUUUAGUGACGCAUGGUCAACCAUCUUUGCCUCUGUCACCGAGCAAUCUGUUUGUCCUUUCUUGGACUUUAAUGAUAUGAAUAUCUUCAAAGGAUUCGCAAUUGAUUGUCCUGAACCAAUCGUAAUGAAGUAUACUAUACAUGAUUCAAGUUUCCACAACAUCCUUUCAACCAUUAUCUACUAUUCUUGAAAGGAAGAGUAGUCGCACGGAUACAAAGAUUUAAACCACAAAAAUUAAUGCAACAAAGUAAUGGGCUCAAAGUUACUUGUAUGAUCUCAGCCAUUGAAUGAAAAAAAAAUUGACAUCGAUUGUUGGAUUUGGCAUGACCAUUUUGUCCUACCAAACCCUGCAGCGCGUAUCUGACGCCAAAAGUAGUAAGCUACGUUAUAUCACCAUUAUGCUAAUUCAAUUUGUGAACCAUAGUUUGGGUUCUCUAGCUUUAACCUUCUGAAAUGAGGCAACUACAACUAAAAUUCAAUGCACAGCACACUGCUUAUGAAAAUUGAUAUUAUCAAGUUGCAGAAUUUAAAACUCCAUAGUUUUCUUCCUCUCUUUUUUCUGCACUUUGGUUUGACUAUGAGUUAUUGUAUAAUAAAGAAUUAAUUGAAAAAAGUUUCUUGAGAAGCUGUGGAAAUGAUCUCUCCAACUCAAUGCUUUUCAAGGCUCUGGUCAGUUCAACCGGGACUGUAAAACUAGAAAAGCAAAACAAUAACAUCUUCUUAUUGUGGAAAGGGUGUCCGGGAUUUACGGAGCAUUACUCCAUUGGUCAUGUUCAUCUCAUAGUUUUCAAAUAUAAAGGGAACUCCUCUUUUCACCUAAUAUUAUUCAACGAGAGUGUGUAGAGAUAUUAUGAUGAUAUACAGCUGCACAAAAACGCAACUAAUUUAAACUAAGCGUGCAAUUCAGUGAUAUUGUGAACAUUCUCAUGGCUACUUAAUACGUGCAUGAGUUCAAUCAAACAUCGGCAUGGCUUUGGCGAUUUAUUAAAUGAGAUUAGCAUAGAUUGACAUGUAGCUCCAAAAUUAUGGCACCCCAUCAUUCAAUUUCACUUCCUACAAGGUCAUAUUAGUAUAUAAAAAAUAGCAAUAUGGACUAGUCACAUAAUGAUAUGAAAAAAAUUAAUUGAAAUAUGAAGAACAAAAAAAUGUCGUAACAAUUAGCCUUGUCCUGGUCACGGAUCAGGCUCUGUCCAGUUGUGACUCAUCUAGUCUAGUGAUGUCCAUGAUAUGAAGGAAGUUCUUAAUCUCUACGCGCAAAAACUAAUCGAUAAAAGAUAAGUCUUCGAUCUCCAAAGGAUGCGAAAACAUGAGUUAGACUUUAAAUUUUAUUAUUGGUCGAAAGCUAGACUUUAAGUUAAUGAUGAUUUGAAAGAUUUAAACAAUAAUUUAUCUAGAACGAGCGACUGAUCUGAAGAUAUCAUCUAGAAUAAGACGCGAAAAGGCUCCAAAUCCUCCUCAGAUCGAUUGUGCGGCUCCCUUUUUCCUCUCGAUGUGUCUUUUCCCCCUUGGCUUUUCUCGGAUUCCCUUUCUAUUUCGGUGUCUGCAUAAGGCCGGUCGCGUCUCCCUAAGUGAAGAGGUUGAUUAGUCUAUUCAUGCUAGGAUCUCUGCCUUCAUUUCCUUGAAAUGGACGAGAGAUCUUUUGAAUCCCUUGCACGCGGAGCUGAAUGGUGCUUCUUACAAUUGCCAAUAAGUACGUUCCGCGUAUAGUAAAUAAUUAAUGGAAAAUCAGGAUAGUCCGCUGAACACAGUUUUUUUUUUUUUUUUUGGUGCUUCGAGAAAACGUGAAGGCUUCAUUCUUUUUUUCUCUUUUUGCCAGAGAUCCCCGGCUCUCCCUUCAAUUUUAGUCAAACCUCUUACUCAUUCUUCCCCUUUGUCAAUUGCAUGAAAGUUACUCCCUUCCUUUGUCAAUUUCAGCAUCCCCACGUCCCACAAAUGCCUUGAUUCAAACUCUGCUUAAGCGAGGAAUCAUGCCCAAGUAUGGUAUGAUUCCUUGCCAAUAUGAUUCCACAUUAAUCCGUACCAUAAUGACUUAAAAUUCUUGCUUGAAAUUUUGAGUUUAUUCUUACAACUAUUGUUGGCAAAAAGAAAAAAAAAAAUGAAAAAUGAAACAACUUCAAAUUUUCCUUAUAAACCAAGUUUUCCUUCUAUUUAAAAGCGUGAUUUGAGGGGUUCUUCGUCAAAUAUGUGAAAAUUGGAGAGACAAUACAUGAAAAGUCAAGAAAGGGUUUAAUUAGUCCAAGUCAAAUAUGUCAAUAGGUAGAACACUAUCAAAAUUCAAUAAAUAUAAAAUAUAUAUAUAUAUAUAUAUAUGCAUAUAACAUGGCCAUUUUAUGUUUUAUUAAGUGUUUUCUUUAUUUUUGAUUUAGAAUUUUAUGUUCUUUUGAAAUAAAAAGUCUAACAACAGAAGUUUCCAAUCGAUUAUAGCAUUAGGAAAAGAAUAUCAAGCAAUGUCUAAUUUAUGACAUGUAGCAGCUCUCUAUAUGGUGGUGGGAUUAUUACCAGAAUAGUAUGGAACCUAUUGCAAUUAUGUGAAUCAAUUCUAAACUUUUUUUUUUUUUGAUAAAUUCAGUCCCAAACUUUUUGAAUUUGUGCCACUUCAAUAUAUCCAAGCAAUUUUAGCCGACCGACACCGACAUGAACUUUCUUAAAUAAUUGUUUAAUAAUUUUUUUUAUAUUUUUAUAUUUUCUUUUCUUAAAAUUUCCCCCCUUUCCCUUAAGGCCAUGACAGCCUUGCUCACCUAGACUGGGUGAGGGUUGGGACGCCCUCGUCCAAUGCUAGUGAGUGCAUCUCGGCCAUCACCUGCUGACCCUUGCUGGCCCUAAGCUAUGUAGCACGGACACUCUCCGGAAAGUUUCGUGUUGUGUCCGACACUCCGACACAUGUCCGACACGCUCCGACACGUGGUCAAUGAGUGUCGAAAAAUCCAACAUGUCGUCAACUCUCUCCAACACACUCUGACAUGCGAGUCCAUAAUUCCGACACUCGAUUCCGACACGCACGGGGUUAAUUUUAAAAAAAUUAAUACUUGAGGGGUCAAAAUAUAAAUAUACACAAAAUAAGUAAUAAAAUUGCUAUAAAUAUACACGCAUGAGGUCAAUUUUUUUUUCAGUUUUUUUUAGAAUUUUUUAUUUUUUUAAAAGUCUUUUACUAUGAAAGAAGUAAUAAAAAAUGCUAUAUGUGAUAAAUAAAUAAAUUUAAAAAUAUCAUUUCAGCAUUUUUCUUUAAACAAUAUUUUUUCCUCUAAGUUUUGUGUAUUAUUGUAACAAAUUAAAAUAAUGAAUGAUAUUAUUUGAUAUUUUUCGUGUAAAUUAAUUCUAGGCUGUUAUUAUUAUUAUUAUUAUUAUUAUUAUUAUUAUUAUUAUUAUUAUUAUUAUUAUUAUUAUUAUUAUUAUUAUUAUUUAUGUAUUUAUAUAUAAAAAUAUAUUUAAUAUAUAAUGUGUUGGCGUGUCGUGUCGUGUCUUGUUAUGUGUCGCAUGUCCAUGUCGGUGCUACAUAGGCCCUAAGUGAAAGGGGAAAAAAUUAAAGAAAAGAAAAAUGAUAAAAGAAAAUUCAAAAUUUAUUAAAAUAUUAUUUAAAAAAGUCUACGUCAGCGCUGUCAAUGCCAUGUCAGCACCAGUUACCAAAAUUGGCUAAAUGGAUUAAACUGGCACAAAUGCAAAAAAAAAUUGGGAUUAAAUUGACUAAAAAAGAAUUUAUGAUUGAAUUGACAUAAUUGCAAGAGGUUUAUAAAUUUUUUUUUUAUAGUUUUCUCUAUAUAAUAUAUAGUAGAAACUAAAGGCAUGUAUGACAAAAUUUUUGGAACAAAAAUCAAUUUUUUGCCAGAAAUUGAUUUCUCAAUUUAUAUUCCCUGGACAAGUUUCUAAGUAGAAAAACACGCUUGAUAAUGAUUCAAAAUUUCUAUUUCUAGAACAUAAAUUCGUUUGAUGACAUAAUAAAAUUUCUAUUUCUAGGGGACGAUGAUAGGCAUUUGGUAGUGGGCAGUUGGUAGCUAGCGUCUGGCCCGGCAACUGGGGAUGGGCGUCUAAUGAUCAACGUUCGGCGUCAAGCAAUCCGGAGUCAAGCAAUCCAACGUUUUGAGGCGGCCGGAUGGUCAGCGACGAGCUUCCUGCACUCCACGGGCGGCGGGUGAAUGUUAAGCAGUAACGAGAGUGAAUGAUGAAAAGAGUUUUCAUUUCUCAUUUUUGUUCUAGAAAUAGAAUAGUUAAAAAAAUUUAGCUUUUGAUUUAUGCUCCAUAUCUAUUUAUGAAAUAAAAAUCAGUUCAAAAAAUCGAAAAAUGAAGUUACAUUAACAAAUGAAUUUCUAUUCUAAAACUAUUUCGAGUAAUAGAAAAACAAAGAAAUAGAGAAAUGGAAAUAUUGUCAUGUAUUUGAUGAUGCUUGUUCCUUAUGUAGGCAAUGGUAUGAUGAUAGCAUUCGAAACUCUUACUCUAUACUUUCGUUUCCUAUGAUAUUCUUUUCUAAAUUAUUAUUUCCAAGAAACUAGCCAUGCAUUAUUAACCGAAUCCCAUGAUUAAACCAUUCAUGCAAAACUGGAGUCCACAUGUAUUCUAUUGUCAGAUGGACUUUGUCAUUGGAAAAAUGCUAUAUGUGUUGCUCAAGUCCAGGAGAUGCAAUAAUUUGUCUAGAUGUUAAGUAAAUGGGGGUGUCCCCAUUCCCUCUCAUAUCCCCAUUUAAUGAAGAUGGUGCUGGAUCUAUUACUACCUCAUUCAUUAGUAAUUUGACUUGAGAUUAUAUUAUGUGCCAAAUGUAUAGCCCAAGAGCACAAAUUUUGAAAGUCUAAGAUAGAUGACUUUCAUAUUAUGCACCCUAUCAUAUAGUUAAGGCUGUGAAUUAUAACUCUUGAAAGUAGCAAAUAUUGUUAAGUGUCGUGAAUAUAUAUAUGUAUGUAUGUAUGUAUGUAUGUAUGUAUGUAUGUAUGUAUUGUUGUGUUCUCUCAUUCUACGUGCUCAUAUUAUGGGCUUUCGUAUUCAUACAUUGCUUGUUCAAAUAUGCAUGCAUACAAUUCUCUUCGCAUUUUUCAAAGGAUAUAUUGAGAAAUAAUCGAAUUGCAACUCUUAGGCAUUUAGGUAAAUCGUGCAAGGUGAAGUCGUAGAUACACUACAUCUUGUAAAAAAAAUGAGGACUAAAUUGCAUUUACAUUGUUCUCUAUUAAGUCCGAACAAUCACAAAAGUUUAGUAGUGUUGCCUAUAGUUUUAUAAGCCAUGCAUUUUAAUUGGUGUUUCAUUAAAUCACAUCUUUUACAAAUGGUAAAAGAUGGUAGCAUUCAGUAUUUUUAGUCUAUACUUUUGUUUUCUAUGACAUCAUUAUUAAAGUUAUUAUUUCCCAUAAGGCAGCCAUUCAUUUGUUACCACAAUCCCAUGAUUGAACCACGCAUGCAAAAGUGGGGUCCAUAAGUACUCUUUUCUCUGAUAGAGCUCUCUUGUUGGAAAAUAGCUAGGCAAGUUGCUCAAGUCCAGAUAAAGUAAUAAUGUAACUAGACAUUAAGGGCGCCAAUAGUAAUCAUUAUAUUCUAGAAAUAAGUUUUUAUUCCAGAAAUAGAUUUUCCUAUUUCUACUCUCCGAAUGAAUUUUAAGCACAAAUAUGCAUUUGAUAACAUGAAAUUUCUAUUUUCAAAAUGAAAAUUCGUUUGAUAUCGAUACAACAUUUUUCCUUCUUAAUUGGCAGUAGCGAAGGACAAACGUCAAACGGCGGACAGCAGCGACAUCCAGUAGAUGUCGAAUGGCGGACGGUCAUCAACAGACGAAGACCAACGACUUGCAGAUGGCAGUGGUGCGACCAACAAUUGGUAGCGGCAAACAAUGACUGGUGGUGGUGGACAACGAGCAGCGAUAGGCAGGCCGCUAUCUAGUAGCAAUGAGGAGCGAUAAGAAUAAUUUUUAUUUUUCAUUUUUAUUCUAGAAUUAAAAAAGUAGAAAAUUUUUAUUUUUCAUUUCUAUUCCAAACUUAUUUCUAGGCUAAAAAUUUGUUUUAGAAAUAGAAAAAAAAAGGAAAUUAUGUUACCAAACGGAUGGUUAUUAUACGCAUCCUAAAUCGUGGUAUGUCCGAUCUCCUCUUGAGUCCAAGAUGCUUUUUGAAAAUGCUAAAUAGACGAAAGUGGAGCAUCAAACACGAGAUUUUGGCUACAAUGUGGAAAUAAAUUAAUAAAUUAAUGAUAAGCCAAGAUGGUUAUAACGAGAUCUUUGGCGGCAAAAUGUGCAGUGAAAUCAUGAAAGUUUGAUUGUUAGGUCCAAGCACGCCUCAUGUAGCAAGCAACCACUCAGACCCUAUCAACUUUUUCCAGUAAAAAGUAGGUAUGUUUUGACGCCGCCCUUCCUUCUUCGUCUCUCUUCGUCCUUGCUCUAUUUCACUCGUUCUUCUUCUCGGCACAACUAUUCUUCCUCCUCCUUCCUUCUUUCUCUUCUGCAUCUGCUCCUCCUUCCUCCUAUUGUCCCAAUGGCACGAUAGACAUAUGACGCGGGCACAUUUCGCACUAGACAAUCUACAGUCCUAUGUAUAUGGUCCACAUCAUCAUCAACUCCAUUUACAUGUUUGACAAAAAGGAUUUGAAAGAAUUAAGUAAAUAUAUAUAAUAUAGGUACGCAAUUGGAAGAAAAAAAAGUUCAAAGACCUACUGAUAAUUUUGGCAAAAAGUUCAAUUACUACUAUGCCUAAAUCCCUUAUUAAGUAUCAAAUACUGCUUCAAAAUUAGUUCGAGCAAUCAUCUAUUUUUUUGAAAAAUGUAAUUAAGACAACUAUUUCUUUUAUAUAAAAUAUGCAUUGCAGCUCACAAGAUAUUACCAUCGUUUGAGGUACACUCGUUUUGGUGAUGAAGUGUCCAGAAUAGCUUUAUUUAACAUGUUGCCUUAUUGAUUCGUGCCCAAUGCGCAGAGUCUGCAAAGUACUACUUUGCGGGCCAAUGCCGACACAUGUCCCUCUAACCUCCGUUGAUGUACCAUCAAGUUCCUAUCAAUCUUCACCAAAGAAGAUGAGUUUGCCCGAGAAUCCUCAAAAGGUGCGCCCAUGAGAGGGCAUUGAGUAUAUUCAAAGGAUCAAUAAUAUGAUUCUAGCGGAUCCAUCGGUAGAGACUUUUGAAGAGUGUGAAAUGGAAUAGCUCGUCAAAAUAUUUAAAAGAGAAAAGGACAAAAGUUUUGACAGCUCGACGGGUACUUCGAGUGAACACCAACACCACAUUGUGUGUACCGUGCAAGGCUUCUUGCACGGUGCCUUAGAAGCCUAUUUUAUUGAGUCCACUAUGCAUUAUUGGCGUGAGAGUUGCUCUCUUUCUCUGAAGAAAAAUCAAAGAAAAUUGGCCAUCGAUGUUGCUGUUCCAGAAUAAUAGGAAAAAUUACAUUAAACUCAUAUCAAUGACUAAUUUUUGAAAUAGCAAUAACAAAGAGACAUUAACAAAAUUCCAACCAUAUCAUCGUAUGGUAAUUUUAUGAUAUUUAUUUCACAUUCUAAUAUGAUAAUUAUGGUUCGCCUAAGAAUUAAAUAACUUCAAUUUGAUUUUGUCAAUUGAGUUUUUUUUUUCAAGUAAAGAGAAGCCUAGAGGGCCUUUCUAUCAACAAAUCUGCGAAAGAUUAUACAUGAAAAGUCAAGAUUUAUUUCCAACUAACGGUUAAUAUUAUUAGACAUAAGGAUCUAAGUUAGCCCAAGUCUAAUGUGUCAAUCACAAGAACAUUAUCAAAACCUGCUAUUCAAUGUAUAAUCUCCACAAUGGCAAAUCAUCGAGAGCAACUCAUCUCUUAAACUCUUAAGGGGACAUCACAUAUCCUCACACAACAAGGGUUAAUUAAAGUGAAGGGAAAGCUUGUUCAUUUGGGCCUCAUCAAGAGAGUUGUAAGUUUUAGCUUGAUAAUUGGUGACUCUUUUGCUUAAUGGAUCAGUGAUUCAUUGCCCUGCGAGGAGAGAAGUGGGAAAGCAAUGUUUCUUGACAGUAAAAGGACAGAGGCCAGACAAGUGAAGGCACCCGAUCAGUUCAUGCAUUUACAAAUACUUAGAUGUUUGUCUGGUAGUUGUGGACGAAAGGACAUGAAGGUAAACAUUGGUGAUGGUGACUGGUCGAGUAAAGGAACAGUAAAAUGCAAAAAUCCAUCGCAGCCUCUACAACUACUCUCUCUGUAUCCCUCUCCCACCACUAACCCUAAUUAAACCAAUCUUUUGUAUAUUUAGACAGUUGUCCAUGAGCAGUGGAAGAAAGGACAUGUAGACUUGGACACUAGUGAUGGUGACUAAUCAGGAAACAGUAAAAUGCAAAAAAAAAAUCGUCCAUUUUUCCAUAUAUAUGCUUUUUAUGAGUCAUCUAUUUCUAUCACUGAAUCUUUUAUCGGUCUAUUAUCUUUCUUGUCUCGAUGAAGUGACUGACAUAUGGUGGCCUUUUUGUAUUUUUAUUUUUGGCCAGUGACGACGUGGGGGUAGUCUGCUCAUCACUCUACUUCCCAAGUGGAAGCUCUGUCCAUACCCUAUCUCCUCUUUCCUCCUUGGGUUUUUGUAAGGUUGAUCGGUUCCUGGUUCAGUCCGGUUCCAAGGUGGAAUUGGGAACCGGACCGGAAGAAUCGGUUCCCAAUUUUGGGAACCGUAGACCGGACCGUUGGUCUUAGGACCGAGAACCGGACCGGACCAUCGGUUCCGGUCCGGUCCAGUCCGGUCCAAAAGAAUUGACACUUUAUUUUUUCACUAAGGAAUGAUCAUUUACUAAAGAAUAAUCAUACUCCGGACCGAUCAAUCAAAUUCGGUUUCCGAGCAAUCUAAUAAAACUACUCACACAUGUUUCCACGUGCAAAAUAUUCAAACUUCACUUGUGUGAAUAUUAAUCAUAGUUUAUGUGUUUCAUGCUUAAUUUUAAGCAUAAAACCCAUAAACAAUCUGAUUAAAGGUUGUGUUUGGUUUAGGUUUUAUAGGCAAUCUCUUUUCUAUAUUUCGAAUGUUUAGUCAAUAUGAGACUUUUUAAGGUUUGAAGUGCCUUGUCGUUUGCAAGUGAAGGGAGCAAGAGAGAGAGAGAGAGUGAGCAUGAGGAGAGUUUUAUCUAUAAAUAAAGAGUAACAACAAGAGUUUUGGUAGUCUCUUGGCCACAUAAGAGGUUGUUACAUAAAUUGCAAUUCCGAUUGCAAUAAGUUUUAUAUAUAAUAUUAAUAUAUUAUAUGUGUUUAUAUAUUAUAUGAAUAUAAAUUAUAUAUAAAAAAAUUUGGUCCGGUCCAGUUGGUCCGGUUCCCACCUUGGAACUAGGAACCAGACCAACCGGCCGCCGGUUCCAAGAUUAGGAACCGGGAACCGGACCACCGACCAUGGGAACCGCCCAAAACCGACCGGUCCGGUCCGGUUCGGUCCAGUUCCGGUUCGGGCGGUUUCCGUUGCACACCCCUAGGUUUUUGAUUCAUUCCCAAAUUUUCAAAUAGCUGGAUAGCUAGUAUUAAAACUCAGCCAUUUAUUAUAAAUUGUCCCAGCAAAAUGUUGCUGUUUUUAGACGCUACCAAUCCUUCAAAAAAAUUAAAAGUGAAAGAAAAAUUAAGUUUAUAAAUUAUGAAAACCCACAUAACUUUACUUGGCAAUAAAUGUAUGUUUUUGAAAGUUUUUAAAACCAAUUUGUGAUUACUGCAAUAUUUAAAAAAUACAUGUUAAAAGUGUAAGACUUGCCACAUAUCCCAAACAUCUAAGAGAAAAGAGGGAAACUCUAAGAAUGAGAGACCACAAAACAAUGUUAGUGAUCACUCGAAUUGUUUCCUAUAUUAAUUGUGUUGUAAAGAGUAGCAUUAUUAAAAAAAAGUAAACUGAUUUAAAUUGUUUAAUCUACUUAUAAAUUUUGAUCUAACAAUUCUAAACGAAGAUGCAAUAAUUUAACUAGACAUAUGAUAACGGUGCCUCCACUCCAUCUCAAGUCCACUUUUACCAAAGAUGUUCUAAAAGAAAAGCCAAAAAGACGAAAGCAUUGAUUUUUCAAUAAUGACUUUGCAUGAGGAGCAUCACACAUGAGAGACUUUGGCUACAAUGUGGAUUUGAUAGUUAUACUUGUUUUUUCUACUUUUGCUAUGAAACCUUUUCAUAAAAAAUGAUUCGGCAUUUAUCUGUUGAUUAGCGACUAUUCCUGCAAAAAAAGUUGCUAUGCGAUUAUUUUUCGACACUAGCUUUCCUUCAUCCACUUCUCUACUGGCUCCAUGAAUUUGUCUUGGAUGCUUCACUGAGAAUUGCUUCAUUAAACUGAAAGCAAAAAUUCACAAGGCUAUAAGAGAUAUAUUCCUCUCGUGAGCCUUCCUUCCCACCAGAACCUUUGAAAAAUAGUGAGGAAAAUCUUCUAAAGUCAACUAUAUAUAUAUAUAUAUAUAUAUAUAUAUAUAUAUAUAUAUAUAUAUAUAUAUAUAUAUAUAUAUAUAUAUAUAUAUAUAUAUAUGGACACACAUUUCUCACCCCAAUUUAGUUUAAAUCACAUCCCUUUACGUAAGCUGGCCAAAAUAUCCUCCACACGCAGGUGUAUCCUCAAGCAUUAACAGAUCCGCCUUAUUUUUUUUCAAAAAAUAAAUUUGCCUUUUUCAUUUUCUCUCAAAUCUAUUGUCUUGUAUCUUUUCUUAUUUACUGUAGAGAUUCUGAUUUAAAUCUUCUCACUUACUCUUCUGAUUUAAGAAUUUUUUUUAUAUAAUAAUUUAUCUAAAAAACAUCUUCUGCCUAUUAAUCACAAAAAAAAUGGCUGAUUUAUUUCAAAGAUUGGAGCAUAAGCAUGUUCCGGAUUAUCAAAUUGCAUUUACGCUUUUGUUGAACUUUUGCUAUAAUUUUUCAUAAACAUCACGACCAAAUCUUCGGUUCUUAGAUUCUUCACAUUUGAAGUUUCAUCAUUUUGUAGAAGAGGUCGCCUCAACUAGUUAACUUUGUGGGAGAUUUGCUUUAUAUGAGUUUAUAGGUUGGUGAAUUUAAGAUAAUUCUCUUCAUUCAAAUGGUUAUGGCCAAUGGUAUUGAGACAUUUAAAAUUUACUUAAUUUUUAUAGCUAAUUGAUUAUUUUACGUUUUAAUGCUAGAAAAUUUGGGAGAUCAUUGGAUGAGUGUUUCAUUUUGAGGAUUUUUUAUUUUAAGUUUGGUUUCUCUGCAUCUCUACGGUUAUUUUAAGAACGAUAGUUGUUGCUAAACAUAAGAAACACGGAAGCUCGUUGUUUCAUUCAACUUGUUGACUAUCUAAAAUACAAUUUCGUGUUGAGUAAAAGAAAUCAACAGUUUAUAAAAUAUGGAUUUUAUAUUGAAAAACUAAUGGCCACCUAGGCUCCACCUAAACUAAUAUUGUGCACUCCUGAUUAGACAGGUUACUUAUAUAACAUAAUAUUCUAUUUACUCCAUAUUACUUUUUUUAAUAACGGGUAUCGAUGCAUUGGGGAUAAAGUGACUAUCAUAAUCAAAUUGCUUUUAGAUUGCGUUUUCUUUUAGAUAAAACAUAUAAAAAAAAGAUAAAAAGAAAAGGAUAAAAAAAUCUCAUUUGUGUCUAUAGUAGGAUUACUUUUAGGGAUUAAUUUGAUGGAUGUUUUCGUCUUUAAUAUGCUAGAGAAUUUUUUAGUAGAUAAUUUUCUUUAGCCGAAAUUAGAUUUUGGCUUUUAUUUUUAGCUCACAAGAUAUUCAUGUCUCGCGGUUUAAUAUCGAUGAAAAUGUUAAUAUUAUAAGAAAGAAUAGAGAUGCCUUCUCAUGUAUUUUCCAAGGUGCCACUUGUGCUUUUCUGCCGUCGUAUGUGGGGCGCAUUAAAAAUUGAGUUAAUGGCAGACCGUGUAAAGUUACAUGUCACGUGUUCAAUUUGUCAAAAGGCAAAAUGUGGUAAAAGUUAGAACUCCGUGUCACGUGGGUGUGGCCAGUCCUCGUCCAUUGAUUUUAUUUAUUCCGAGGGCGAUGGUUUGAGUGGAAUCAUUUGUUUACAACUUCAACAGCUGAUAAUCAUCUCCUUCUUUCUCCAUUCGUUGCUAUUCGACGCGCUCCUUCCUUCAACCUGCUUUCGCGCUCAAUCUCUUCGCCUUGUUUGUCUCUCGCUCCGUUUCGAUCUUUCUUCACCUCGGCUCAACCAUUCCUCAUCCUGCUCCUCCUCUUCUUCUUCUUCAGUAUCUGUUGCUCUUUUUCAUCAUUCUCUCUCUGGCUCUCUAUUUUCUCGCUCUUUCUUUCUCAAAAAAACAAAAAAUCAAAUAAAAAUGUCGGCCGAUUCUGUCGUUUCUAUUGUAUGGGAUGUCUUGAAGAUGGUAGUUGUUCCCAUCAAGCGUCAAUUCGGAUACGUGAUCUCAUCCGAGAACUUCGCUGAGGGUCUUAGGAAGGAAAGCCAGAAUCUGGAGAACAAGGCUGAGAGGCUCCACAAUGCCUCGGAAGUGGCCAGAAACAAUCUCCGGAAUUUCUACAGGGAGUUCACGGAGUGGGAGGCAAGUGCUGAGGAGGCUUUGAAGGAGGCAGGAAUCCUAUUGGACGACUUCGAAAAGGCUACCAAGACCUUGCUACGGGACUCUUCCCGACCCCUAUUGGCGCUAUCAGUUCAGCAGGAAGGCCAAGGGCAAGAUCGAGGUCAUUAAACAACUCACUCAAAAAUGCAGUGAAUUCAAGGAAUCGAACAUCUCCUUCACCGAGCCUGCUCCGGGGAAUUUCACUGCUCUGACAUCUCCUUCAAUGUCGAUUAAUUUUAGGGACGAUGCCAUCUUCGAAUCCAGAGCUCAAAUCAUAAGGGACAUCAAGGAGGCUCUUGCCGAAAAUAGCAAUAGCGUGGUUGGGGUUCAUGGGAUGGGUGGGCUCGGCAAGUCCACCCUUUUAGAGGAAGUCAGAAGGAUAAUAAGCAAAGAGAAGUCGUUUGACUGGGUCGCUAAGGCCGACGUGUCGAAAAAUCCAGACAUCAAGAGGAUUCAAGGAGAGAUUGCGGACGCGUUGGGCCUUACUGACAUAAAGAGUAAAGAGUCCCUUACCGGGCGAGCGGAACUUCUGCACAGUAGGUUAAAAAAGGAGGAGAGGGAGAAAAAGAAGGUGCUCAUAAUACUGGAUAACCUGUGGAAGGAGCUUGACUUGAAAUCAGUCGGCAUUCCUUGCAGACAUGACAACAAAGUCACAGGAUGCAAGUUAUUGUUGACGUCGAGAGAUCAAAAAGUUUUGCAAGACAUGCACAGUGACGAGGACUUUCGCCUUCUGGGACUGUGGGAGAAAGAGGCAAAAAGAUUGUUUGAGGGAAUAGUGGGAGACGAAGUUCAUGAGGACGAGUUCAAACCCUGGGUGGAAGUAGCACUCAACAAAUGUGCAGGUGUGCCUUUCCUAAUUGUCGCAAUGGCAAAACGCCUUAAAAAUGCUGCUUUAUAUGAAUGGAAAGACACUUUGAAAAAUAUCAAGAAGUUUCAAGAUAAAAAAAUCAAUGACUUGAUAGAUCAGAUGUUGCAAUGGAGUUAUGAUCAAUUAAAAGAGGAGGUGAAGUCAUUAUUACGACUUUGUGUUGUUUAUCAUAUCUCCAAGCCUUCUCUUGAAAACUUGGUGAGGUUUUGCGUUGGGUUGAGGUUAUUUAAAGAAAUUGACAGCAUGGAAGAUGCUAGAAAUAGGUUGAGAUCACAUAUCUAUACUCUUCGAGCCUCCUCCCUUUUGUUAGACAGUGAAGAUGUUGAUGGUUUCAAGAUACAUGACUUGGUUUGUGAGUUUGUUACCUCAGUCUCUUCAAGAGAUCACCCUCUUCUCAUGUUGAAAGAUAAAGUCAAGUCAGUAACAGAGUUGUUGAAGGACAAGCCCAAUAAUUAUAGGGCAAUGUGCUUUCCCUUCGUUGACAUGGAGGAGCUUCCCCAGGAGUUAGAUUGCCCUGAAUUGCAGGUUUUUUUGUUGUUCACAAACAAUAAAUCUCUUCAUGUUCCAGAUUCAUUAUUUUACUCUAUGAAGAAAGUCAUGGUCUUAAAUCUUACUGGAAUACGUCUCACUUGCUCCCCUUCACCGUUUCAAUUAUUGAAAAACUUAUACACUUUGUGUCUUGACAAUUGUUCAAUAGAUAAUGUAUCCAUUCUUGGCGAGCUAAAAGGGUUACAAGUUCUUAGCUGUGUGAACUCCAACCUUAAAAAAUUGCCGAAAGAAAUUGGGCAACUGACAGAGCUAAGGUUGUUGGACUUGAACCAUUGUUCACAUCUUCAAAUAAUUGAACCGGGUGUGCUUGAAAGAUUGAUCAAAUUGGAGGACUUGUAUAUGGAGAAUAGCUUUAAACAAUGGAAUGCCAUGGAGCAAACUCAACCAACUAAUGCCAGUUUGAUUGAGUUGAAUUGCAUGAAAAAUCUUUUCACUCUACAUGUCUCCAUUCCCAAUCCGAGUAUGCUCCCAAAUGACCUAGAUGUUGAGAAAUUAGAAAAGCACAAAAUCCAAAUAGGAAAUGCAAGGCGCUGGUGGAAGCACAAAGGAUUGAGGAUUUUGGACCUCAAGUUGGAUCCAAAAAGCAAUGUUCUUCGAAAAGGAUGCAUACAAAGUAUCUUAAGAAAAAUUGACGAUUUGUUUUUGGACAAGUUGAAUGAAAUUGAGCAAAGUAUUUGCGCAUUAUCUCAAGAUGGUUUUCCGAAAUUAAAGCAUCUACUAGUCCAAGAUAGUCCCUCUAUCCUUUACAUCCUCCGAUGGCAUUCCUUUGGUGCUUUUGAGAUGUUGGAGUCUUUACUUCUCAUAAAUCUCAUCAACUUGGAGAAGAUAUGCUAUAGCCAUAUUUCCUCCUCCAAGUCCUUAGGUAAAUUAAAAGUAAUUCAAGUCAAAAGUUGUGACAAGAUGGAAGUUUUAUUUCCUCUUUCGUUACUAAGAGGACUUCCACAACUAGAAGAGAUCAAACUCGUUGAUUGCAAGUUAAUGCGCAGCAUUGUGGAAGUUGAUGAUUGUGGCAAAGUGGAAUUGCAUAAUUUGCAUGUAUUGGAAUUGCAUGGCUUGCCAAAUAUCAAGAAUUUUUUCAUAGCCCGGACAACUCCUUCAAGUAGUACAUUAGACGACCAAGUUGGCACUCAAAUUGCAUUCUUCAAUGGGCAACAGGUAACUUUCUAUCAAAAGAAUAUAAACUGUAUUAUUUUUUCCUACCUUUGCUAAUUAGAUGCAACACAUCUCAUGUUACUUAUUCAUUUUGUUAUUUCCAGUUCAUUUUAAUCCUAAUUACCUUAUCCGUUCAUGCCAUCUCUGCAAUUAGAUAAAUCAAUCUUCUGGUUCUCUCCAUUGUGUAGAAAUCCAACCAAUUGUAUGAAAUCCAUGUAAGCUUAUUUUGUGAUAGGUUUUGAGUUAUUUUCAAUUUAAAUGCUGCAAGUGUAUCUAUAUUAAUAAGGUUUCAUAAAGCAAAACCGAAGGGAAUUUCGGCACUAAAGUAAUUCCAUAAGCAAUUUAAAAUCUUUUGAUAUGGAUUAAUUGAAUUUAUUUAUCCAACUUUGUUAUUAUCCACAAAGUAUAUAAUAUAGGUGACUCUCCUAAAAACCAAUACGAAUAAUGGGAAUGAGGACUGGGUUUUUUAAUAAAAGCAACAUGCUAAUUUGAUUGAUGCAUGUGUUUUGUGUAUUGUGUUUAAAUAAAUGGUUUGUCAUUCCAUAGAACCCAUAAUUAUAAGAGUACAGAGUUUUUUGCAUGUUUAUGCAUGCAUGUUGUAUAUAUACUUUGUACGUACUUUUGGCAUCACAAGCACAAAUCCAUAAUAUGUGUAUAUCUUGUUAAAUUGGUUAUUGAUAGUGAUUUACUAACAUUAAAGAGAAGUUCGCAAACUAAGGAUGAUCGAUUGCCCAACUAAGAAAAGCACAUGGCUACUUUGCACGGGGGAAAAUUUUGCUGCAAGUGGAGCCUUUUUGUUGACUAGAUAAGAUGGCCUUUUGUAGUGGCACAAUUAUCACUGGAGUUGAUCAUGGGCCCAAGACCCAAAAAUAGAUUAGCUCCUGUCAGUAAAGAGUGGAAGUAAUUUAAGUUGAGGGUCCGACACACUAGUGUGGGACUCAUCUUCUUCCCCUUCUUUGAGCUUCCAUGGAGAGAAACCUUUCAAAGAUAAUGGAACGACAUCGGGGAAAUUUUAAAAGAGCCUUUGUGGCUUUGCCUUUUUUUUUUUUUUUUUAAUAUUGUAAUCUUGUAUAUUAGAUCCUUUUGAUAUAACCUUUAUACCAAGUUUUAAGAUGACGACAAAUCAUUCAAGUUCAACAAUGGGAAGCAAUUAAUCAUUAGGGUUUGUUUAGUGGUCACCCUUCCUACAUGGAAAUGGGGAGAUGGGAGGGUCAAAUCCCUACUUUCUUAUUGGAAUUGAGGUGUGGAUGUUUUAAUUUUAUCUGUGGGUUUCAACUUCUACACCCUACAAGGAGGGCAAAAGUUUAAGAGUGAAUGUUAGAGUAGGAAUAUAGUAGUAUCGAUUAAAAAAAAAAGUAGUGCAAUUACAAUGUUGAUAAAUUAGAUUGUCACGACAAAAACUAAUGGCAUUCGAUUGAAAUUGAGGUCGAUUAUUUAUAGUAUAUUAAAUUCUAGACUCGUAGUGGAGGAAACAUAGCUAACGGUUUAAGUAGCUUUAGUAAUAACAUUUAAUAGGAGAUCCUUUUGGUAUAAUCUUUACACCAAGUUUAAAGAAGAUGAAAAAUCAUGCAAGUUCAAAAAGGGGAGCAAUUACAGGCGAAAUUUCCUUUCUUAUUUGUUUUUAUCAAUAAAAAUGACGUUAGGCUGCUGUAGAUAUAUGUUAUGGUCCGAUCUGCACUUCUACGGAUGGUAAUUUACUAAAAUGAAAGAGAAUUAGUAAAUUAAGGAUAAACAAUGGCCCCAAUUAAGGAAAAGCUCGCGGCUAUAUUUUAUAUGGGGGAAAACUACUGAAAGUAGAGGGUUUUGUUUGAUUAGACAAGGUUGCUCUUUUAUAGUGGCGCGGGCCCGUGGCUCAUGCCAUAUGUUAGUUUCCCUGUUGAUAAAGAGCGGUGGAGAUAUAAGUGGUGGGUCCCACAAAUUGUGAUGUUAGAGUGCGACUUUUCUUCAACGCAUGCUUUGAGCUCCCAUAUAGAGAGCUUCCUUUCAAAUAUAAUGGAACUAGAUCAGGAAAUUUUGCAACGAGCCUUUGUGGCUUAGCCCCUUCCUUCUUUUUUUUUUUUUUUUGGGCGGUAGUCUUUGGGGCUUUUAACUUUCUAGGAUUCUAAUUCUUCAUAAAAGAGUUACUCUUGCCUUAGUACUUCUUUUUAUUUUUAUUUUUUUUGCAUAAAACCUAAGUAUGCAAUGCUCCAUGGGUUUAUAAUGAAAUGUUACAUAAAACUUAAUAAAUCUCCUCCGACAUUAUAAAGCAGUAGCAGCCUACAAAAGUAGUAGCCUAAGAUUGGCUUGUCGGGGAUGACAAUAACCUAAUGAACGAAAGACAAAAAAUUUAAACUUGUUUUAUGGGUGGGAGCGAGAGGUGAUGAUGAGAUAGCGCAAGCAACUUUGCAAAUGAAUAAUUUCUUAGAGUUAUAGCAAUGAACUUUUGGGGAAAAAAAGAAGAAGAAAAUAAAGAAAAUAAAGUUUUACAUUGUCAUCAGAUACAAUUGGAUCCCUUCAAGCUCAAAUGUUAUGGUUUCAAACAUGUUCACUGUGGAUUUAGACUCACCUUAAAGAAAUUACGACAACGAGGACUAUCAAUUAAGAUAGGCUACACAUGCACCUGAAUUUAAAGGAACACUAGAGGUAGUUUACAAGGUAUAGGAAAAAAGAAGUCCAAAUAAUCUUAAGUGAUUUACUAAUUUUCGAGGAAAGUUGGGAUCUUAGCUAGUAACUAUGACUAAUGAGUACUUAGUUAUCGCGAUACCACAGCUGCUGACGUUUUCCAACCAAAAAAAAAGACCGCUAACAUGUCCAAUUUCAUGUUAUUUCGGGCAAAGUAGUCCCAUUUUGCCUAAUCAAAUCGGAGAAAUUGAAGACACUUAAGACGAAAAAGACAAAGAAAUGCCCGUUUUGUAGGAUUUUAUCAAGAAGCAGACAAUUUCAGUGUGUGACAAGUCAUCUUGACCUUGCGAACCAAAAAAAAAAAAAAAGAGUCCUCUUGACCUAAAUGGAUGAGGAAUGAUGUCAUGUCCGGCUAUCAACUCCCUACGGUCAUAACUCUUAUUCAUAUACCAUCAUUUGUCUAAGGUUUAAUUUUUGAGUUGUGCCUGUAACAAGAUGAUAUAUAGAUAUAGAAGGCUUGAUCUCGUCGAGAUUAAGGGGACAUGAGCUGUAUAUAUCUCCAUCAAAUUGAUAUAAUUAGAUAGAUAUUUUGUGCAUCAAUUGAUUGUCAUUAGUAACCGAAAUGAGUGCUAAUUCUUGAUGAUUGCAAUUCCUGAUUUUUGCUAGUAAAAUGCGAGCAAAAUUUAAUCGUAACAGCAUCCCUUGUAAUAUCGUAACUAAAAGGUAAAAUUCAUUAGUUGUCUUUUGAGGUCAUAAAUUAGAUUUUGUUUAUGAUGGAUUUCCUUACAUGCAAAAGGUAUCGUACAGGUUGCAUAUUAUCUUGCUUGUAAAUUUCCUUUAGCAAACAUUUAUAAUACCUGCUAUAUCGCGUAAAUUUCCCUAUUGUCCUUUGUAAUUGUAAAUGCUAUUUUUGAUGGAUUUGUCUAUCAGAUCUCAAUCCCAUCCUUGGAGUCAUUGACAAUGAAAGAACUUCCUAAUAUGGAAGAGAUAUGGAGCAAUGAAUCUCCACCGGAGCUGAGCAAUCUCCGAUCUCUCCAAGUGAUGCUAUGCAAAUCUCUCUCGAAGGUUAUCAACUUUGGGUCGCUAGUAAAACUACACAAGUUGCACUAUUUAUGUAUAAGAGAUUGCAAUUCGGUGCAAGAAAUUUUUGAUCUUGACAGACCAAAUGCUAAUGGAGACGUUAAGACUUUGUCUUCGGAGUUAACCACCUUGGAAUUAUAUAACUUGGGGAGCUUGAGGUGCAUAUGGAAUAAGAAUCAUUGCGGAAGAGUGAGUUUCCUUCAUUUAGAGAGGUUGGAGGCGCAUGUUUGUCCCAACCUCAAGUUUAUGUUUUUCCCAUCCAUGGUUAAAUCUCUCGGACAAUUGAGAGAUCUAUCAGUAAAACAUUGCAAUAAGAUGGAGGCAAUCAUUAUGGAGGAGUUGGGAUUGGAAACAUCAAAAACUAUGGUAUUCCCAAUGCUAACAAACUUAAAUUUACAACAUUUGGAAAGUUUGAUGUGCUUCUCUCGUGGAAAGCGUAAGAUUGAUUUUUUUUGUUUUCGUCAUUAAAGAUCUUCUUAUAGAUAGAUUUCAGCCUUGCAAUACAAAUGGUGACAUUCUUUUCAUCCAAUGAAAAACUGAUGACAGGUUCACGAGAAGCUCGAAGUCAAGACCACAUCAAAUCAAGCUCCAAUGCGCUCUUUUGUCAACAGGUACAUGAUUUACGUUAUGUCAAAAUAACAAAUAUAACAAAAGUAUUAAAUAUGCGGGAGAUCAAGCAUAGCCAAAAUAUUUUAAAAGCAAACGAGUAGCAUACAUGCAUUAAGUGUUCAUAGUUGCCAGCAUAUAUGAGUUGCAAUGUCUUAUUUUUAAUUUCUAUGGAAAUAGUUUUCAUAAAGGUUGUUGAGCAUCUCUCAUGUUACAUGCACAAAGAAUGAUGGCCAAUACAACUGCCAAGCAAGAUCUCUCAGAGCUUUUUAAGAUUCAAAAGAAUCUUAGAUCUCUCAUGAGUCUCACAUGUACGGCUUAGCCAUUGCAUACAAGUACAUUGAAAAAACAAUCGAGAGGAAAGUGAGCAGUAAGGUUUGAGAGGUUGGAGACGAAGGGCCUUUGAAACACUCACUUGACUUCAUUUGCACUUACAAGAUCUCUCUCUCUCUUUUAACUGCACCAGCAAAAGGAAUCUGAGCCUUCUCAGUCGCCAAACUAAGCAAGAUCUCUAGGGUCCAAGGCUUUAGAAAUCACAAUUUUAAUUUUUACAUGAACCACAAGACCAUUCUAAUGAAAUUCUUGUUAAAGAAAUAAAAUACACUUUGCAAAUUAUCCAUUUCAGUUGAACCAUCUGACUUGUAGAGUGAAUAUCGGAAGAACGCUUGAGUGGAAAAUGAAAUAGACUAAUUUACGAGGGUUCACUUUGACUAAACUAAAAGCAAUAUAGGCCGUUCACCUAAAAUGAUGUUUUUGCUGCCAAAGAGGCUUUGAAAAUGUGCCCUCCCACAAGAUUAAUACGUCGACUUUCUUAAAUAAUUUUACUUUUCUAUAAUGAGAUAUUCAUGAAAAUCUUUGACUAUUUGAUUCGAGUAUAUGUAAAAUCUGUUGUUGGCAUCUAACUAUUGGAUUUUCACUGAAUUUUAAAAGGAAAAUUCAAUCGAUUAAGUAUAUUGGAUUCUUUGAAGUGGAGAAUGAUGUGAGUAAGAUUUGGUCGUCUAACACAAGCGAUUCCUUUUUCAAUUGCUUUUUCUUAGCCUCACUUUUUAAUUGAUUUAAAGUGAUAUAAUAUUGAUUAGAGCCAUUCUGUAUUAGAUAAAAUCACACCUGCUACUAUAGUGCACCUUUUGAUGGCUGAUUGGUGAGCUUUUUAAUCUCAAUCUCUCUGUCAUUUUCUUUCUAAUUCUAAUAUUCUUCCUCAGGCCAUCCUCAGCUUCAUUUUUCGUUCACUACAUCAAUUUAGUGACUUCUAAGUUCUAAUGUUAAUUACCCUUUUGACGUGGUUCUUGUUUCUUUAAAUAAAUUCUUCCUCAUCUCUAAGAGAUUUAACUAUUGCUACAUAUACUAGCUAAUCCAUUAUUUUAGGGAAGUAACUAAAUUGAAGAGGGAGAGAUUUUAUUUAAAUUCGGGUUCUAUGGGAAACUAUUGUGAUUAUAAUUUUUUUUUUUUAUGAGCAUAUCCAAAUUAAAAUUUUGUCCAUUGUCAAUAGAAUCUGGUCAGAAUAGAAUUCCUACUUUUUUAUUUGUCUCCAAUAAUUCCAAUAGCCUGCUCACCAUAGAGUCAUCGACAAUAGUAUGAAGAUUUUUUUUACUACCUUUUUUUUUUUCCUUUUGUGGAACUUAAGACAUAAUCGACAGUUCCACAAAUUCAUAAUUUACAUCUUGGAAGUUCCUAAUUAACUGAAUUACUAAUUCUGUGAUCGAAUAUCGUAGGUUGUGCUUCCUAGCUUGGAGACAUUAAAUAUCACUGGCUUGGACAACAUUGAGAUGAUAUGGGACAAUCAAGUUGCUGCAAAUUCUUUCCCCAAGCUAAAAUCGCUUUUUGUGGAUAAAUGCAAUAAGGUUGUGACAGUUGUUCCUUCUUCCAUUUUGGGACAGCUCUUGUGCCUAGAAAGUUUAAAGGCAAACACAUGUGGUUCAUUGGAAGUUGUUUUUGAACUUCGGCCACUAAAUUCUAUAGAUGGACCUCAAGUUGCUGUUCCGUUAAAAAAGCUGAUGGUAUCAAGAUUACCAAAGCUAAAGUGUGUAUGGAAAAAAGAACUCACCCAUCAAGUUAACUUCCAAUGCCUACAUUCUAUUAGCGUUUUCGAUUGCAAGAGCCUCACCUCUCUAUUUCCAGCCUCAAUAGCCAAAGAUCUAGUCCAACUUGAGGAGUUAGAGAUCAAUGGAUGUGGCAUUAUGGAACUCAUUGAAAAGGAAGAAGGACUAGUUCCCACGUUUGAUUUCCCAAAGUUAACCUCCCUCAAGCUUAAGCAUCUGACAGAGUUGAAGUGCAUCUACACCGAAACACAUGUUUUACAUUGGCCAACAUUGAAGACCUUGCAAGUCUAUGACUGUAACAAAUUGGAGAUCUUUGCUUUGCAACUUGAGAAUGAGAUGCUACUUCAUAAACAACCCCUCUUGCUGAUAGAAAAGGUAAGACCUGAGAUUAUCUGUGUUUGCUUUGAUGGUGAAUAUUUGAAGUGAUGAUUAGCGUCAACCAAGCAUCUCAUACAAGCAGCUCUUACAUGCGAAGAUGUAAAUUGUACGACUCUCCUUGAAUCCAUAGAAAUAUUACAACAUUGAAACGUCAUAUGUUCUUCAAGUAUUAACUGAAAAUUCUUGUCAAUGUCUAAUGUACCGAAGGAAUACUCGUUGAACCCCUUUCAAAAAAGAUUUAGGCUAAUUUCGAUGGUUCUCUCUCCUAAAUGCCACAAAGAUUGAAAAAACGUGGCAUAUGUCGUGAUAUUAACAUGGUACAAGUGUAUUUGAAUCGUAAGAGAUUAAUGAUAUUAUGCUAAAAAGGGAAAGAUGGGACAUUAUUGUUAACAUUAUUGUUAUUAUUCACAAAAUGUAUAAUAUAGGCAACUCUCUUAAAAACCAACAUGAAGAAUGGAAAGGAGGACCAUGUUUAAAAAAAAAAAAAAUACUAUGCUAAUCUAAUUGACGCAUGCCUUUUGUAUAUCAUCUUUAAACAAGCAAUUAGUCAUUACAUAGACCUCAUAAUUAUAAGAGCACGGAAUUUUGUAAUAUGUUCAUGCGUGCAUGUAGUAUGCAUAGAUAUAUUUGUACGUAUUUUUGGCAACACAAACACAAAUCCACAAUGGCUGCUCGAUAUCUUAUUAAAUUUGUUAUUGAUAGCGAUUUACUAACAUUAAAGAGAAGUUUGUAAGCUAAGGACAAACAAUUGCCUGGAUAAGAAAAACGCACGACUGUUUUGUCCAACGAAAGUUGACGCGGCGGGAGAGUGGGGGGGGGGGGUGGUGGGGGGCGGCGCGGGGGGGAGGGGCGCAAGACUCCCUCAAUAUGUUAAUUUUUCCUCUGGGUCUGGGACAUAUUUGUUAUGAGUCCCACGAAGGUGUGUGUGUGCCUUUGCGUUUUCGCUUUUUCUUAACCGCCUCUUUGGGGCUUUUAAUUUUUGCCAUUGUUCUCAUUGGACACUAGCAAUAGAUAUCAGUUGAACUUUUUUUUGGGCUGAAAUUUGAGGUUGAAAGUGUUGUCAAGUUUGCUUCAUUAUACAGAGAGAGAUAACUAGUGCUCCACUCGCUAAUCCAUUUUUGAAGGAGAAAUUAUUGGUAUGGAAUAAAACUAGCUCAUCAUCAAAUUAAGCUCAGCAUUGCAAGUUUUUUUUAGCUAAGAAAAGACUGAAAAUCAGAAACAACGUUAGUAUGGAGAUUUUUUUUACUCUGUUUUAUUGUUUUAUUCUCUCUUAUUUUUUUCCCUUUUGUGCAACUUAAUAAUUUCUCUCUCCCCUUGGCACUCGUGUAUAUUUACAUCUUGAAAGUUUAUGAUUCAAGAUUUAAUUAAUCACUAAUUUCAUGAGCAAAUUCUAUAGGUUGGCUUUCAGAGACUGGGGACAUUAGAAAUCAGUGGCUUGGAUAAUCUCAAGUUUUUAUUUUUCCCAUCCAUGGUUAAAUCUCUUGCACAACUGAAAAAGCUGACCAUAUCAAAUUGUGAGAAGAUGGAGGCAAUCUUUAUGGAGGAAGAAGGGUUGGGAAUGAAAACAUCAGAAUUUUUGGCAUUCCAGAUGUUAAUCAUUUUACACUUAGAACAAUUGAACAGUUUGACUAAACUAAAAGCAAUAUAGGCCUUUUACCUAAAUCGUUGUUUAUGCACCCAAAGAGGCUGUGGAAACGGGCCCUCCCACAAAAUAAAUACAUCGACUUUCUUAAAUAAUUUUAAUUCCUAUAAUGGGAUAUUCGGGAAAACCUUCGAUUAUUUGACUUGGGUAUAAGUAUGAUCUAUCCUUGAUAUCUAACUAUUGGAUCCUCCAGCAUGGAUAAAAAAAUCAUUGAAUUUUAAAAGGAAAAUUCAAUCGAUUAAGUAUAUUUAGUUCUUUCAAGUGGGGAAUGAAGUAAGUGAGAUUUGUUCGUUUGGCCCAUUCAAUUCCUUUUUUAAUGGCUUUCUCUUAGCCUCACUCUUUAAUUGCUUUAGAGUGAUAUAAUAUUGAUUUGAGGCAUUUGGUAUCGGAAAAAAUUACACGCCUUAAUGUAUUGCACCUUUUGAUGGAUGAUUGGUUGGCUUUUUAAUCUCAAUCUCUCCAUCAUUUUAUUUCUAAUUGCUAAUAUUCUUCCUCGAGCGAUCCACUGCAAUUUUCUUUUACUACAUCAAUUCCCUAACUUCUAACGUUGAUCACCCUUUUGACAUGGUUUUUGUUUCUUUAACUCAAUUCUUCCUUGUCUGUAAGUGAUUUAAAGUACGAUCCAAUAUUAUUUGUUUUGCUUUGAUGGUGAAUAUUUAAAGUGAUGGUUAAACCAAGCAUCUCAUACAAGAUGCUUGUACAAGCGAAGAUAUAAACUGUACACCUCUCCUUGAAUCCAUAGACAUAUUGCAACAUUGAAACAUCAUAUGUUCUUUGAGUAUUGAUUGAACAUUCUUGUCAAUGUUUGAUGUGACAAAUGCAUACUCAUUGAUCCCCUUAAAAAAGAGGCUAAUUCCAAUCAUUUAGCUCUCUUUUAAGUACCACAAAGAUUAAAAAAACACGUGGUAUGUGGUGUGAUCUUACCAUGGCACAAGUGUGUUGUCUAAUUUGAACCCUAUAAAAAGUGUUGAUCUUAUGCUAACAAAGAAAAGAUGGACAUUAUUGUUGACAUUAACGAUUGAAAUUAGUGCAAUUGUGACUAUAAUUGAUGCAGGAGUUAUUUUCACAAGGCAUAUAUCUUUAGAAAUGUGAAUUUAAGGAGUUAAUCAAGUUCAAAUAUGGAUACAAGUCAAAUAUAAAAUAUCAGCGAUAAUGUUUGUUUCAUGAGGGCACAUUUCUUUCCAUUGAAUCACGAGACUCGACAUUUUAAAAUGCAAUUAUUGUGCUCGAUAUGCAGGAUUCAAGAUAUAUUCAACAUCUGCAAACUCUAGAUGUGUCACAUUGUGAUGGGUUAUUAAAUAUGUUCACACCGAUAAUUGCUGAAAAUUUGGUGGCACUUACAAAAUUGAGGAUAAGUAAUUGUAGAAUAUUGACAGAAGUCAUUAAUGAUGAGAAAGGUGGGGAUGUCCGUGUGGUGGCUUUCAAUCAAUUGAAGUAUAUGGAGCUUGAUGGGUUGAUAGGGUUGAGAAGUUUCAGUUCGGGUGGAUACACUUUGAUGUUCCCGCUCUUGGAAGAUAUCAUUGUGACUAGAUGUCCCAACAUGAAGUUUUUCUCUUAAGGACCGAUGGAGGCAUCAAAGUUAAAGAGAGUUCAAGUAUCAAAGGAAGUGUGGUUUUGGGCAAGAAACCUCAACAUCACCAUCCAGAAUAUGUUUGAAGAAAUGGUACGCACUAGUUACCAAAUUCCAUGUAUUUUGAUGGUUUUGAUCACUAGAUGAAUAAUAGCUUUUUGCUAGCUAGAAGUUUAUGCUUAACGAUGCAUUUUUUUCAUAGGGCACGUUUGCUGGAGUAGAGAAAAUGUUGCUAUCUGAGUUCCCUGGGUUGAUUGGAAAAUGGCACAACGAACUUAAUCCCAUCAAGUCGUAUUGGCAACUAAAAUCAGUGGUGGUAGAUAAAUGUCCAUUUAUUAACGCUGUUCCAUCCAGAUUAAUGCUUGUCUUAGACAAUUUGAGCUAUUUGCAAGUGCGUGAUUGUGAGUUGCUUGAAGAAAUAUUUGAUUUGGAAGGGCUGGAGGUUGUGGAAAGCACUCGAGUACUGCCUCAGCUACGGGAAUUGAACUUGGUCAAUCUACCAAAAUUAAGGCGACUGUGGAACAAAGAUCUUCAAGAAUCGCUAUGCUUCAAUUCUCUAAAAAGUCUCAUCCUUUAUAAUUGCAGCAACUUGGGACAUGCUUUAUCUCCAUCAAUGGCUCAAUGCCUUGCCAAUCUUGAAGUAAUGGAAAUAAAGGAGUGUGGUCAAAUGGAAGGAGUGAUCGUAGAGGAAGAAGCAAAGGGAAGCGCAAUGAAGAAGAUUACAUUCCCAAAGCUCCAGUGGAUGAUGAUGGAAUACUUGCCCAAUUUGACUUGUUUCCUCUUGGGAAAAAAUCAUAUACUGGAAUGCCCCAAAUUACAAAAGAUGAUAAUUGCCCAUUGCCCCAAGAUGGAAAGUUUGAUUAGGCAAUCUCAGAUGGAGGAUGACCACAGCACCCCUUCAUUUUUCACUUCCCAGGUCAGUCUUUCAAAUAAAUGCGUCUUUGGUGUUUCAUUGGGACUUGUUCUCGUAGUAUUGGACAAUGCACGAUAUGAUGCAAAUUUUGUGCUUGUGCCAAUUUAUAUACAUAAUCUUCUAAUAUUUAAGAUGAAGAUUAAAAAUAUUCUAAUCCUCAAUAAAUAUUACUAUUAUAUGUACAUCUCCAUAUCCUAUUAGAAGUGUUAAGUUGGUGUAAGUUUAUGAAAUCAUAUCAUAUGCAGUACUUUAGAAUUAAUCAGCGAGGUUCCUAAAAAAGUUAUCACAAUAACCAUAUAAAAACAUUUGCUUUUUGCAAUUUCAAUUAUAAAGAACUAAAACAGAAAACAUAGAAUGGCAUCUAAAAAUGGCAUAAAAAAUAUUAAGUAUCGCCCCUUCAUAUUUAUUUGCGUGGAAGCAAACUAUUGUCAUUCUAUUAAACAUGAAGAAAAGGGAAAAGUAAAACUUCAUAAUUGUAAAAGCCAAUUUCACAAAUUGUUUAACUAUUACAGCUCAUUAUACCAUAAUUAGUGGAGCCAACUUUUGUAUUUCUUAAUAAUCAUCUAUGCUUGAGCAAGGUCUUGAUAAUAAAAAAAAAAAUAAAAAUAAAAAAGGUCAAUAUGCAUGAAGUGGUUUGCCUUCCUUGUUCGUAAAUCAUAUUUGAAUAGCUAUACUCCAACAACCUAUCAAAUUAUGCACCUGUAUUAUACAAUAAAUUUUAACUUUGGUUUAUCAUAUUGAGUGAUAAUUAGUGUGAUAUUAUGCACAAUCUAUAUUUAGUAGGAGAAAAUGCAGAUUACUUUUUCCGGAAAAAGAAAUGGCUUAAAAAAGGAAAAAAUAAAAGAGAAAAAAGGACAUCUGGAUAAAUAGUAGCAAUUCCAAGGGCGGUUGCUGACAUUGCAAGUCUUAUUUCAUAACUAGAUGACAAUAUUUAGUCAAUGUCCUAGUUAAAAUGAAAAUAUUAUAAAUCAGAAUAAAUUAUCCGACCAACAACACCACCCAAGGGAAAAUAUUAGGGGCAUUAAAUACACUGCAUAGGAUUCGUAUUGAAUCAUCCGCAGACUGACACGUGGCAACGCCGGACCCACUUGUCAGUUGAGCGAUUAAAAUUUUUGCUCCCCCUUUCUCUUCAAUAACAGCCCAUCAUAGGGGAAGCUCUGCUCUCCGCAACAACUUGGGCGAAAUGAGGUUCUACCGGGAAACCAUGGAUUUUUUAGUUUUCGCCAUUGGUUACUGGUCUGCUCUCCUCCUCCUGGUAUGGCUCUGCUCCCUCUCUCUUUCCUCCGCGAAGGUGCAUCUCUAUGCGUGAACCACACCACAGCCUUGGCCUCCAUUAGUUGCUGUGCGCUCACUGGACAGAGGAAAAAAAAAAACCAGAAAAAGGAAAAAAUUAGACAAAGUCUAUUUGGUGUUUUAGACUUCUCCCCCCUUAAGAAUUGUUCUGUCUCAGCCAUUUCGGUUCACCUUGAUCCUCUUUUUCGCAACAAGGAAAAAAAAAGUGAACCAAAUCUUAGAGUCAAGUAACAGUAACUCUUCUUUCUUCCCCUCGCUCCCCUUCCUCUACUUUCUUUUUUUGGGAAGAUUAAUUGGGUGGUCCGUCCAAUGGUUGAAUCGGAAGCUUCGGAAUCGCUUCUCUAAAGCUCGCCUCCUCUCUGCGCGCGUGCAUGCGUGGGUUCCGAGCGAUUACGCGAACCGAAGCUUGUUGGUUAUGGUGGUGGAUCGAGGUGGAUCUCCGAUGCGGAAGCGAUUGCGGCGUCAAUUUUGUCGGGGCGUUGAUUCCCGGCAAAGAAAAAUUAAAAAAAAUCUUCUCUUCAGCCCUCUCUUCCUCCUCCUUCGUCCACAGCUGUCCGACCUUCGCUCCUCCUCCGCCGUCGCCAACGGCGGAGUCACCAGCACCUUGAUUAGGCUGACCCUUGCUGUGUCCAAGCCGAGCAUGGCCGUCUUCCUCUGUUUUGUCCGCCUCAUCGUUCUAUAGAUCUCGAAAUCUGGCCGUCCAUAGCGACGGAGUUGCAGAUCUGGAAAUCAACCACCGUCGCUUGUAGCCAUGGACGAGCCGCUGUCGCUGUAGCCAUGGUUGCAGAUCUGGAAGUCCCGUCGCGAGUAACGACGGCUUAUGGACUGCCAUUGUCCCCUCCGUCGACGCCCACGGUCGGCUCGUGGUCGGCCCCGUCCAUGGCCGAGCCACCCCUCCAUCGUCACAACUGCUCGUGGUCGUUGCCCGUUCUGAUCUGGACUGGAGUCGUGCCUCCAGAUCUGGUUUCAUCCAUGGACGCAAGCCUAGCUCGUCCAUGGCUCGCGAGGAGGCUCCCCCACAAAUCUGGCGACCACUGCUUGUCCAUGGCCAUGAGCCUUGACGGCGAGUUUGAGAUCUCGACGGCUAUGGACUGCGAGAUCAAACAGCGAAAGAAAAAAUAGAGAAACAGAUGUCAGGGAAGAAUGGCCAUGGAUGAGAGGGCCGGAGCUUGAACGCGGCCAUGGACGAGCGGCGUCAUGAACGGGCAGACCACAAAGACGACGGAGAGGGUUGGAUGCCAAGCAAUGGUCGCCUUGGACGCGGCGCCGGGAACUCCGCCGGUGGCGACGGCAGAGGGAGGCGGGAAGGUUGGGCUUAAUGUGGAUGGAGAUGGAGAUGGAGAAGGAAAGUGAGGUGGAUUGAGAUUUUUAAUGUUUAGUCAAUGUCCUGGCUACAUAAAAAAUUAAAAAUAAUAGGAAUUGAUCAUCCAGUCAACACUUUCAUUCCGUCUCAUGAAGUUCUUCUCCUCAUGUGAAGACUAAACGCAAUAAAUGACAACCUCCUCCGGCACUUCUCUUUUUUGGGUCGAAUCCUCAGGCACUUGAAAAUGCGCGAUGUCGACCCAAAUUUGAUUGUUUUGACCUUUUUUUUUUUAUUACAGAUUCCAUGCAAGUUUUGUUUUGUUUUUUUUUUCCCUGAUGGAGGAAUUUUUUUUAUUCUCAUAAUUCUGCGCAAUUCUUUCAAUUGUUUUAUGUGAGUAGAAUGUUUAAUUAUAACAAGUAUCUACACAUUUGUUUACUUUUUAAUUGUAAGAAUUAUCACUAAUUAUUUAUUUAUACUGUCAUUUGCAUGUAUAAGUUAUAUAAUACCCAGCCCCGCAUUCUAAGAAUAUUUCAAAAAGUCAUUAUAACACUCAAUCAACAAUACUAAUAAAUUUGGGAAAGUAUGAAAAUAGUCAUCUAAUCUUUUGGUAGUGAUAAGUUGUAAUAGCGCUAAUUUCAUUUUUAUAUCAAAUAUGAGCUGUCAUAUACUAAUUGAUAGAUUUAAGGAAGUGUGGAAAGUCAAUUCUUUUUUUUUUGGUGACAGAUCGUAAUUGCAUUAAUUAUAUUGUAACCAAAUGAAAAAUAUCAAUACUUACUUUUCAAUGAAUAAUUCAUUGGAGGUCAUGAUGUAGUAAAAAAAAAAUCUUGAUUUUCUCCAUACAAACAAAAUACGAUCAGCGGAUGCACACCCACUUUUUGCCAAGGGGUGGAUCACUCGGUACACUGCAAGAUUCUAUUUUAUUUUUCCACCUUAAAUUUUAAUAAAUAUUAUUUCAAGGAUGUUAUUAAUGGUCCAAUGUAAAACUAGUAAAUUGACCCAACUUGUUUUUGCUGAGAUCAUAACAUUAUGUUAUUUAUUCAAGUCGUUAUGUUACCCAUGCCUAUUAAGAAAUUAUUUUCUUUCAAUACAAAAAAUUUCCAUGCAUAAAAAAGAAAAAGGUUGUGAACAAUUGAAGUUACUAUAAUUUUUUUUUUUAUAUCCGGUUUGCCAUAUAAAUUUCAUGACUCUUCUCUGCAGUGAAUUUUAUUAAUUUGAGGAUUCAUAAGUACUGUUCGCAAUUUAGUAUGAAUAAUUAGCAGUGCUCAUGGUAAAUAAAGGAAAUAAUGUUGAGCCAAGCAUUAGUUUCAUCCAUUCCUUAUUCAAUACAUACACUACUUAAGUUCUUCACACCCACUAUUCAUAUCCUUAGUUGACUAGCUCAUCAACACCAUGCCCUUGCUUUUUCUCUAAUUGUUAUGCAUGUUCACCUUGAAGCAAACAAAUCUAAAACAUAACCGAUCUUUGCCGACUAACAUAACGGAAAUUUUCAGCUUGUAUCACUGAAUCUAAAUGUUGCUCUUUUCAAUAGUUCUAUCGGACUGCCUAGCAAGCUCCCUAAACUUUUUGCCAAUCUUCGUGCUUAUUCAUUACAAAAAUACAACUUGUCAUGCCUCCAUGGAACCAACAUUGUUUUGCGGGAUUCAUAUUCUGUUCUUCUUCGUCUUUGUCCUCAUUUAAUUGCAUAGAGAAACAAUUGAGUGAGCUAUCAUUGAUGUUUAGUCAACGGCUCCAUUCAUGCAUUAGCAUAAAUAGGAGGGCUCUCAUUUCUCUCUCUUUCAAUUUUGCAUUGUAGGUUUUCUUAUGCUUUAGAUGCUCUUGCAUCCAACUGGAAAAUAGCGUCUCUCUCUCUGUGAUUGUGACAUAAGAGCUACUAUAAAAAAAAAAAUGAGGACUUAGGAGGAGGGGGAUUAGGAUGAAGUUGAAAGGUACAGAACCAGUCUUAGCAACCAUUUGAAUGAACCCAAGUUCCAUGUCCAUAAGGCCUAUCAACCUAAUUCCCAGACUUUUAAGUUAUCGCUAUGAUUUGCCGAGUAAUUAAGAAAAGUCAACAUUGUCUGGUCACUCCAAAAUCUUAUAAAUGCAUUUAUAAUUUCAUGUUUGUUGCAAUGCAUUAUCUCUAGCCUUAGUCUUCAAUCAACUUGUAUAAAGGCAUCAAUCAACCCCUCUCUAUUUAUGUCACUAAUGAGAUCUUGACUUCUCAUGAUUUGUGAGAAUGAGGGAAGUCUGGAAAUUUCUUCUUUAAGGUCAUAACUCAAUGCAAUCACAUUCAUUGUGUCAUUUUUUUUCUCAAUAUGGCAGGUACAAUUUCCUCAACUUAUACGGAUGGAUCUUUCCCACAUGGGCAAUUUAAGCAAAAUAUGGACUGACGGUCCUCUAGAAACUCUGACUUUUGAUUGCUUACGGGAAGUGAAGGUUCUUAAUUGUAAGAGCCUUGCAAAUUUGUUUCCAUAUUGGGUGGCUACAAGUUUAACCCAACUUGGAAAACUUCAAGUGGAGUCUUGUGAGAUUGAGGAAAUAGUCGCUAGUGGGGAUGACACUCCAUGCUCCAAUACUACUCAAGAUCUUUUCCCAGAACUAACCUCUCUGGUGUUACAUGACAUGCCACGACUCAAGAGCUUUUGUCCUAACUUGCCUUUGAAUUUGCCAUUAUUGAAGCAAUUACGAGUGACUCAUUGUGAAAAACUAAGCAUGUUAUCCUUUGUGGCAUCCAUGAACAGAUGGGUUCAAAGAGAUGAUCAACAAGACCUUUCAGAUCAAGAAGCACACUCUUCAUUUGAGAGGGUAUGAUUAUAGUUGCUCUCCCUUAGUUUCCACUUUGUUCUUUAAAGCAGUCACUAAUAUCAUAUCCAUUGCAUAUCAUGUCGCGUUAUGAUGUUAUAGAAAACAUGAUCUCCCCUACCUAUUAGUUUGUCGACAACAUUAAGAUAUUUCUAAUAUCUUACGUACACUUCCAUUUGUGGACAUGCAUAAGAUAUUCCAUUACCGAGAGUUACAAAAAAAAAUUAUAGUAUUCUAUUGAUAACAGAAUAUAUUCCUAAUCUAACCUAAUGGUGCUCUUGGGCGACAUCAAUAAGGAUUUGCCAAGAGGUCCUCUCCAUUAUUGACACGUGUUGCACACUUGAACUUUUCUUCUCUAUUUCAUUUUCUACAAACUCUAAAAAAAUCAAUUCAAACAAUUUUUUUUAUAACAAAAAUAACAUUAGUACCUUAGUGCACUAUUUUCUACUGUAUUUUUUAAUACACUAGUCGUCGUGUUAUCCUGUUAUAAUACUAUAGAAAACUAGAAUCCCUUUCCUAUAAGUUUGCAGACAACAUAAGAUAUUUCUUAUAUCUUAAGCAUACUUCUGAAUUUAUGGACCCCAUAUGUUUUAGUGACAUCUUGAGUGCAUCCCGUUACAUAAGAUUCCAAAGAAGAUAAAUUUUUGUCAACAAGAUAAGAUAUUCCUUACAAAAGAUGAAUUUAGUGAGUGCAGGGAUCUUGAAUUUAGAUUCACUCUAUCCACUUGACCAGACCAACCUCUACAUGAGACUUUUAAAAGCUUGAGUCUUGAACACAAGGUUCUUGAGAUAUAAUGAACUUUAAGAAGAGGACCACCUUCCAUGCGAAUCAUCUUAAUAGGUUUACCUUUUACAGCACGUGAUUUAUUAUCGAAACUUUGUUGAAUUUACUUCUCUUGUUGUAUUGGCAAUUCGACAGGACUUUCCCAACUUGGAGAGACUUUUAUUAGUCAAUAACAAUAUUCAAAUGAUACAAGAUGGAAAUUUUUCGGAUGACAUGUUUAGCAAGCUAAAAGCACUAACACUAGCAUACUUUCAUGAUAAAAAGGCUGCCUUUCCUUCCAUAUUCCUCCUAGAGAGAUUUCAGAAUUUACAAAGCCUUGAAGUCUUCUGUAGCUCAUUUGAAGAUUUAUUCUCGAACGAAGGGCUUGUUGAAGAAAGAAAACAUCCGGUGCUUGAAAAUUUAAGAGAACUUAAGUUGAACAAGCUACACAACUUAAAGUGUGUGUGGAGAGAAGACUCUUUAGUGUCGAAAAUUCUUCAGAGCAUCGAAACAUUUGAGGUUUGGGAUUGUCCCUGUUUGACAACAAUAUUUCCAACCGAGACAUCCUUCCAGAAUCUAACAGAUUUAGUGGUGAAGAAUUCCUCUGGAUUGGUACAUCUAGUAACGACUUCAGCAGUCACAAAUUUGGUACAUCUCACUUAUAUGACUAUAAUAGGAUGUGAAAGAAUGAAAGAAGUAGUGGCCGACGAUGGAAACAGAGAAGAAAAAGUGAUUUCUUUUGAAAAGCUAAUAUGGUUGACACUUGAACAUCUGCUAAACUUAGAAUGCUUCUCUUCUAUCCCAAGUUGCAUCUUUAGGUUCCCAUCCUUAUGGAAUAUUAAAGUGGAAGAGUGUCCAAAAAUGAAGACCUUUUCUAAGGGUAUACUAAACACACCAGAACUAGAACAUGCGUCAUUGUUCAGAUACAAGUGGGAAGGGAAUUGGGAGAAGGGUGAUGAUCUCAAUACAACCAUACAGAAGUUAGCAGCAUAAAUCAAUGCACAUAGAAUUGGAAAAUUCAAUUGAUGUCAUUCUCUCAUCCAUUUUUUUUUUCUUUAGUCUUUCGGCAGCGCCGCAACUUUUUAAAAUUUUUCUUUUUGUGACUUUUCUAUUAUUGAUUUCGUCAAAUCAACAUGACCGUCAACCCUAUCGAUGGAUCUCGGCUCAUCCUUAACUGAACAGAAGGAAGCAAAGCGGGUCUCUCCUUCUCCUUCUCCUUCUUGACGCCAAAGGCUCUUUCUCCAUCUUUCUUCUUCUUCUUCCUCCUCUGUGGAGCGAAAUUGGGGGAAGCCUCUGCUGCCUUCACAAAGGACGGAGCAAAAAUGAAGCAUCAGGAAUUGCCAGGACUGCCAGAAGCGAAGCUGCAAUUAGCCGAGCGGAGCCAAGUAGAUUCAACCAGACGCUGUCGUUGUCGCCGUCGUCACCGCCGGAGGUGGCACAACCGAGUGUGGACAGUUAGUCGUCCACUCACUUCAUCAAAGAAGAAGAAGAUCACACUCUCUCUCCGCAUCUGUAUCCGACAAAUCGUAAGUUCAUGUUUCUUCCGAUUUUGGUGUCUUAUUGCGCGUGAAUUAGGGCUCUAUUCUUCAAAUUCAUUCCACAUUCGAGUCUAAAAACAGGAGUUACUCAAACAAGCAAUAUAUUGCCCUUAAAUCUACAUCUUCUGUACUUCCCUCCCGAGCAUUGGCGAGAUUUCUGCGUGUUUGAGCUCUCAUAGAUGGAGAUGAUAUAUUGUGUUCAAGGUCUCAUGUUGAAAUUUCUUUAGGUAGAGAUAUCUCUGUAACAUCAGGUACAAAUUUCUACCAGGAAAAAGGGAGAAAUCAUGGAACUUGAAAAUAUUCCGAGAAUUGCAUGCCUUGUCAAAAAUCUGAAAAGUCACUUUUACGCCUUGAUCGUAAUAUAGUCUGGACCGUCUGAGGAAUCACUUGUAAUCUUGAUUGGUUAAGUGAUGCUGGAAGGAUAAAAUUUAUUUCCAAUUUAUGCUAAAAUCUUUUUCAUAGCAAGUCAAACUAAUGAAGUGUACUUAAACUAUCUCUAAAGUUGUCGUUUUUUAAGUACAGGCAGGUCCAAACAUUCGAGCAGAUUGAGGCAUCCUGAGCUGGUUUUUUAUGGUCCCAUGCGCCCAAGGCCUCUCACUGCUUUUACAUCGGCCAACAAAUUUCAAAUGGAGCAUCCCUUUUCCAAAGGUGGUGAUGAGGCCUUCUUAUGUUAAGUUUGGCUUGGUAUGAUCCCAUGCUUGUUGAGUCGAGCUCAUGUCUGAAAAUCAAACAUAUCUUAGCUUAUACUCUGGUUUAUAUGCAAGUUGACUUAAUGUAAUAAACCACAUGACAUGUUAUUUUCCUUGAAUUGUUCAUGGGUGUAUGUUUCAAACCAGGUAUAUAUCUUAACAACAAAGUAGUUGAAGUAGGGAAAAGAAUGAAAGGACGGUUAUCGGGACAUAAGCUGGUGGUCAAGGUUUGAAAAGAUAACAAUUAUCUCCUUUUUUGUGGAUAGAUGUUUUGGAAAGCAAUUGCUGGAGCAAGUGUUAAGAAUUAGAAUCCAAGUACUCUUAUAUGGAGAAAUUUGACAAUGUUAUUCAAUGCUGUAAAAGUAGUAAUUAUAUAAAUCAUACAAGGGGACCAGUUGAUACAGACAAUCAAAUUGCAAAGAAUGUUGCUCCCUCCGUGGCUCAAGGGAAAGACCUAAAAGAUAAAAGGGUGGCUAGUUAUGAUUCUGAAGUUUGAUCGUAGAUCUUGAUGACUCUUAUUAUUAAUGUCAAACAGGAGAUACUGUUUUAUUCUGUUAUAUUAAUAAGAUAUUUGAGGAAAAAAAUAGAUGAGUUUACUUUGUCGAAUUGAAUCUGUAGUUUGAUAAAAUUCGAGCUGCAGUUGAAAGAAUUGAACAGCUUAGAUUGAAAUUUUCACUUCCAUCCAUGUUCCAGUCAUCGAUGUCUUUGCCUUUUCCCCUGCACUUGUGGUUUGUGUGGCUGAAAUUCACGGUCUCAAAUAUACAUAGGACAUGGAAGGCCUUUUCUAGUUAUGUACGCGAUCGCACUCCAGGGGCAUAUAUCUUGACAUUUGACCUUGGGUUGCAAGUUGAGAUUGUUUACUCGUAUUAUAUGGUUUAUUUUCAAUUAAAACUCCUGAAACUAGCAACUACUGCCUUAAAUUCGUAUUGUGUGAUUAGAUUCUCUCAUUAGUGUAUGCUUAUGUUUUGGUCUUUCUUCACCAUAAAUUGGUUUUUGACCAUGUAAAUGGGGACUCUGCUCCUGUUCAAUUCAUCAGGCAACAUAAUCUGGAAAAAAUGUAAAUUGCAACUCUCAGCUAUUCAGACAAGUCAUGGACGUUGAAACUCAGGAGCCAUGGACGUGGACACAGGGGGGCCUUUUUUUCUGCUGGUUGGCCCACAUUUGCUAGAGAAGCUCAUCUGCAUGUAGGAGAUGUUUGUAUUUUUGAGCUAAUUGAUAGUGAGGAUGUGUGUUCAGAGUCUACAUUUCCACUAGAGCUGGUAAGGACUUGGUUUACAUUGAUUGAAAUGAACUAUGGAAGUGUCAUUUUCGCUCAUCCAAAAUAAAUCCUGUAUUCAUCGUCAUUUCUUCUUUGGUGGUCUUGGUGAAUCAAUGAAGUAUACUUCUUCCAUUCCCGUUGUGUUUGUGAGGUUCGCAAUAAUCCAGAUGCUCACUUAUUAAUCUGCAUCCCAAAUCUAAAUGAACCAAAAAGGAUGUGAUUCAAGAUUAGAGCAAAAGUUAAAGCCUGAAACGCUCGUCAUGAGAAUUUAGAGAGGCGUGACUUGUUGGUUUCUAAGUUAUGUUUAUGUGAACAACGACACAUUCUUUUUCUUAUUCUCUCUCAAAAUUUGUGAAAUUCUCCUAAUAAGCUUUUUGUAUAUUGAUUUUGUGGCAUUAUGAUUUAGGAGGUGCUAAGGGUAGUAAUCAAUUAUGUCUAAAAUGCAGAACAUGUAGACAUUAGUACCAUGAUCACAAGUACUGAUGUUUAGAUCAUUGUAACUCAAUACAAUGUCGACAGUGGUACCUGCGAGAAUUUUCUUUUUUCUUUUGUGCCUAUCGAUCUGAACAGUCUAAAUGUCAUGUAGCCCUCCUGAGCAGGUUUUGUAUGGUUCCACGUGUCCAUGGCUGGCCACUGCUCUUGAAAAAACUAGAGAAUUUGAAUUUGAGCAUCCACUUUUGAAAUUGGUGAUUUGGCCACUUUUAUUAAAAAGAGAAUUGCAGUAAGGGCCUAUUUCCUUUCAUAAUUGGCAUAUCCCAACCGUGAUGCCAUCUACAUCUCGCCCUGUAGUCUACUAUUUUCCCAAGUGGUUUUGCUUUUUAUUGGAGAUGUUGUUUUCUUUGAAAUGUGUAUGGCUUUAUGUGUAAAACUAGGGCAGUUUUGAUUUUGAAUUUUUUUUUUUUUUUUUAAUUAUGGAUUCAGAAGAUUACAGAUUCUUAAAUAAUAGAUUGUACUUUCCUCACUACUCAGGUGUAAAGAAGAUUGCUUUUGUUCAUUGACUAAGAGGAUGUGGUGAGACAAUCAGUGUUAGCACACCUGAAGCGUUAUCAUGAGAGUUCAAAAAUAGUGUACACUAUUGUAGAGUCUAUGAGCACUGUAUCGUGACAUUUUAACAUCAAAUUGCAAGUUGGGAUUGAAGACUUCUAUUUGUCAGUUAACACUGUUAAUUGAAUUUACUGAAACUAGUAAAUACUAGCAUAUAUUAACAUUUUGUUUGCCUUGUCUUUUUAUUGUUUGUUUGUAUUUAAUCUUUUCCUCAUCAUGCUACAUUGGCGGAGUGUUCCUUGUGAAUUCAUCAAGAAGUACAUUCAGAAGAACCAUUAGAUUGCUACUCUUAGGUAUUUGAACAAAUCAUGACCAGUGCAACUCAAGACCUAUCAACACCAUUUUUUAGCAAACAUCUCUGUGGUUGGCCCAUGUUUGUGAGACAAGCUUAUCUGGAUGAAGGGGAUGUCUUCGUGUUUGAGCUCAUUGAUAUGGAUGAUUUUAUGGUCAAAGGCUCCAUCUCCAAUUAUGCUUGUAAGGACCUCAUUUAGGUCGAUUGAGAUGAACAUUGGACGCAUCACUUGAGGCUGUAUAUUAGUGAAGCAAUUCCUGCCUCACUUAUUCAGUUGCGACAAAUCAAUUGAAAGUGCGCUUACUUUUGGCUUUGCUUCUCUCUCUUGACCUACUUAUAGUCUUAUCAGAAUUCUCUUUUUUCUUUUGUCCAGGUCAGAACAGACAAGUCUGAAUGUCCAGUGAGCCCCUCCUAAGCAAUUUUUUCAUGAUUCCAAGUGUUCGAGGCCUCUCACUGCCCUUGAGAAAGCUAGAGAAUUCAAAUUGGAGUAUCCCUUUUCCAGACAGUGAUGUGGCCAUCUUUUCUUAAGAAAGAAGUGGUGGUAAGGCCCAGAUCUCCAUUCAUAACUGACGUCUCAAUUAUGCAUGCCACCUAUUCUAUAUAUGCGCCCCACUGUGCAAAUUUUUCCCACGUUAAUUUGGUUUUUAUAGAAACACAGGACAUGUUAUCUUCUGUGAAGUGAUCAUGGUUAUAUGUUUUAAACAGGAAUCUUAACAACUGAGUAAAGGGACUAGGAAAAACAAUAAGUUGGGACAGUAAUCAGGAAAUAACCUAAUGACAGGGGGUGCGGAGACAGGAUCAGAGGGUUGGGAAAGGCAAUAACAACCAUAAGUUAGCAAUUUAAUAGUUUCUAAUUGAAGUAUAAGUUCCUCCCAAAGAUGACUACUUGGUACUUUCUCAGGCUGCCUAGGCUUGGGAAGAAGAGGUGACACGAAAUGUCCAGCUUAAGCCAUAGCUACUGCAACAGGCCUAGGCUUGGCAUGACUGAGCUCACUGCAACAGCAUGGCAACACUAGUCAGAUAUUGCUCACUGGCAACAAAUGGUUUACAAGAGCUACCAUUGCAAGCAGGUUCAAACUUGCAAUCGAAAAUGAAGGGAAGCCAAUGUGGCCUAGACCUCAAAAAUUAGUGCCACCAACUCGAUGGUAUGAAACGAAGAAAAGAAGCUCACUUCUUUUUGGCCAGGCAAAAGAAGAUCACUUACUUUCUGUGCUUGUGUGUCCAUUUAGGUCCCUAUGUGUAGCUUUUCAUGUUUAUUCGAUGCAUAUUGCAAUGUAAGAUUGGUGACUCAGAUAUUCACCAGAUUCAACUUGUCUCUAUAUUGAUUACACGUACUUAGUGUAGAAUCUAAGAGCACAGGAUUGUGAUAUUUUGAUUUCAGAUUGCAAGUUGUGAUUAAAGGCGAUCUCAUCAUGUCUUUUAGACUGCUAAUAUGGACUUUGGAAACUAACAACUACUAGCAUAAAUGUACGUUUUGUUUGCCUUUUCGCUUUAGUGUAUGCUUACAUUCCUAUGUGUUAUCAUAUAUUGGCUGGUCAAAUGUCUUCAUGGGUAGAGUGUUCUUAUGAAUUCAUAAAUACAUGCAUUCAAGAAAACCAGCGAAUUGUGACUCCUGGGUGCUCGGACACAUUGUGGCGGUGACCAUAAGGACCUAUCGAUGUUGUAGUGAACUUCUGUGUUGGUUGGUCCAAGUUUGUGAGUCAAAGUUGUCUUGAGUGAAGGGGAUGUCUACGUGUUUGAGCUCACUAAUAGGGACAAUGUUUAGGUUGAAUUGGGAUGUAUUUUGGAAGUCACUUUACUAGUUGAAAGCAAUUUCUGCCACUAUUCUGUUGUGAUGAAACCGGAUAAAAGUGCACUUAUAUUUGUAACCGUGCUCUGUUCAGGUCUAGUUACGAUCUUAUCAUUUCUAGGCUUAAACACAUUUUCUACCUUAGGUAUCUCUCUUGAGCUUGUCGCGCUUUUAUCAUCGCCUUUUUGGAAAGGAUCUCUGGUUCAGCACUCGCCCUGGUUACUGAACCUGGUUUUGUAUUACAAGAGAAUGUCAAAAGUGACGUGCUUUAGUUCUAGAAAGGAUGUGGAAAUUUAUGCAGCAUACCAUGAUGCAGCAUACCAUCCCUCAUGGUCACUUGUUAGUUUUCAAAUAUGGGAAAGACAGCCUCUAUACUCAUGUAAUUAUAUUUGAUAAAAGUGUUUAAAUAGAUACAUUAUCCCCAAGUAGUGAUGAAAUUGAAAACCCAGAGAGUGAAUUCCAUAUACAUCUUGCCCUAUAGUCCGCUGUUUUCCCAAAUUGUUUUGGUUAGUCAUUGGAAUCACAUGGAUAUUAUUUUCCUUUAAGUGUAAAUGGCUACAUGUGUAAAAUUUUGGUUUUGAAAUUGCAUUUUGUUAAUUUAUGGAUUCUUAAGAUUACCAAUUUUAAAAUAAAAGAUCGUAUUUUGUUUUAAUACUAAUCAAUUGUAAAGAAGAUCACUAUUAUUCAUAGGCUAAGAGGACGUGGUUGAGAGGAUCAGUGUUAGCAACUCCUGAAGUGUUAUCAUGAGAGUUCAAAUAUAGUAUAUACAAUUGUAGAGUCUAUGAGCUCUGUCCUAUGACAUUUUGACUUCAGAUUGCCGGUUGAGGAUCAGUUAAGACUGUCGAUUGAAACUCUUGAAGCUAGUAAAUACAAGCAUUUAUUUGCAUUUUGUUUGCCUUUUUCUCUUUAUUGUUUGUUUGUAUUUAUUCUUUUCCUCAUCAUAUAUUGGUUCACAAAUAUCUACCUCGCCAAGAGUGUUCUUUGCCAAUUCAUAAAGAGAUACAUCUAGAAGAACCAGCAAAUUGUGACUUAGGUAUUUAAACAAAUCAUGGUUGGCGCAGCUCAAGACAUCUGUUAUCCAGCAAACAUCUCUGGUGGUUUUGCCCACGUUUGUGAGAGAAGCUUGUCUGAAUGAAGGGGUUUUCGUGUGUUUGAGCUCAUUGAUAGCGACAAUUUUAUGGUCAACUCUUUAAUUUGACCGUAAGUGAAAUCUCCGCAAGCAAUGCAAUGCGACUGUGCCAGCCACGCUCCCUGGUCGAAACUGGUGCAGUAGUUAAAUCCCCAGGUUGUAGUGUUAAGACCUCACAUUAGUCAAGACUUGAUCCAAGCGUAAUCAUCUGUGAACCGGACGCCGUUGCAUAUCUUGGACAUAAGCGUCACGUCCGGGUUGCUUCUUACAAGACUUGGACCCCCACAGAAGCCCAGUGAACAUAAGGGUGAGCGCAUGUGAUGUGGCCAUGGUCAUCCUAGAGCCCUUUUUUCCUCCUUUUGGCUCUCUUUGGUUUGCUACAGAGAGACACACAAUUGAGUUUGGCUAUGAUAAGGGUUCGUCUUCAUGGCGCACUCCAUUUAUUUGUUGCUCUUGGGCUAAGUCAGUCCCAAUUUUAGUCAUUUAUGACGUCACGUAAUUUUUUUUUAAUCAUUUAUGACGUCACAUAUUUUUUUUUUUUUUAAUAACUUCAACGGUUGUUUCUCCGGAAUUUUUUUUUUGUCAGUCCUACUCUAAUCUUACUCUACGCUCAUUCUCAGACUUUUGUCCUGCCUCUUGCAGGGCGUGGAAGUCGAAACCCACUCCUAAAACUCACGCAUCCCCACCCCAUCCCCUCCUGAGAAAGUGGAGAUUUGAACCCCUCACCUCCCCCUUCCAUGUUGGAAGGGUGGCCACUGGGGGCUGUUUCUAUGGAUUACUCACCCAUUAAUGUACUUUGUUGUUGCCAUCCUCACAAACCAUAAUCUCAUAAUUUUCAAAGAAAUAUUUCCCUCUCUCUCUCUGACUAUGCAUGAAAAUUCAAAAUUGAGAUCCUCUAAGUUUAGGAAAUAAAUUUACGCUACGAUAAGGGAGUGAAUAAUAAUCAUUUUGUUCUAGAAUUCGAUUUUUUGUCAUUCCUUGGACGAAUUUAUGAACAAAAAUAUGCAUUUGAUAACGACAUAAAGUUUCUGUUAUUGAAAUAGAAAUUCGUUUAACAUAAAAUUUCUCCCUCCUAAGCAACUAGCAGGUGGCGGCCCUAAACAAACCAUUUCACUUUUAUUUUUUAUUUUUAUUUUUUUUCAAAAAUAGAGAAGUAUAAAAUUUUUACUUCUCAUUUAGUAUUUCUAAGCUAACAAUUUGUUUUGGAAUUUGAAAAAUGAAAUUACAUUAUCAAACAAAUUUUUGUUCCGAACUCGUUCCUAUAUCAGAAAAAUAACAAAAUAGAAAAACAAAAUUGUUGUCAUGCGAGUACCCUAAAUGACCCACUUCACUAUUAUUUUCUUCUUUCUUCUCCUAUUUUGCACACACGUGUUUGCUUCACAUAUGAGUCUCGAAUAUAUUUCUACAUGUAACAUUGUAAGCUUAGGUCAGGUAAUUAAUGGAGUUUGUAAUACUUUUAUAAUCCAAAUAACACCAUACUUUUGUUGCUGCUAACACUACUACUAAGAGUAUUAAAAAAGAAAAAAAAGAAGCCCAAACACCUGGAUUGAACCACCCGAACUAGCCUGAUAAUUUUGGGCUCAAAUAGUCUCCGGCCCGGCCACUAGGCCUCAAACUAUCCAUGAGUUUGGGACCUGAAUGAUUGCCAAAACCAACCCGAUUCAUAGAUCGGAAACUGUACAUAUGUAUGUCCCCCUAUGUCAAUUCCCUUUCACCUGUUGAGGGCUCAACUUCUCUCAUUCGCUCAUUUCUCACGUUGAUCGAGAUCUGGCUGCCACCAAGCUGCCAUCGUCGCCACGGUCAAGCCCCAGCACUCGCCAUAUGGCCUCCGUCUAAUAUGUUUCACUCACUCCCUUAGUCCCUUUUAUGCUUGUUCGCAUCUUGAUCUCCCUUGCGCUCCCUCGCUCUCUACUAGUAGAAAACUGGCCUUACUAGCUUGUUUUGAUGUCUUAUGGUUUUUUAUUUUUGUACAUGCUAUUUGAAAUUUUUAUUUGAAAUUUUUAAAUAAUAGAUAGUCCCUCUUUAAAAAGAUGCAAUUACCUUUUUAUUAUUUUUGUUUCACAAUUAAUUAGUUACGUUUAGAUUGUGGAGAGAAGUAGAGAGUGGCCAUAACUGACGAUUUUCAUUUUUUAAUUACAAAAUGACGAGAAUCGCCCCCGAAUUCAUUUAAAAUUUAAUUGGAGUUAUUAUGAUAAUAGGGUUUUUGAGUUAAUUUAAAUUGAGAGACAUAAGAGGAACCUCUCCGUUAAAGAAUUGACAAAUUUGUUGAUGUUUUAACAAAUCAUAGCCAACUAGUGUUAGCACAAGAUAUGAUCCCUCAUCGAGCUAAUUGAGUUGGGAAAAUUGUUACUUUCACCUGGUGCAUACUCUAUUCAAGAAUUGUUUGAACUCGGGUUGAUGAUUUUUCGAGAAUUAAUAUCUAGUCAAGCUCUAACUCAAGCUACUUGAGGAUCUUGCAAAUUGAAAGCUUAAGUUCGCCACUACUCGGCUCUUAAAAUUUUGUAAGCCUAAUUCAAAAUAUUUGAUUGGUAUGUAAUUAUACAUAGACAUCCUCAUCCACACACAAGUAUAUUUAGUGUAUCGACUUUUCGUAUGAAUCAAGCUCUAGCAUAAGCAUGAAGUUAAUACUUGGUCAAGCUCAAAUCAAACACUGAGUAAGGAGUUGAGCCAGUUUCGAGUUUGGCACUGUGGUGGCUUGAUUAGACCCCUAGGUGCUAGCCGUUUUGACAUCCAAUUCGAUUAAUAGAAGCCAACGUGUUCAUUAAAGCGAUUAAGAACUCUGACGUGCAAAAUUCGAGUGCAAGGUUAUUGUUGGGAAAUCUCAUUAUUCAAGAUGCACUCAUGAUUUUCGCAAGUUUCAAUCCCACUAUAAUUUUCAAUCCCUAUAUUAACCGAUAGGUCAAAUGAUAAAAGUAAGUGAACAUUAAUAAAUGUAUGAAAUCUUCAAAAGUCACUUUUCCGAAGUCCUAGCUGUAUUAUCCAUGGGACGUAGCUUGGCUUCACAAAUCCUUGUUGUAACUUCUAUCCGAUAAAAUGGCACUCAAGUUCCAUUUACUUGGUAAUGUUUAUUGAAAACUGGACUUUUGCUGCAAUUUUUGUCACAAUUUCCCUUUAAUUUUCAAUAACCAUUUGACAAUAGCAAAAUUCCUCGACCAAUAAGAAAUUUUAAAUAUCAAAUAUCCUCUUGUUUAUUUUUCAUAAAUUAACUCAAAAUGUACAUAAAAAGAUCCUUGAUAAUUUUAACUUUUGAAAUUAUUUGGGAAAUCAUUAAAUUUGCGUUGCGUCAUUUCCUCUUUUAACAAAAACUUCCUAUUGUUGAAAGGAAAGUUUCGCUAUUAUUUUUUGCAACUUAAAAUCCUAACAAUUUUUUAAUUUUCCCAAGUUUUUAGCCGAAAAAUCAAAUUUCAUUCCCAAUUAUCAAUAUAUAUCAUCAACAUAAACUUAAAAAAAAAAAACAUGAUAAAUGAAUUUCCUCUCCUUGAAGUAAAUAGGGAAAAAUAAAUAAAAUAUCAACAAUUCUUUACAUCUGAGAAAUUAGAAAGGGCAGAAGAAGAAGAUCCCCUAGGCUUUCCAGUUUUGCGCUUCAAGCAUUCGAUCCCCCUCUGCCUUCUCUCUCUCCCCCCAACCCUUAGGCCGAGCUGCACCGCCGUGUCGCGGCCUCGGACCCCCCGAGCUUCACCCCCGGGGGCCCCCCUGGGGGUGGGGGGGGGGGGCCCCCCUUUUUUGGGCUUUUUUUCCCCCCUCCCCCCCCCCCCCCCCCCCCCCCCCCCCCCCAAAAGAAAAAACCUAGGUCCCUCGCUUCGGUUCUCCGGGAUUGCUCGAAGAUGGACGAGGACCAGGAGAUGGAGAGGCUCGGGGUGGACAACGAUUACGACGACGGGGAGUUCUACUACCGCAGCGGAGGGAGAAGCGCGCGCAGACCAAGGACGACGCACUCUACGGCGUCUUCGCGUCGGGGGACUCCGAUUCGGACUACGACGACUCCUCCAAGAGGAAGCAGAGGAAGAACAGGGACCUCCAUGGUAAGGCCGAUCUGUCGAAGCCCGUGAAUUUCGUGUCCACCGGCAUGGUCAUGCCGAACAGAGAGAUUGAUGAGAACUCGAAGACGGAGAAUGAGGAUGACGAGUCCGCUGACGUGGAUGAGGAUAGGCCGGGCUUGGGGGUUGGUGCUGGGGUGGGUUUGGGGUUUAAUAAGCGAGACGAUGGUUUUGAUGAGAACGGCGAGGAGGAGGAUGGUUUCUUGCCGACGGCAUUUGGGCGGAAGAUCAAGGAGGGAGCGGAGAGGAGGAGAGAGCAAUCGAAAUUGGAGAAGAAAGCGCAGCAAGGUGGGGCUAAAAGGGAUUCUUAUGAAUCGGGAAACGUGGGUGGCUUCGAGAAGUACACCAAGGGAAUUGGAAUGAAGUUGCUCGAGAAAAUGGGUUACAAAGGGGGUGGUCUUGGGAAGAAUCAGCAGGGGGGAUUGUGACACCCAUUGAAGCAAAGUUGCGUCCUAAGAAUAUGGGUAUGGGUUUCAACGACUACAAAAGAAAUUCCUGCAAAGGCGCCUGUUGCCUCGUUGGAGCCAGAGGAAAAAAAGCCAUCACCUGAUGUGCCCGGUCAGGAGAAGCUUUGGUCUAAGCAAGUGAAGAAGGCGAUGCUGAAAAACAAAGCAAAAUAUAUUACAUCAGAAGAGCUGUUGGCGAAGAAGUAGGAUCAGGGUGUUGAAGUUGUGCAAGAGGUACUCGACAUGCGUGGACCUCUAAGGUUAGGGUGCUAGCUAACUUGGAGAAUCUGAACGUGGAAGAGAAGGCGAGGGAGAGCGAUGUUCCUAUGCCCGAGCUCCGGCAUGAUGUAAGGUCGAUUGUGGACCUGGCUGAGUUGGAUAUUCAGUAGAUCAUUACGGACCUGAGGAAUGAGAAGGAGAAGUUGCAAGCUGAGGCAGAACACCAGAAGAAACAACUAAAUUACGUGGAGAUAAUGAAUACACUAGACCGGAUUGAGGAGCAAAAGUCGAUGGGAACAUUGACGUUAGACUUGCUAGCCAAGUCUUUUGGUGACAUGCUAAGAAGGUUUCCUGAUGAUUAUAAACUUUGCAACUUAUCCUGCAUUGCUUGCUCAUUUGCACUCCCUCUGUUUAUCAGAGUAUUUAAGGGAUGGGAUCCUCUUCGGAAUCCCUCACAUGGGUUGGAAGUUGUUUCACGGUGGAAAUCUCGAUUGCAAGGACAUGAAUGUCUUGAUAUAUGGGAUUUGAGAUCCCCCUGAUACCCAGUUGGUUACAGAAUUUGUCUUGCCUGCUGUGUGAAUAUCAGGCAUUGACACUUGGGAGGCAGGGAAUCCGAAGCCAAUGCUUUGAUUUCUUGAAGAUUUUGUGAUCAGUCUUCUCGCAUGUGGGCGUAAAUUCAAGUUUAUCAGUUUCUUCUCAAGUGAAGAGCAUUUGGAAUUCAUUUAUUUAUGUUUUCAUAUUAACUGAAUGUUGAUAUUAAUGACAAAAGCAAGUAUGCUGGCAUCUUUUGCGUCGCUGUGGCAUGACUCUUCUGCAGUCUCUAUCUCUCUCUCUCUCUCUCUCUCGACAAACACAGCAGCCGAGCCUCCGGCAGUGGCUUUUUGUCUUACAAUCGGCAACAUCCCGGCGCUCUUGAACUCGAACUUGCUCUCCCCGCUGGAUAAAGCUCGCUGAUUCUCUCUUUUUAUCUCUCUUCCUUGCGAGAGCUCGAUACCUCAUCCAAAGUGUAAUCAACGGCAAUGAAAAUUUGGAAGAUGGCGAGAGGAUGGGAGAAAAUGAAAGCAAAACGGAAAUCAAACAGACGAAAUUUGGAAUGAAUCAAAGACAAUUUUAGAGUUCGAGAUGGAACGUCCCGGUAUUUGUUGACUGUUGAUUAAGGAAACUCCGUGGUCGAGUUCUGCUGCCACGGCAGCGAGGCGAGCGGCAUCUUCAAACCGGUAGCGACACUUUUUGUGCUUCGGUCAGUGCUGGAAGCAACAAUCGUCAGAGAGCUCAGUCUCGAUGAAUAGUUGGUGGGUACUCCGUUCGCGGUUGGAUUCCCUCUCUCUCUCCAGAUUUUCUCCGGCCAGAUGUUCUUUUGCAUAUUUUCUCUCUCUCACUCCGGAUUCUCCUUAUUCAUCUCCACCAAUUCAGAUCUAUCUCGCUUCAGAUUCGCACAGUGAACGACACCAUCAGAUUCCACAUUUUGAGUCGUGGCCACACUAAUUCCACUCUGAUUUUGUGUCAUCGCUUUCGUGUCCUUGCGCGUGUCUGGACCAGAUUUAUAUGUGGCCGGGCCAUCUCGAGCUCAUGCCGCCAUCGCUGCCAAACCAUCGUCAAGGGUGUUUCAUAUCCAAUUGAACUUCUGAGUCAAAAUUUCGAUUCACUCCAAAAUAUGUUCUGUCGAUUCUUGCUUCUUUCUGUUCACUCCCACUUCAUCGCAAUCUUUCGAAUUCCUUUGUUUCGCCCAUCUACGCCUCGUGCAAAGGGAAAGCGGGGUGGUGUUCACUGCUUAAAAGAGCUUUAUCCUAUUGCCAAGGCUGAGGUUGGAUGGAUCAUCAUCAUCUGGACAGGAUCUGCCGAUUCGAAGGAUGAGAUUCUUCGGGUUCACUCCCGGCACUCCUGCCGGUCCGAGGUCGUUUCAUCAACCAACCGCAACAGAGGGCAAUCUGAGUCAUCAAAAUCAUCCGAAAAGAUACGCCAAGCAUGAAGAUUGGCGGUGGUGAGCACGGAGAGAAAACAAGGAAGAAUAAAAAGUCUCGAAGCGAAGCGAAGCAGUGGAUGGAGAUGAUUCGGAUUUUGCGUGGGGACUGUGGGGAAAACGGGGCAAACAAGGUGAAGCCGGCGGUGGUUCUUUGGAUGAGAAGGAAGUAAAGUGUUGAAAUUAAAAAAAAAAAAGAAAUAAAAGAAAUAAAAGACGAAAGGAAAAUAUAGAGAGCCCAUGAGAAAUCGGUCAAAAGGAAGACUUGCACGAAAAAUGUAAUUCGACAUUAUAUCGAGCACCUUCAUUGCAAACUCGAUCCCUCCUCCACAGUGCAAUCGACGGCAAUGGGAAUUUGGAAGACGGCGAGAUAAUUGGAGAAAAAUGAAAUGAAAUAGAUAUCAAUAGACGUAGUGAGUAUGGAUCGAAAUUAAUUCUAGAGUCGAAUGGGAGAUGAAAUGACCUGGUGGUGAGUACGAAUAUUGACCUGACAGAUAUCAUCAUUGUUACAGAAUCGUCUCACUCUCGAUUUCUCUUUGGGGCAGCUCAACGAACACCUUCCCUAAUGUCCAUCUUCAUAUUUCAGCAAGUCUUCCUCCAUCAGGGUCGUUUCCUAUCCGAUUGAACUUCCGAGUCCAAUUUCGAUUCAUUCCGGUAUACGUUCUGUCGAUUCUUGCUUUCCUUCAUCUCCGCCUUUCGGAUUUCAAAUGACGUUGCUCGCGUCCUUCGUUUCGUCUCUCUAUGCCGCACACAAUGGGGAUGUCUGGCUGGUGGAUAGGAUCUGCCGAUUCGAAUGAUGAGAUUCUUUGGGCUCACUCUCGGCCCUCCCGCCGCUUCAAGAAGCAGCAAAGACUUGCACAAAAGAUGGAAUAUCUUGAGAGGAAGAUUCAUCCCAUAACUCAGCCAUCAUUUUCUUUUUCUUUUCCUUGAAAAAGGCAUCAAAAACUCCAAACGACGCCAUCAAGGACGCCCAUUGCGUCUCUUCGCUUCAAGUACCUUUAUUGGAUCUCUCCCUCCAUCCCGACGCGCUCCCCGGCUCAGUGAGUUCCGAGUCGCUCCACCAUCACCCUCGCUAUCUACUCGCCUCGUGAUCGAUUCCGUCGCUCGCUGUCUUUAGAAACUCCGGUGAUCCUCUCUCUCUCUCUCUCUCUCUCUCUCUCUCUCUCUCUCUCUCUCUCUCUCUCUUUUCCUGUCCUUCUUCCGGUUGGAAUCAUGCAUUCGUUUUGUGGAUUCUUAGGUGUUUUGACAGAGGUUUGAAUCUGGUGUCCUUGAGUGAUGUUUAAUGCUAUUGUCGUUUUGCUCAUCAAUGGAGUUCAUGUCGGAUUUUUUUUUUCUUUUUUUCCUUGUUUCCGACCGUGAAUCCGAGACCACUUGGAAACGAGCGAUGAUUGAACUGAAAACGUCCUGAGAAAUCGCCGCAGUGAGCGAAAGUUGUGCAAAGUUAAGCUCGGUCGAACAGUGGUUCGGUUUUCCUCUAUUUUUUGGCAUUAUAUAAUCACUUCUGGAUUCAGUUGUGGUGCGAGGGUGACUCGCUAGCCAUUCCUGAUCGGUCCUUCGGUUAACGCUUUUCUCUGUAUAGAUUUCCGAGUGGCUUGGGACUUGGAGAUGGGAGUAGCACCGAUGAGUUAUGACAUGGAAGAGGGGACGCUGGAGAUCGGCAUGGGUGAGCUUUCGGCCCUCUCCGCUUUCCAAAUUUUUUUUUUUUUUUUGGAGCUACGGACAAUAAAAAUCUGCUGGGAUGCUUAAAUCUCGUAAUUAAGUUUUGUCUGUAUUGUGGGGAGUAGCUUUGUCUCCUUGUUCGUGGCUUAUUAUGUCUUUCGCCAUCUAAAUUUCACCGUGCUUGGAAUCAGAACUUUAGUCAUAGGAUAUUGUUGUUUUCUAGGCUUUCCAUAUAGCUUUCUCGUUUCUGAAAAGUUUAUGCUGCCCCUGUUAUGACAACGGUUAAUACAUUUAUUACUUAGAUCUACACAAUCUCUAUCAUUUCGUAUAUAUUGGCUGAGAGGUGAGGAAUGAUUUAGCUCUUGUCCGAGUCAAAUGUUUAGCAUGCCUUAGUCGCUGGGUCUUAGUUAUCAGUUGUUCAAACAAUUGCUUUGCUGCUUGCAGAGGAUAGGACCGUCUCUGGUGUUGCUGGGCCGUUGGUUACACUCGACAAAGUCAAGGUAAAUUUCACUGGUUAUAAUUUUACGAGGUUGAGUGAACUCCUAUAUGGACAUGUUGGAUUAAUUUUAUUGUAUAUCAGGGACCAAAGUAUCAAGAGAUGGUAAAUAUCCGCUUGGGUGAUGGAACGACUAGAUGUGGGCAAGUCCUUGAAGUUGAUGGAGAGAAAGUUGCUGUGCAGUUUCAGUCUCAGUUGCCAGCCUCUUCUUUUUUCCUUUAGCUCUCUUGAUACUGCAUUUUUGUUGUUUGGACUGCAAUACUUGGGUCAACUUUGUGUGCAAUACUUUUCAGCUGAUGACCCAGUGAAUUCUCUGUCAUUCAUUGCAAGCAUUAGAAAAAGCAGAACAUGAAGAGUAUUAUCUUAGGUAUAUGUGAUGAAAUGUGAGAACAUCAUAUGGGAUGAUAAUUGAAAUGUGAUUGAAUUUCUUGAGAACAAUGUUAAGAGUCUAAUUAGCAUUCCGUUUAGGCAAUUAUAGAUCCUCUCUGCUCUCGAGUGAUGGAAGUCUAGUCAUGGUGUGACACCCAUCGAAGCAACCAGCAGGGGAUUGUGACACCCAUCGAAGCAAAGUUGUGUCCUAAGAAUAUGGGUAUGGGUAUGGGUUUCAACGACUACCAAAGAAACCCCUGCAAAGGCGCCUGCUGCCUCAUUGGAGCCAGAGGAAAAGAAGCCAUCACCUGAUGUGCCUGGUAAGGAGAAGCUUUUGUCUAAGCAAGCGAACAAGAUGAUGCUGAAAAACAAAGUGAAACACAUUACAGCAGAAGAGCUGUUGGCGAAGAAGCAGGAACAGGGUGUUGAAGUUGUGCAAAACGUACACGACAUGCGUGGACCUCAGGUUAGGGUAUUAGCCAGCCUGGAGAAUCUGAACGUGGAAGAGAAGGUGAGGGAGAGUGAUGUUCCUAUGCACGAGCUCCAGCACAAUAUAAGGUCGAUUGUGGACCUAGUUGAGUUGGAUAUUCAGAAGAUCGAUAGGGACCUGAGGAAUGAGAAGGAGAAAGCUCUGAGCUUGCAAGAGGAAAACAGAAGCUGCAAGCUGAGGCAGAACUCCAUAAGAAACAACUGAAUAAUCUAGCAACUAAAUUGUGCACAUGGAACAGCGGAAGCACAAUCACGGUAGAGUCUGAUUCCGUUAGUCUGUACCCCACCUGAUGACGCCAAAUUGCGCUGAGUUAGCAGCAUGCGAUUGGGGAGGGGUGACCCAUAGCGCCGGAGGUGUGCAAGAACAUAGCUACAUCCGAGGGAUCAUUGACAACUGUGGACAUCGAGUCGAGGCUCGGCUCGGCUCUACGUUGGUCGAAGAGAGUGAUUUUGGUAUCGGCAAAGUGAAGAUUGGCGGUUAGGUGGGGGAUGUUGAGCUUGGAAGCAGCGGAUUGAGCCCGUCGGUUUCCUUCUUGCAGUGUCAAUAGGAGCUUCGGUUCUGAGUCGGAAAGGUAGAACUCGAGCACCUUAGCUAUGUAGAAGGGAUUGAGCGGAGCUACAGUGGCUCGGCAAUGGAUUACCGCUGGAAAUAGGAUCACAAACUGCAAAACGAACACAUUUUCCAAUAAGAAAACUAUCACACCAGUCCCUGCGGAUUGGAGAUACACACACAUAUGCAGGAUAUGCAGACAACUAGUUUGUCAACGUUUAAUUCAUUAAAACAAUCCAUCUCCUUUUGAAAAGCGUUGACUUUGUUUUACGAUGAAUCGGUGCUUGUACGUCCCAGAAAACAACCCUUGGACCCGACAGAAAAUUCUCUUCAUGCUUUUCCCAUUUCAAUUUGUUCCUGUUCAAUUUGCACCACGCGCUCACAGAAAUUUCAUGCCUCAGAUGCAAUUUUUUCAGUAGAAAUCGAUGCCAUUUCCGUCUCUCUGUUCUCGAAGUACUGUAAAACUCCAAGAAACAUCUACCUCUUUCUUUUCCAAGCUAUUUCCCAGUCGAUGUUUCGCAAGUCAUUGAUCUCAUCAUUAGAAAUUCAUCGUCACCGCAAUCUUCCAGAUAUUGUGUUCUCGAAUUUAAACGGCAUCAUCCAUACUCGCGAACAGACCGAGAUGACACAGACAUACCUCGAUGUUGUUGAGGAAAGUGAGCGCGACGGUGUCGGUGUGAGGCAGUGAUGAGCGCGGUGGUGUGGUUGACAAGCUCUUGCAGCUGCAUGUGCGUCAGGUCGAGCUCCUCGCAGGCGGAGACGGCUCUCUUGUUGGGGAAAUCCGACGUUGCCUUCUUCAAUAGGUCCGUGAGCGUAAGUUCUCCCAUCACUAACCACAGGGAACGAAUCGACAGCAAUCGGCUUAAGCUGAAACCGAUCCCCGAUCGAACUGAAGAGGGGCACCACAAUCGCUUGGCAAGACGAGAACGAAGGAUCGACAAGAACAGGAAUUCGCACGUAUGCAUAUGAAAUGGAAAUGAGACCAGAGGGAGGGAGGGAAGGAAGUUGAUGCAAUCGAGGUGGCUCCGCGGCCAGUGCGAGCUCGGUUAAGGUGGCGACGGAGACUUAAUGGAUCAAAGGCUGUAACUAGUCUCACUAAUGUCUUCGCAAGAAAAUGUUUCAAUAAACUAAUGAUAGCCACCUAAUCAAUACAUUUGUCCAUUCAGUGGACGACAAGUGGCACUAUGGGGGCCCGCUCUAUCAGCAAGUCUGCAAGUCCAUUCUGCACGACAAAACAAAUGUCGUCCAAGUUUGAGAUAAGAAAUGAAAACCGCAGCAUCAGAAAAGUUCAUCACCAAAGGAUUAAAAUCCAUUCCAAGUUUGCGGCAAUGGCGUUUCUUGCACAGAUUGUAUAAAUGCAAGGAUCAAUGGCGAUUCUGACAGUUCAUUCUUUGCACGCACACACGCAGAUCUCCUGCUCCUUCACAACAGAAUACAAAUUUAACUCGAUUCUGUUCAUACAGAACACUUUAACUCGAACCAGAGGAAUCAGCAAGCCACGAGACAGCAAUUUUCAUGUCAUACGCCGAGCAUACGAGACGAGAAUACUAACACUAUUUGACAAAUGAGCAUCCUAUUCUGACAAAGUCGGCCAUAAUAAGUAUUCAAAAAGUUGAGAACAAAUCAAAUUUAUGUAAUAUGAUUUUGCGGUUCAAGAAUUGAAUCGAAUUUACACACCGAUCUAGUUCGAGCAUUUUAUCAAACAAGUAAUGUGCAUUUAACCAAGGAGCUCAUACGCCAAUGCAAAGCAAGGAUUGACUUUCAGAUCAUCACGAAAAUAACAGUACAAGUCCGAGUUGUUAAAUAAAGCUUCAAUAUCAACUGAUUUACUCACAGACAUUAGCUAAAGCUAACCGGCUCUGUUUCGUUCAUGAGCAGCAGAAACAGAGUGCGUGGGAUUUACCUUGAUGAGAGUGAGUUUUUCACUUCGGCCCGUGAGCAGAUCGGAGAAAAGUUAAUGGAGCUCUCCACGUCGACGAUUGAUCUCUGGCUCGUGCACGUUUGGGCGGCGUGACCAGAAAACAGAGCAGAAGGAGAGGAGGCCUUGCGGCAACGGAACCGGCAAUGGUGGAGCCGCUAUGGCAGCGUUUCGACAGUGUCUAAAGGACGAUGGAGAAGGAGAACCGAUGAAGGAUCCUCUAGAAUUCCGAAGAGAGAUGGUUUCUUCGUGAGCUUCGGUGUGUGCGUUCUAUCGUGUCAUCGCUGAGCCUGUGGUGGCCGUCGAUGGUGGUGCGACGGUGGCUGUGGUGAUUGUAGAUGGGGGACGGUGGUCUAGGCUGCGCCUUGUGGAUAAGGUCUGGGCUACACGAAUUAAACCAGGCCCAACAAACCGGACCAGGUCCUUUCGAUUAUGAUUUUUUCUUUCUUUCUUUUUCUUUCUUCGUUUGUUAUUUAUUUUUAAUAUUAUUUUUUAUUUAUUAUUUAUUUAUAUUUACCCAAAUGCAUGUUCAACUUGUUGGCAAAAAUUCAGGAGUCGAUAGGAGCAAUAUUCCAUCAUUUGGCCUAAGAACAACUUCACACCAAACUCAAUUACAAUUCAUUAAAUGUGAUAAUUCACUAUAAUUUUUCAAUUAAUAAUAUGGAUGAAACCUAGUUAUACCAUAAAAACCGUGAUAGGGUAAGUUCCAGAGUAUGCAAUGAGUAUUCUAUGUUCUAAAAAAUUAGGAAUAUGUUCAAACGCGGAGGUUCAAAAUUCUAGAUUAGGGGCCAUGAGUCAUUUGAUCUUUCCAAACAUCAAUGAUAAUUUUUUAUAAGGGAUUUGAUAAAUUUAGAACUAGGAGACAAGUCGGGAAGGAGUGGAGGUGGGUCGAAUUUUUUUCUUUUAUUCAUUUUAUUGACAGUAGAUUGAAUUGGAGAUUUGACAAUAUUAGAAUGAAAGUGAAACAUAAGUGGAUGUUGAAGCGGCAAAAAGUCAAUUUAUAAAAAGUAGCUAGUUUUCAAUCCCGCGUACUGGGCAUGAUGUAUUUCACAAUUUCUCUAUAAAAGAAGAUCGACACAAAAUGCAGAAUGUUUAAAGUAUUAUUUUUACUAGCCUACGUAUAUUAUAGAUUUAAUAGUGGUUUUAUAAUUUUUUUCCCUUGACUUCUAUGUCAAGAGUACUAGAAAGGUUAAUUGACUUGUAAAUCACAUUUGACCUUCUCACUUUAGUAAUUAACCUAAAGCUAGGCAUCAAGAGGGGGGAGGCAUGAGAGAGCUUCCACGAAAAUUUUCUCUUUUGUGCCUUGACUUUUGUCUUUUAAAAAACUGCAUAAAAAAAAAGAAAAAAAAAAAGACUUGCGGAAUUUCGUAUGUCAGUAUUAUUCAUGUACGAGGAUAUUAAGGCGCUUUUAAGCAGCUGGCGAUGAGGAAUUAAAGGGAAGACCGAGCUAAAAAGGUAAGCGUGGAAGGCAGUUCGGUCAAUUCGGGCCGGGGGAUUCGGGAUUCGGGGAAAAGUUGUUGUGACUUCUCCACGUCGCGCAUUCCCCGCAUUAAAUGAACAACAGAGUUUGAAGAGGGCAUGUCCCUGUUCUGCCUUCUCUCUUUUCUCUCUCUAUUGCGCAAAUAAUUCUGAGAAAUUUUCUUCCUGAAUCUGGAGAUCGUGCGACGUGGCUCGCCCACUUCGCCCCUUCUCUCUCCGCAACAAAUCAAAAUUCAAAUCUCCUCUCUUUAUCUCUCUCUAGGAGAUCCCGUACGCGAGAGCGAGACGAUGAAGUGCCAGAAACACCAAUUCUCUCUACAUUUCUGCAGUUGGCAUCGCCACCUUCGCUGCCCCGUACGGCCCCCCGCAUCGUCAGAGGCGUACCCUCGUAUCUGCGAGCCGAAAUCCCGCUCGGGCCUCGGGUCCCGCCGUACCUCCGCUCGGCGGCCGGGGAAGCGAUCUCCACAGCGGCGGCCGCGGGGGGCCCGGCGUCGAACGCGCCGAAUCGGGGGCGGGACCAAGCCGGGUCGGCGGCGCCGGGGCCAAAAUACCCGUCGUCGUCCCGCCUGACGUGGGGAGGGGCGUAGAAGGACCCGCCGGGGGGGCGACCGGGCCGGUGAGCCGGCUCGCCAAACGGCUCGUUCCACGCCAUCUUCUUAGCGUUCACCUGCAGCGUAAAGCUUCACCCGGAGGAACAGGCAGACCGCCAAGAAUGGAAGCGAAACCCUAGAACGAGGGUACGCCUCUGACGAUGCGGGGGGCCGUACGGGGCAGCUGCAGAAAUGUAGAGAGAGAAUUGGUGUUUCUGGCGCUUCAUCGUCUCGCUCUCGCGUACGGGAUCUCCUAGAGAGAGAUAAAGAGAGGAGAUUUGAAUUUUGAUUUGUUGCGGAGAGAGAAGGGGCGAAGUGGGCGAGCCACGUCGCACGAUCUCCAGAUUCAGGAAGAAAAUUUCUCAGAAUUAUUUGCGCAAUAGAGAGAGAAAAGAGAGAAGGCAGAACAGGGGCAUGCCCUCUUCAAACUCUGUUGUUCAUUUAAUGCGGGGAAUGCGCGACGUGGAGAAGUCACAACAACUUUUCCCCGAAUCCCCCGGCCCGAAUUGACCGAACUGCCUUCCACGCUCACCCUUUUAGCUCGGUCUUCCCUUUAAUUCCUCAUCGCCAGCUGCUUAAAAGCGCCUUAAUAUCCUCGUACAUGAAUAAUACUGACAUACGAAAUUCCGCAAGUCUUUUUUUUUUUCUCUUUUUUAUGCAGUUUUUUAAAAGACAAAAGUCAAGGCACAAAAGAGAAAAUUUUCGUGGAAGCUCUCUCAUGCCUCCCCCCUCUUGAUGCUCACUCCCUCAUGGUUUCGUAGAGAGAGAAAGAGAGAUUCUUCUCUGAAUUUUGGACAUCUUGUUCUUUUCUCCUCUCUCUCCUUUCUUUUAUUUGCACUUUUGUUAUUUCUUUUUAUUUUGUUUUGUGUCUUUGAUUUGUAUUUUAUAAAUAACAAAAGUACAAGUAAAAUUCAGCUUCUUCAAUGAAGGAACUGAAUUUUAAUAUUUUAUCCCCUCUUUUCUUUUAUUUGUAUUUUUGUUAUUUAUUUUUUAUUUUAUACAUCUUUAAUUUGCCGAUAAAAUUAAUGAUAUAAUCAAAAAGUUAAAGCUAUGCUCCGAUACUAGAUGGGCAUCACUCUUUAAUUUGGUCAUAAGCGAAAUCCAUGCAAGUAGCACGUUCCAACUACUCGAAUCCAACGAUGCAUGCUCCCUGGCCAAAGCAUUGGGCAUCACCAUAAGAACCACCGGCAUAGUGGUCUAAUCCUCAAGUCUCAAUGUCAGAUUUUCAAAAUAUCUUUUAGUUAGGCCCAAUUUAGGAAAUUUGGAUUUUAGUUAAAGUUGAGAUGGCCAUUAUCCGCUUCAUUUGUAAUUUAGAAAUAAUGUCUUAUUUUCCUUCUCACCAAGCCUCUUUCAUUUUCCCCGAUCUCUCGUUCUCUCUUAUCUCAUGAUCAUCGAGUCGUCCAGUCCCCACCAACCCGCCACCGGGCCACCUUCGAGCCCUGAGCCCUGCUACUCACCGUAUGCUUGCUCGGUCAAUCUUUUCUCUCUGUCUUUCUUCUCGUGUCUCGUCCACAUGUCAGCGAGUUACAAAGCGAGUGAUGGGACGGACUCACUUUUUUGCUCGUGUCAUGGUCUCCCUCCCACUCCCCCUCUCUCCAGCAAGUGGCAAAACAGGUUUUUACUAGCCUGUUAUGAUGUCUUCAAGCUUUUUGAAUUUAGGACGUGCUAUUUGAAUUUCUCAUGGAGAGCAAAAGCAAAAAAUAAAAUAAAAUAAACAUAUUUUUUUUUAUAAUUUCGGGCCGUGCCAGACCCUUGGAUCUGGGCCAUAUGGCAUGGCUUCAGUCCGGGCCAGGUCCUCAGUCACACAUUUUUGGACUGACCCCCAAAAUAAGAAAAAGGUUUUGCUCCGAUCCUUUGGCCACGAGGCCUUUAUUGGCUUCCACAGCUAAUAGGUGGUCCAGCGAAUGACCGCGGAGCCGUUGGAGAAAAUAAGGGACGAUAUUCUUCCAUAUCAGCUAACCUCACAAGUUUUCGGAGAACGGUUUGGUUUCGCCUCUUCUCUAUGUGUUUUUCCCCUUUUUGGGGUUCCUUUUUUCUCUCCCCUUUCUCUCAGCAUUGUGUAAUAUCAGCUCAUGCGAGCGAGCCAAUCGUGAGAAUUGCUUGUAAUUUUCUUGUUUUUCGUUUCUUUUCUUGGCAAAUGAAGCAACACCUAAAACUCCAAUCGCAUUUCAUUAAAUUGGGUAUCAUUCAUCCGGCCAAACCUACAACUUGAGGUGAGUUGUUUUCUCUCGUAACAAAAGCGGGAACACUAGCAUCUUACUAGUCGAAAGUUAAAAAGACUUUUAUCAAGAUACAAUAGUUGGAGCUAUAUAAUUCGUGAUAAAAUAUCGUGCUCUUCUAUUUCCUAUCGAUCGAGUGACAUGCAAAGACUAACAUAAUUUCUAAAAUAAAGGGUUUAUUGUUAUUAGCCCGUGAGAAGACCCAGGAAAAGGGCGAAACAAGAAUUGAAAACUUGUCAAAGAGGACAAAGGAAGAGCAAAUUCUUAUCUGGAUGUGGGGAAUCAUGACCAAAGGGGUUCUCAUCGUUGUCGUUAACCGUUGGAGCCCCGCACGUGAUUAACGGCUCGAUCUCGGGUGCAUGAAUUUGGAUCCAAGGCGAAAAGAGGGAAAGGGCCCCGUCCUGAGUGAUGUUUUUAUGUGAUGGGCCUAAGUUGGCCCGUCCGCCCAUGUUGGGCCUAAAAGCCCGGCCCACAAGAUUAGGACCCAUGGAUGGAGGGAUAUGAUGAAGGGGUACGUUUCUAUUUUGGAGGAGACGUAUAUAAGGGAGGAAAGAGAGGGAGGACGCACCUUUUGGCAUUUGUACGUAUGUUCCUCUCUCUCUCUCCCUCCAAAAGAAAAACUAAGGCUAAAGGCGACGUUGUCUUCCCUUCAAAGCCAAUCGACGUCAUCGGAUCGAACGACAUCGGUUUUCUCUUCCUCUAAUAGGCGUCGGUGUUUAAUCUGUGGCUAACAAGGUACGCUCGAUUCCGUGAUGUGCUUUAGGAUCUGUGAUACAUGUUUUUUUUUUUUUCUGGGCUCGUCUAUCGUUUUAGCGGUUUGAUUUUGUGUCGAAUCCGCUUUUUGGGAAUCCGACAAUCCCAACAUUGGUAUCAGAGCCCUAGUUCAUGUUUUCCCGAACCCUUUCAUGUUUAUGAAUGAUUUUUGAUUGAUUUUUUGUGAAAAUAAUCGGCUGACAUGGAUCAGGGCGAAAAAUCCCGGCACCCGAGCACUGUUCAUCCAUUUUUUCGAGUUUUUGUAAGUUGAAAUCGAUUUCUGAUGGCAUAAGGUGAAAGAGCUCAUCGAGACGAGUCCGUCGAUGGGUCGAACGUCGCCGAGAGACGCCGAACGCGCCCACACGCACGGCCAGAAGCCGCUGCGCGUGGGCGCCACGCGCCUAAAGCGUUGGCACAGCCAGCGCGUGUGCCGCACGCGCUGGUCGGCGAACCGGCAAGCGCCAAUCGGCGAAUCGACGCGUGAUGACGUCACCAUGAUGCACCAUGAUGUCACCCAACGGUCAGUAACCGUUGGGAUGACGUCAUCGAUGACAUCAUUGAUGGCGACAGUUGGCCGACCGGUCACCGACCCGACCCGACCGGCGAACCGACUCAACCCGAGACGCAACCCAACCUGAGAUCCGACCGGUCGCUCGUGCGUGCGAGGCACGUGCUGGGUCGGUUCGUCCGACCCGGUCCAACCGGCCCAUCCGAUCCGGCGACCCGACCGACAACCGUUGACCGUUGACCGUUGACCAUCGUUGACCAUCGUUGACUUUUGACCGUUAACGACCGUUGACCAUUGACAAAAAAAAAUGAAAAAAAUGUGUUUCUUUUUCCCAAUUAAGUCUAUGUGGAUUAUAUAUGAUCCCUUAUUUGUUCUGCAUUUGUUGCAGGAACAAUGCCUCCCUUGAGGUUGGGCACACCUAUUCGCACAAUUACCGAUGAACAAAAGAAAAUGCUUUCUAAGUUGAUAGCUAAGCUGACUGAUCAUCGAUGGAAGAGUAGUGACUUAAUUGAUCACGUCCUUGAAGUCAACGGGAAAAUUCAAAAGAUCAUAUGGAAUGGUCGUCCUAUGCCACAGUCUGAGAUGGUGCGUUUUUUCAUGAACACCCUUCCACCAGAAUGGCAAGGAGUGUUGAAUCGCAUAUGAGAUGUCAACAGAGCUGCUUCAUAUAAGAAAAUUGUGAUGGAUUUUAUAAAUGAAUAUUAUUGGAUUGUUACAAAGGAAAAGAUCAAGAAAUUGAACAAAAGAGGAUUGUUCCCAGUUCGUGUAUUGACUUGGUGUUAGUUGUAUUGGCUGAUCUUUGUUAGGUGUGCUUUGUGGACAUCUUAUGUUUACUACUUGAUUGUUGUUGAUGUAGCAACCAAUAUGUUAGUUGAAUUAUGUGAAAGCAUUAUUAUUCUAUUGGUUGUCAAAUAUUAUUUGCUUUCUGUUAUUGUUGGUUGCUGUGGGUAGUUCAUAGAAGUUUUUGUAGCUUCAUAAACUUUAUUUUGCAUAAGACAAUUAUAUUAAUGAUAGUUUUAAGUUAGGAUUUUUGGAGGACGAUUAGAAACAUAGUGACCUUUUGAUUCUGAAACAUUACUUGAAAUUGUUCAUUAAUAUGAUGGGUCUGUGCAAAAUGGAUGCAUAAAUUAUAAGCAUUAAUAAUUCGUGCAUAUAUGUCUGAUGUGUUCAGAUCAAUGACUUUAGCCACAAAGAGCAUAGUUGCCAAGCUGAACAAAGGUGAAAAGCUCAAUGGCGACAACUAUGAAAUCUGGCACAUGAAAAUCCAAUAUGUGCUAGAAGAGCAAGAGGCACUAGAGGCCCUUAACUUGACCAUGGUUGAACCUGAAGAAGGAAACACUGCACAGCACAAAAGAGAUAAGGAAACAUUCACUGCAUGGAAAAGAAAGAACUCUCUUGCUCGCAUUACGUUGCUGAGCAGCAUGGAUAAUGACGUCAUGCGAGAGUUUAGGCGUUUUGACAAUGCCAAGGAAAUGUGGGAAACAUUGGCAGCAAGAUUUGGUCAUAUUUCGGUGACCAGACUGUUGACACCUAUUUUUAGCAAAUCUAGGAAAAUAAGGAAAAUAAAAAUUGCAUUUUUUGGACAAAUAAAAAGAAAAAAUGAAAAUGGGGUAAAUUGAUUUGAUUGAAGUAUGCAAGGAAAUAUAGAAUUUUGAUGGAUGUUCGGAUUUUGUUAAAUGCAGCAAUAAUUUUAAAAUCAGGUGAACAAAUGGCAAUGAUUUUGAUAAAAUGGAAGGAAUCGAUGCAAAAUCGAGCUGAUUGCGAAAUCAUGCUCCGAUUUGCAUCCAUGAUUUAAUGCAACAGAAGAUGGAAGUUUAAAAUUUUCCCUAAAAAACGGUCGAUCGAAAUCACUAUAAAAGGGGUUGACCUGCACAAAAAAAAAAAAAUUGAGAGAGAAUCCGCUAAAAAAAUUCGUGCAAGAGGGAGAGAUUUUUCGAAAUUUUGGAAAAAAGAAGGCGGGAAAUUGUGAGAUUUUCGAGGAAAAUUGAGGAGCGAAAUUCGAAAAUGAGACAAGCUCCCUCCGUUGAUCUUUAGCCGAAAAGAAAGUGAUCUUUCUUUUCUCUUCUGACAGGCUGCAAAAGAAAAAGGAAAAGUCAGCCACUACAGUGAGGGAGACGUGAGGGACGUGUGAGGUGAGUUAAAAAAAAAAAAAAAAUCAAAAGAAGGCCACUGUUUGUCUUCCUCGUGCAGCCCCCACUUCGACGCCGCAGCACCUCCAGACGCUGGCAUCUCCCUUUGCCGGCCACUGUUGCUCUGCUUGCGACCCAGCGACGCCGCUGCCGCAACCUGCGACAGCCCGCGACCCCCUCGCGCCGGUCACGUCGUCCCGCUAGCCGCCGGAGAUCCCUCUCACCCACGAGCUUGCGCCACCACCUCACCCGCGAGCUCGCACCGCGCCCCCGCCAACGCCUGCAACUCCGGAUCCGCUGCCCGACGCCACCGGAGACCACACCGCCCCUGCUCCCCUCCGCCCGAGUGCCACACAUCCUUGCUACUGCACCACCAGAGCCCGACGCCUCCGCCUUGCCUCGGGCGAUCCGCGGCCAGGCGCUGCGACCCAAGCUGCGCCUCCCUUGCCGAGCGCUGCUUCGCCCUUGCCGGACCUCCGAUCAGCCACCCUUGGUCGGCCCUACGGCUGCCAAGCCCAUUUUGAGAAAAAAUAAAAAAAUAAAAGAGAAAACACAUUAGGUAGUUUUCUUUAUUUUAUUUUAUUUUAUUUAUUUUAUUUUAUCUUGCUCUUUUUAGUAUAAUUAGCCUUUAAUAUAUGAUUGGAAAUUCCAACAUAUCACCCGAUUCGCAACCGCGCCAGGGUUUUUUUAUUUCAUCUAUAAGGCCUUAGAUGAAAUAAUUAAUUAAGCGGGAAUAAAAUUGAUAUUUUGAUCUUUAAGGCUUAAGAUCAAUUUAUCGAUUUUAUCAGCGAAAUAUUACCCAUUGAUCUGAACGACGUGUGAUAUUUUUUAUGAUUUUGGAUGAUCUGUUUUGUCCUGGUUGUUUUAUUUAUCUUGACAUGUGUUUGAAUUAGAAUAUCGCAUGCUUUAGGGUAAUUUACAUAUUUAGACUAAGCAUUUUAUUUAUUUUGAAUUUUCGAAAUAAAAAAUAUACCAAAAACAUGAAUUUGGGAUGUUAGAUUUUCAUUUCAUUAAUUUGAAUUGCAUGUUUAAUUAUUUGGCAAUUAUUAAUUUCGAAAUUAAACAAAAAACGAAAAAUCAUCAUAUACAUGUCAUGUGGUGUUAAAGCAUAUUUCGCACGUCAUUGCAUAUUAAGACUAAAUUGCACUUAGUUCAAUUCUAGAUAAUUUUUUUCCUUAAUUUGUUAUAAGUUUAGGUAUUUUUUUUAGAUAUAUUGCAUUUUAGGAUUAUUUAGGUUAAGAUAAUGUUUUAGUUUAAAUUAGGAUUUGGCUCAACCUAAUUCCUAAUAUAAAUUAAAUAGGAUCUUAAUCUAAUUAGGCAAUUUUCACAUUUCACCUGAAAAAUAAAAAAAAAAUGUCAUAGGUUAAAUUAGUUUUAUUAUUCAUGAUAAAAUGCAUUCUUUUAGGAAAAAGAAAAAAUGUCAUAUACACGUCAUUAGGGCUAGAUUCACUGGGAUGCAUGUCAUUUAGUAUUUUUUCUAGGCCUAUUUAAUUAGAAAUUGCAUGUUAUUAGAAUUAGGUCAUUUAGUUAAUAUUGCAUUGCAUAUUGCAUGAUUUUUCAUUAAUUAAGUGAAAACAAAAAAAGAAAUUGCGUGGUAAUUAGAAACCAUAUCUAGGGUUGUUGAUGCGGUUUUUAACUUAACAUUGCAGAUGCUUUCGUUGCUUGGAGGUAAGUUUUUGCAAUUUAUUUAUUGUUUAUCUGGGUGUUAAAUUGGUGAAUUGCGCACCCGCAUGAUCACCUCACAUGUUAGGAAGUAGAUUUAAAAUUAAUCCGAACUGCCUGCAAAAAUAUAUUUUGAAAAUUAAUGGAAAUGGUACCGAAAGGGCAUUAGAAAAUUCUAGUGUAACCAAGUUCCCGUACCCUUAAUCUCUGGUUCGUAGGAGUAAAAUAAAUCUCCCUUUAUUUUACUUAGGUGUCUAAUCGACCUACCAUAAACUGAUUAGUGGCGACUCUUAGAUAAUAAUUUUUUGCAUGUUAAGAAACUUGAACCUUUAAGUCGCGAAUUGGUAUGGGCCUGGGAGAGCCCGAGCUAAGUUUGAAGACUUAGUAGUCCAUUAACCUAGUUUUAGGUGGUGCGCCAAAAAAAAAAAAGGCUGCGACACAGACUGAGGCAGCUCACUAUUAGGUUUGACUCUUAUAAGAAGUCUCAUGAUCAAACCAUGAAGCAACAUCUUAGAAAGAUAUCAAACAUGAUAAAUGAGCUGAAAGAUGCUGGCCAUGUCCUGACAGAUGAGCAGCAAGUGCAAGCAGCGAUUCGUUCCUUGUCUUAGAGUUGGGAGCAUAUGAAGGUGCACCUGACCCAUAAUGAUAAUAUCAAAACCUUUGAGGAUGCAGUGCGUCAUCUUGAGCUGGAAGAGAACCGCCUCUUGGCGGCUAAGCCGGAAGCUGAAAUCUAUCAUGCUGGUUCUAGCUCACAUGGAGCUUCGAGCUCUAAGCGCAAACGUCCUAACUGGUUUGAUAAAGGGAAAGACAAGGAAGCAGGUCCUUCAGGGAAGAAACCCAAGCUUAACCAACAUGAAAGAGGAAAGCGCCCUCAAAUGAAGAAGCUUACAAGGGUGAAGUGUUACAACUGUGACAAGAAUGGUCACUAUGCUCGCGACUGUCGUGAGCCAAAGAAGGUAAACACUCCUUGUACUUUUCAGAACUUUACUUUUGUGUCGAGUUCUGUAUUCUUAACUGAGUCUAAUCCUUUGUGGACUGUAGAUUCAGGAGCGACAGACUAUGUAGCGAAGGAUAAAGAAUCUUUCGUGGAAUUUCGACAAGUACCAACUGGAACUAAGUGGAUCUAUGUGGGAAAUAACUCCAGAGCUGAAGUAAAAGGAAUUGGCACCUGCCAACUGAACAUGCGUGGUGGACGCACUUUGUUCCUACAUGAUAUAUUGUAUGCUCUGGAGAUUCGUCGGAAUUUAGUGUCUGUUUUGGUGUUGGUUAAACUAGGUUUUAAUAUGAACUUCCAUAAUAGAGGUGUGGAUUUGUAUUUGAAUACAAACUACUAUGGUUGUGGUUAUUUUCUGGAUGGUUUCAUUGUAUUAGAUAUUGAUUAUGUUAAUGCAAAUGUGUGUUAUUCCAUUCUCACGUCUACUAAUUCGUAUGAUAAUGAUGUAAAUGUGUAGCAUGCUAGACUUGGUCAUAUUGGCUAAUAACGUAUGAAUAGAUUAGCCAAAGAGGGCUUGUUGGGCAACAUUGAAAAAGUCGAUUUGCUCAUAUGUAAGCAUUGCCUAGAAGGGAAAACAACAAGGAAACCAUUUGGAAAAAUGUCAAAGAGCUGAAUUUCCUCUACAUUUAAUCCAUUCUGACGUCUGUGGUCCAAUGAAUGUGAGAGGAAGGCAUGGGGCUGUUUAUUUCAUCACUUUUAUAGAUGAUUAUACUCGAUUCGGAUAUGUCUAUUUGAUUUCUCAUGAAUCUGAAGCAUUGAGUUGUUUCAAAAGAUUUAUAAACUUGGUAGAAAAUCAAUUAGACAAGAAAAUAAAAGCAUUGAGGUCCGAUCGAGGUCCGAUCGAGGUCGAGAAUAUUUAUCUGAUGAGUUCAGAAAAUUAUGUGAUGAAAAAGGAAUAAAAAGACAGUUGUCUAUUCCAUAUACUCCUUAACCAAACGGUGUUGUAGAGAGAAGAAACAGAACCCUACUGGAAAUGGUUAGGUCCAUGAUCACUUUUUGGAGUGAUGCGUUGUUAAUUGCUGCCAUAUACUUAACCCGGUGCCUUCUAAAUCAGUUACUUCCACGCCAUAUAAGUUAUGGACAAGUAAAAAACCGGACUUAAAUUUUCUUAAGCCAUGGGGUUGUGCUGCCUAUACUCAUGAGUCCUCUCACAUGUUUGGAAAAUUGGGUCCCAGAGGAAAGAAGAGUAUUUUCAUAAGAUACUCCGAACACUCGAAAGGGUAUGUGUUCAUAGGUGAGCAGGAAAGUAGGAAUAUAACUGAAUUUGAAUCACAAGAUGUCACAUUCUUAGAGGAUGAAUUUCCUAAGAAGGGCGAAAUAUGGGAAGAUUACUCCCUAUUUGAAAUCUUGGAUCAAGAUAAUGAUAUUAGUGGAGUUCGUCCAAGUGGGAGUAAUAUGAGAAGUGAUGAAUUGAAUUCAACUUAUUCUCAAUUGCAACCACAUGAUGAGACAACGUCAUCAUUAUCUAAUCCAAGUGGGAGCAUAAUGGGGAAUGAUGUGCAAAGUGUACAAUUUCCCAUACGGCGAAUAAGUCGCAAAAGUAUUCCUUGUCGACGUUUUGACAUUGAAAAUGAAACUUUUAUGAUUGCUCUACAAGAUAAGGAUGAGCAAAGAAAUAUUAACGAUGCUCUGAAUUGCCCUAGUAAUGAGAAAUAGAUUCAUGCAAUGGAAGAGGAAAUGGAGUCAAUGAAAUCAAACUAAGUUUGGGAACUGGUUGAUCUUCAAAAAGGACGCAAAGUUAUUGGGAACAAGUGGGUUCUCAAAAUAAAGCGAAAGGUUGUUUGCUCGAUAGAAAGGCAUAAGGCUCGCCUUGUGGCGAAGGGGUAUAAUCAACAAGAGGAAGAUAUGAAGAUACAUUUUCUCCUGUAGUGAGAUUUACCUCGAUUCGCAUUAUUCUGGCAAUAGUGGCUAGUAUGGAUCUUGAAUUACAUCAAAUGGAUGUAAAGACUGCUUUCCUCAAUGGAGAAUUAGAGGAAGAAAUAUAUAUGGAACAACCUACUGGUUUCAUAAUGAAAGGCCAAGAAGAAAAGGUAUGUCGACUUUUGAGGUCGAUAUACGACCUUAAGCAGUCAUCAAGACAAUGGUAUAUACGUUUUCAUAAUGCCAUAAUGGCAUAUGACUUUACAAUGAUAGAUGAGGAUCAUUGUGUAUAUUUAUCAAAAGAUCCAAGGAUCAUUUUGUGAUCAUAUCAUUAUAUGUUGAUGAUUUACUAAUUGCCGGAAGCAAUAUGGAGCUUGUUAAUACUGUCAAGAGUUGGUUGUCUUCCAACUUUGAGAUGAAGGAUAUGGGUGAGGCUGCAUACAUUCUUGGAGUUAAGAUUUCAAGAGAUCGUUCGAAGAGACCAUUAUCUCUUUCGCAAGAAACAUAUAUAAACAAGGUUCUUGAACGAUUUCGUAUGUAAGAUUGUAAAUCUAUAAACACUCCUAUUGCAAAAGGUGAAGGAUUGAGCCAUAGACUGUGUCCAAAGACUCCACAAGAGAAUGAACAAAUGAAGUAUGUUCCUUAUGCUAGUGCUGUUAGGAGCUUGAUGUACGCUAUGAUGUGUACAGACUUGACAUAUGUUUUGCAGUUGGAAUGGUGAGUAGAUACCAAUCCAAUCCAGGUCUAGCACAUUGGAAAGCCGUUAAGAGAAUACUAAGGUAUCUGAAGCGAACUGCUGAUUACAAGUUGAAUUACCAAGGAAAGGAUCUGCGACUUGAAGGCUAUUCAGAUGCUGAUUGGGGAGGAGAUUUAGAUGAAAGAAAAUCUAUCUCUGGAUUUUCUUUCUUAUUGAACAAUGGCGCCAUAUCAUGGAGCAGUAAGAAGCAAACGUGUAUAGCCUUGUCAACGAUGGAAGCUGAGUUUGUGGCAUUAUCAGCAGCGGUACAAGAAGGAGUUUGGCUUAAGAGAUUUUUGGAUCAUUUAGGUGUUAUUGAGAAAGCUGCGAAUCCAUUAUUGGUUAACUGUGAUAGCAAGUAGCUAUUACGUACACUAAAGAUCCAAAAUAUCAUGGCAAGACCAAAUAUAUAGAUACCAAGUAUAAAUUUGUCAAAGAUACGAAAGGAUGUGAACUUACAGUACAUAUCUACGAAUAGAAUGGUAGCAGAUCCUAUGACAAAGCCAAUAUCUAGAGAUGUGUUUUGCGGUCAUGUAAAAUCUCUAGGAUUGCGUAAAGUUUGAUAUACUGGAUUGUAAUUUCCCUGAUUUGUUCACAUUUAUGAACUUGUGUUUUUCAUUGUUAAUGCCUAUGAAUCUUUGUUUGAUCUUUAUGCAUCUUAAUGCUCAGUGCAUUAUUUUAAGUUGAGAAAAUAUGUCGGACAUAUAUAAGAUUAGCCUACUUACAUGGGUAAUCGCCUCUAUUUACUGUGUGAUAAAUAGAGAUGAGACUGUUUUUAAGCUUAUUAUCUAGGUGAUAAUCGAGAGCUCAAGUAUUUUAUUUUAUCUGUCUAUGAUGUCAGAUGUGAGUUCUGAUGAAUUUUGUGAAUGAUUAAAUACGUGAACUCAAGUUUGACAUUGGGUAUGUCUGAAUUAUCAUAUGUACGGUAUUGAAAGGUGUAGACAUACGCUCAAUGGGAAAUGAGUUAAUACCGUAAUACGUAUUUCAUACUACGUAUGCAUGAGCCGACCAAUAAGAGUGUCAAAAGUUUGAUCUCAACUUUUAUGCCGUAUGAGACUCUUGAGGAAAAGAGUUCCUCAAUUUUAGUGCCCUCAUGACUUUUACUUAUUCUAAAGAUUUCUAUUUAGUGUUUGCUAUCUUAGGAUGUUGCCAAUGGUCAUGAGUAGAUUCAAUCUAAUGGGACAUUUCUAGAAAAGCAAGCUAAACUAAAAUUGAGAGUUUGAAGGAAAGAGGAAGAUCGAAUUUGGAGAAUCACAUUGUGUUUUUGUAUUCACUGGUCGACCAAUUAUGACUGUCUCUGGGAUAAUCAAAUUGAGAUAGAUAUAUAUAUCAUUGUUUAAAAGAGAUCAAGAGAGAUAUAAAUGUGAUCGAUCGAUCUAGGGUACUGCAUACUAAAUCUACUCAGAGUGUGAUGCCCAUUAUGAGCUGUUAUAUAUUCCUAACAGAUGUAUAGCAACGAGCUCUCAAAGUAUGCUGGUCGCACGGAUUAUUCAUUGGUAUGAAUAUUGAAGUGAGGUAAAGAGGAUCUUGUUCGGCCCACCAUGUGCGAGUGGGAGAUGAUUUUUUUUUAUGUGAUGGGCCUAAGUUGGCCCGUCUGCCUAUGUUGGGCCUAAAAGCCCGGCCCACAAGAUUAGGGCCCAUGGAUGGAGGGAUAUGAUGAAGGGGUACGUUUCUAUUUUGGAGGAGACGUAUAUAAGGGAGGAAAGAGAGGGAGGACACACCUUUUGGCAUUUGUACGUACGUUCCUCUUCCUCUCUCCCUCCAAAACAAAAACUAAGGCUAAAGGUGACGCUGUCUUCCCUUCAAGGCCAAUCGACGUCAUUGGAUCGAACGAGAUCGGUUUUCUCUUCCUCUAAUCGGCGUCGGUGUUUAAUCUGUGGCUAACAAGGUACGCUCGAUUCCGUGGUGUGCUUUAGGAUCGGUGAUACAUGUUUUUUUUUUUUUCGAGCUCGUCUUCCGCAUUCGUUUUAGGGGUUUGAUUUUGUGUCGAAUCCGGUUUUUGGGAAUCCGACAAUCCCAACACUAAGGAUGAUCAGGCGCGGGAGGAGGGAGGGAACACGGUAAAAGCGGUGAGGUGGCGGGGCAGCGGAGUGCACCGGCAGACUACUCCUGUUCAAUUUCGAUUGGGUUUGUGAGGUUAAUAAUAAUUCAGACGCACACUCAUUAAUGCCACAUUCCAAGCCUAAAUGAACUAAAAAGGACGUGCUUCUGGAUGUCCUUAUCCUUUCUCGUUAUGUUGUUCUUCAUUUUGAAUUUGAAAUAAAGGGUCAUGACCUAGUUAAAAUUAUGGGUUUUAUUUUUCCCACGGGGAACACCAAAGAGGUUCAUGAGAAAAUAUAAUGAGAAAUCUUCCAAUGGCUUGUGGAAUUGGAAAAAUGUGAUGAGAUGGUUUGGUUAUCAAACGGUUGGGAUGAAUUCGUAGAGCAUUAUUCUAUCUGUGUGGGACAAUUUUUGCUCUUCAAAUCUGAAGUGGACUCCAUUUUCAUGUAAUCAUAUUUGAUAAAAGCAAGUCCAAGAUAGAAUAUCCGCCAAUAAAUGCCAAUGGGACGAACCGACCCUCAGUAGUUGGGCAUUUGUCUGGCUGAAAGUGGAAGAUGCCGACGAUUUCCAUGAUGUUUCGGUCAAGCUUGAAGUCUAGGGGGAAGAAUUGCAUUCACCCAAGUGUCCUCGGCUUUGUAAGGGAAUGGAAUCAGAUCGGGUUUGCGAAGUUCAUGACGGUUCCUAUGCACACUCAUCAGCACGGAGUUUGCGAAGAGAUGGAAGUUCGAACUGCUUAUCAUGAGAUUUUCGAGGUAUGAAUCUUAGUCUAUGAGCUGGUUCUCCAUUUGACUAUGUUCUCGUGUUUGAUUCCAAUUCCGUAUUCCAUAUAGGAACUCUCCACGUGAUUUGGCUAAGAGAGGGAGCGUUAAAGAUAAUUCAUCCUUGUAGUGUUUAUCUAUCUCUAGCUUUCCCAUGUGUGCAUAUGUAUGUUUUAGGGGAUCUCAUAAAUGUCAAGCCAAUGGAAACAGGCCGAAUGAGUCUUAUCGGAUUUGAUUGUGCUGAAAAUGACAUUGGUGUGCAUAUAGGCCUCGAAAGCUAGACCAUUAGAAAGACCCAGAUCCAUCAAAUUGGGGUUGAUGUGUCGGGAAAUAUGAAUUUCACAUAAUAAGAAUAGCAUAUGCCUAAGCUUUCUUCAUGUUCUAAUUUGCGACUGUUGCAGAUAAACUGAAACAACUGGGCUUGCGCAGAGUUGUCAAAUCGGCCAGCAAAAUUAAACCGACCACAUUGCGGUGAGGUCAAUAUAUCUAAAGAAAAGCAAUGUGGUAUGAUCCUCCUGACAAUGACAACACUUGAAUUUAAAUCACAGAGUCGCUAAACUAUAUUUGUGACAUCCUGAAAUUCGACCCCAUUUCGAUAAAGUGAAAUGGACAUUUCGUCAACGUGCUUAGGGUCCUUUUUCUCUGAACUGAUCACUCACGAGUUAACUAACCAAUUGGGUGAAGCCGUUAAGGGACGUAUCUGCAGUAAAAUCCCUAAAAGCUACUCAAUUUGUUGGAUUGGACUAAAAUCACGUUUGAUCGAUUUUUAACCACGAAAUUGAACUCGAUUUCGGGAAUCGAAUUUUAAGCGCGUCAUAAUUCUUAUUUUUAGGAUCCUGUCUCAUCGUUCGUCAAUUUAUUGACGAGUCCGAAAUUUCAAGAAAGAAAUUAUCGGAAGAAAAAUUAAAGCACGAAAGAAAAUAAAAAGAGAAAGAGAAGAGAAAAUAAAAUAAGAAUAAUUAUAUUAGUUUUACUUUAUUUUUCCCUCUCUCCCUCUCUCUUCUUUUCUUUCUUUUUCUUUCUCUUCUCUUCUCUCUCUCUUCUCUCCCCUCUCCCUUUUUCCCCUCGUGCAAUUCCCCCACCGCCUACCUUUUCUCUCUCUUUUCCCUCUUUGACCGGUCAAUACCUAUCCUCUCUGUCUCUCUCUUUCUUUUUCUUCAUCUUCCUCCCCGUGCAUCCGAAGAAGCGUACCAGAAGAGGAAGCUUGAGCAGAAGCCGCUGCUCACCGCCCGUCCCGUCGCUCGCACCCGCGACGCCCGCCCGCGCACGUCGUGCGCUCCGCCCCGCGUCCGUCGCCGCUGCCGCUCCUUCCUCGCGCGAAUCAGCCCCUGCUCAGCUCGGUUCCGUCCCGACCAGCCCCCGUCCGGCCACCUCCAGCCGCCGUUCGACCUCGCCGGACUUCCCCGGCGUCCCCCUCGUCCUCCGCCGGCCUCCCCUCGCCGUUUUGGCCGCCGGAGCAGCCCCGGCCAACCCCGACCAGCAACCCACGAAAUGGAUUUCUAGCGGCUUUAGGCCCGCUUUGAGCCGUUCCGAGCCCCGAACCCGAGCCGUGCUUUGGAGUUUGUUAUUCCUCGUGUCGCCCCCGUCUGAUUGAUCCGAUUUGCACGCGAUUUGGUGAGUAAUCUCACUAAUCUGGAUUAGUUGGCUAAUUAUGUUUAAGGUUGGUUUAUUUUUAAUUAAUUAUGUUUAGGUUGUUAGAUUAGAAUAAAUUAGCAAUUAUUAGUCAAUUGUGAUGCGAUUUAGAUAAAUUGAUUGCGUAAUUAGCAAGUAGACGUGGUCUACUAAUUAUUGGAAGUAUCUCGGGAAUUUUCCGACCCAUAAUCGGGCUUCAAUUUGGCGAUUCGGACCUAAGUGGGAUUUUUGGCAUUUAAAUAUUAUUUUUCGGAAUUAAAUUAAUUUUUUAUUUAUUUUCCGAAAAUUCAACUGGGAUGGUCAGUGACCGGAAUAUUAUCUUGAUGACUGUGGUGAAGUCCGUUUAUUUAAUCGCGCUUUAUUUUGAGCUAAAUUGAAUUUUUAAUAUUAAUUAUUUAAUUUUCGAAAUUAAUUAAUUAUUUAUUUAUUUCCUGAAAAUUCAACUGGGAUGGCCCGUGACCGGAAAUUUAUGCUGGUAAUCGUGGUGCAGUCCGUUUAUUUAAUUGGGCCUUAUUUUGAGCUAAACGGAAUAUUUAAUAUUUAAUAAUUAAUUUUCGAAAUUAAUUAAUUAAUUAAUUAUUUUUCGGAAAUUAUGAUUGAGAUGGUCGACGACCGAAAUCUCGUGCUGAUUGUCGUGGCACAGUCCGUUUAUUUAUUUGAGCUUUGAAUUGUGCUGAAUUGAUUUAAUUGUGGAUAUUUAGGAUAUAUUCCUAAAUUGAUUAUUUGGGUAAGUUGAGUACGAAUUAAGGUUGUGUAUAAUUACUUUAGAAAUGUGAUGAAUCAUCAUGAAAGGCACGUGGCUCGGUGAAUAGUACAUCAUCUCGGAGAAUGCACGUGGCUCGGCGAUUUGGUAUAUCGCUUCGGAGAAUGCACGUGGCUCGAUGAUUAGUACGUCGCCUUGGAGAAUGCACGGGGCUUGAUGAUUAGAUAUAUCACCUCGGAGAAUGCACAUGGCUCGGUGAUGAAGUAUGUCGCCUUGGAGAAUGCAUGUGGCUCGGUGAUUAAGUGUGGCAUCUUGAAAGAGACACGUGGGCUCGGUAAUUUGAUGCAUUACCUCGGAGAAUACACGUGGUCUCAAUGAGUACAUUUGGCAUCUUGAAGAGACACGUGGGCUCGGUGACUUGAUGCAUUGCCUCGGAGAAUGCACGUGGGCUCGCUGAUUCAGAAUGGCAUUUUAAAGGGCACGUGGGCUCGGUAAAUUAAUGCAUUACCUCGGAGAAUACACGUGGCUCGGUGAUUGAUUCUAUUAGUUAUGACUAUAUAGCAAUGACUAGAAUGACCUAGAGAUGGUCCGGCUGACAUGUAAUUGACUAGGUCGAUUGAUCAUUGCUUUGAUUUGACGUCGUGAAUUGAUCGACUGAUUGGGAAUGACCGUGAGUGGUCUUGUUGGCAUAUAAUUGACUAGGUCGAUUUGAUCGAUGCUUCGAUCUGUGAUGUGAUUUCUUGGGUGUCUAUUUGAUCUGUGCUAACAUGCAGGUGGGAUCUGAGGCCGAGGUACGUCUUCUGCCCUAUGCGUGUAUAGGCAGCCUAUAGUAUAAUGAUUUACUAAUCGGGCUUAGUGGGGUAGAACUCGCUGAGAUGUAGUCUCAUCCCAGUUUGGGGAAAACAUUUCAGGACUUCGAUGAGGAGCUGAGGAGGAGGAGUCUGAGAAUGAGAACUCGGAGGUGAAACCUGAGGAGAAGGAUUUUUUUGAAAGAAGAAGAUAAUACUGAGAGGAGUCUUAAAUAUGAUGUGAAUAGAAAUAGAGUAAAAAGUUGUGAAGUACUCUGGUUUGUGUUUUGUAUAAAAGGUUUGGUUAUAAGGUUCAAUAUGAAAAAUAUGACCCUGCUUUUCUAUCCCAUUGUUUUAUUGUCUGGGGAUUUAUAACUGCUUCCGCAUGUGCUUAAUAAAUGAAAGGGUCGGCGAUACAUUGUCCUGGGAUAUCGCAUUAUAAAAUCGACCAAGUGAGAAGGAUGUGUGCGUGCCCGAGGAUCGGGGCGUGACAAUAUUAGCUCUAGAUUGAUUGUGCAUCGGGUCAUUAAUUUCUGUUUUUAUCCUUGACAUGCUUUGAAAAGGAUCCUCGUACUGUCUUGGUUAGAAAUCGUUGGUUGUCUUCUUCUUUCUGAUGACAAAACUGCCGAACGUGCGCUUGAGCAAAGAGUUCCCGGUCCAUUCCCAAAGAUGCACUUCAAGAAAAGCCUGUAGACUGUGGCUCUUAUAUAUCAGGACAAAUCGUGGCCGGUGAAGCGCAUUAGCCACGAACAUUAUGGAAAGUCAUCUAUUGGUUGGGCUACUUUCUCGAGAGAAACUUCUCUGAAGGAGUGAGGCUUGUGCAUGUUCGAGUUCUAUUAGAAGGGGCAACGUCGUGUUCAGAGUAUACAUCUUCAAGACCACUAGCCAGAGGUAGCUGAAAAAUCCUAUGCAAUAGGACACGGCAAAGGAAGCAUCACUUUAGCUCAGAAUUGCUUGGCUAAAAUCUGCUUCAAAUUUGACAAAUCAGAAAAAAGCAUGAGUUUUAUUCUAAUGAAUGGAAAGAUACCUUUAAUCGAUCCUAGCGUUACAAUCACCAUGUGGGGAUGAGUCAUGAGUCAUGAGACGGAGGAAGCUAAUUGCAUCUAGUACAAGUCACACAGCCUCAUUUCCUUACUCCUCCCAUAGUAGAUUUCCGUUGUCAUCGGACCACUCUCUAUACUUCAAAACACAAAAGGAAAUUUAUAUUCAUUUAAGCAAAGAGAGAUAAUAAAAGGAUGUAAAAGCCGUCCUUCGAGUCUAUAUUAAUCAAAAUAUUUAGUGCUCUCUUGCAGUUAAUACAUAGAUUCUGAUUAUAAUCGGACAUCUACUGAGCACAACCGAAGAAGAGUUCUAUAAGCCAGCAAUGACAUAAAAAAUAGUUCCACAAGAGGGCUCAACCUCCUCGACUUAUUAAAUGAAUCACAAGGCAAGGAAAAGAGAACUUGGGCAAUUAAUGGCAUUAAACACAAUUAAUGCGAAUUAUGCAGGAAUUAUUAGAAUUAUAGUGAGCUGGGGCUUAGAUGGUGUUCCUUACUCAUGUCAAUUGAUGAUGAUAAAGAAAAGUAACUAUGUGAAAGUUACCAAAACAUUUAAAAAUUUAGUGUCACUUUAAAACUUACAAAAUUUAUUAAUCAGAUAAAAAAAAUUUACAAAUUAUGUACGGUUACAAAUUACUUUCAAUCUGCGGAACGUUACUUACAAAUUUGAAAAACUCUUUUAUGCAUGUGACACUCCAAAUUCCAUAUGGAUUGGAAGAGGGAUAAUUGACCAAUAGAUAAGUGUGAACACGAACCACCCCCGCUAGAUAUUCAUCCCCGCUAGAUAUUCAUCUCCCGAAAAACUUAUUUAGGGGCUUAAAUCAUAACAAACCGGAUUGUUAAUAUUAGAAAAUUUCAUGCCUGACUUAUAGCUCGAACUUGCACAUUAAUUAAAGAUAUUUAACUUUUACUAGCCGAGUGAGUAGACAAAUCUAGCGAGCAAUUAUCUACUUGGUAUUUGGCUCAAAUAAAGGUUGUACUCUACAAUGUUGACUUAAGAAAAGUAUAUAAUUCUCUCAAAUUAAGAUAGGUAAUUUCACACAAAAAUUGUUAAGCGUGAUUGUGGUUGGUGGAGGAGAAACACCUAUGUAGAUAAACCAAGAAAGCGAAUCUUCUUAAUACCAAAGUAAGUUAUACUAGCCAUUUAACUUAAUUCUCCAAAAAAGUAUCAACUUUAUCUGGAGUAUCAAUUCAGGCAUAACCUUUUUUUUGUAACAAAAAAUCAUCAACUUCCAUGCCUAAAUCUGACCCCGAUUAGCUUUCCAUCAACUAUUGGUGUUAAAUGUUUGAUGCAUCAAUUUCACGUCAUUAUCUUUUUCCAAGUCAGAAUUCAUAUAUAUAUGCUGUCUUCUUUUUUCUUUUUUUCUUUUUUCCAUUUUCCUUUUUCUUUCUUCUUCUUCUUCCUUUCACUGGACGAUAACCUGACCACCGUGAGUCAGCCGUACGAUCCAAUCGGACGAGGUCACAUGACUUCCUCUUGGUUAAGUCACCCCAAACAGGGAGGCCAAUCUGUAGUUUCAACACUCUGAAUCCCUUUCGAGUGACAUGUACCAUGAUCUCAUGAAGGUAAAUGGAGUAACGCAAAUUGAGAAGAUUUCAAUCUAUUUUGUAAAGCUCUGGCCACCCAGAAAGAGGACAAGAGAGAAAGAGGUUCAUUUCAAGAACCAUCAUCAGAAGGAAAUUGAAUAGCUACAGUACAAACUGUUAUUCUGAUCUUAUUAUGUGGAUCAAAUCAAUGUACAAAGAGCAUUAGGAUACAUCAUCACGGAAUUGAUAUUCUCGCUCCCUGCUACAGAGAAAGCAAGUUUCCUAUAGAUAUUCUAAUAGGUCUUGUUGACUCUCCAGUUCCCAAAUCACCGCUUUACCAUCCAAUCCUGUCAUUUAGGGAUUGGAAAAUCAGUUGGCCUCUUUAAAAAGAAAGCGAAAAGAUAAUCCACUUCAAGCAUUAAGAAACAUGAGAUAAAAGUACGUUUGUUUGCCAACCUGAAAUGUCGAAGCGUGUUAUGGUCGAACUUCCAGCCUCCCCAAGUGGCACAAUACAACUGCAGUCACACAAAAUUAAUCUUGCGUAAGUCAUUCAUCCCAUGAUAUUGGCAUUUUACUCAUCAACUCUCCUAAUCCACAUCAUCUACUGGACUCAUGUUUGGAAAUGCCAGAAGAAAAAAAUCUGGAGAAGAGUUCAAGCUUAAUAUACAUCGACGCAGGCACGCAUGCAGUCCAAUUAGCACAAGAAAAACAGCUGUAAGAUGACUGUCAUCUUUAUAAUGUAAAAAGGAAGAAGUGAUUGUUAUCAUGUUGAUAGAUACGUUAUGCAGUUCUCGUGAACCCCUCCUCGCUGUCUUGAAUUGUCAACGCCAUCAUACGUUAUGCAAAACGGCGUCGUUUUGGGUUCCGUUCGCCGGAAAAAGGCCACAUCGACGUUUUGGCUGAAUUUUGGCCGGAUUGGCACUCAAGUGAUCCAUUUUACUCCGAUUUUGGUACUUAAGUGUACCUUUCGUAAGUUAUGGCACUUAAGUAUCCCUUUGGGCAAAGUUAAGGCACUUCAGGGGUCCGCACGUCUUAGGAUAUCCAUUGAAAAUGACCAUGAACCUAAUUUAAAGAUUCACCCACAUAAAGUCCCAAUCCCUUUAUCAAUUCAAAUUAUUUUUUUGAAAUUCUUUACCGUGGAGACUAUGGGAGUCUGGAGCAAAAGUAAGUGACAAUGGAUGUCGGCAUCAACUUUUUCCAGUGGAAAAUAAAGCAUGCUUUUUUUUUUUUUGGUAUAGUAUCGCCGAAGGCAUAAGGCAGGUUCAUCAAAUGUAUGGCACUUGGUCAAUUAUUUGGUUACCCACAAACUUUUUAGACGGUUGUACAAUUCCUUACUAAAAUUAGAGAGUAAAUGUGACUUCAAUCAGUAAGGUAAGGUUUUAAAGAUUUUGGCAUUUUCACUUAAAUAAGUAUGAAAGCAGAGUACAAAGAUCAAGAGGAUGUUUCAUCUUUCAAUUGAAAAUUAAAACUGUCCGAGCACUAGAAAUCGGACCUUCAACAAGUCAGAGUACCACGGCUGGAAACUAAACUUAAUCUAGAAAUCGCGCAUCAUGGGGACCUCCAAAAGAAGGAAAAAAGCACGGAAGAAACAAUUGGUGAAAGCGAACGGUGAACCGACCGAACAACCUCUACAUAUGCAUAUAUUUCCAAAGAAUAACCCCGUCUCACUUAUAGGGAUGAUUAUGAGGGGCUCUCUUUCAAAAAAUCUGUGAAAAAUUGAAAGACAAUACAUGAAAAGUCAAAACUUAUUUUCAACUAAUGCUCAACAUUACCUUAGUUGGGUAGAAGGCUCCAAGUUGGCUCAAGUCAUAUAUGUCAAUAAGUAGAAUAUCAUCAAAGUUGCCCUUCAAUAUAUAAAUCAAUAACACGGCCAUUUUAAGUUUUAGAGCUAUUUUGAUUUGCAUACCAUUUCAAAAAUAAAACCUCAAUUUUUUUUCCCUUUCAGUUAGCUUGAUUAUAAUUUUACUUCUCUAUUUUUUAAUAUGAUUUCAUGCCAACACGAGGAGUGGGCUUAGGAAUAGUACCUAAUCCUUUUUUGCGCUCAAAUCUCUUUGCCUUCUUUGUCCCUAAUCAUUCUUGCUUUGUUUCGCUCUUCCAUUAUUCUCUGUCUCUUUGUUUUUGUUUUUGUUUUUUUUUUCUGGGUUUUCUCAACUAAAAAAAAAAAAAAUCAAAGAAAAAUUUAAAAUCGAUGAGACUGUUGAGAAAAAAUGGGAAACAUCACAUUAAAUUCAUCUCAAGAAGUAUUUGUGGUUAAAGAGCAAGAGCAAAAAAACAUUAGAAAAAUCUCAAUUAUAUCAUCAAAUGAUAAUUUUUUUGAUAAUGUUCUGCUUGGGCUAUGAGUGCAUCAACCUCGAAAAUCCACGUCUAUGCUGGCUCCAUCUAUUUGUCUUCUUGACUCCUUAAAAAAGGAAGUCAUGAUAUUUUUUUCUUGGAUUGCUACAAAAUUUAACAGUUAAUACUUUUGACAUUUCACACAUAAUCAAUGAUGAUAUGGGCAUGCAUCUUCAAUCUUCCAUUACCGCUUUAUUGCACCGAAAGGUGAAUUCCCAAGACUGAAAGAGAAAGAUUCCUCUGGUGGGCCUUCCGUUCCACCGAAACCCUUGAAAAAUAGUCAAGAGGAUCUUCUAAAGUCGUUGUGAUGAUUUGGUGUAUACAUGCAUAUUCACACACAUUGGGCGAGGCUAUUCACUCUCCCAAUUUAGCUUAAAAUCACAUCCUUUUAAGUAAACUCAAUUAUUAAUAGACCUGCAUUUUAUUUAAAAAUAAACAAAUCUGCCUUUUCCAAUUUCUCUCUCAUCUAUUGCCUGGUCUAUUUGAGAGUGCUAGUAUGAAUACCUAGAGGGGGUGAAUAGGUGUUUAAAAUAAACCUUGGCAAAUAUAUGCGGAAUAAAAUAAACUUCAAGUAAAAUAAAGGAGUUAAGGAAGAGAAUAAGAACACAAUGUUUAUAGUGGUUCGGCUUAAUCCAAGCCUACGUCCACUCUCCCACGCUAACAGCCUUCUUGGCUGGAUUCCACUAUGCAAUCAACAAGAGAUUACAACUUUGAGUGCAAACACUUAGUAGUAGAUCACACUAUCUCACUAAGUCACUCUUUUGGUAUUUCUCUCACGAUCACAAAUGUUUAAGCUCUCCAAAGACAAGUGUAUGAUCGAAGGUCGCUCAGACUUUGGAAUUAUAAAUUUUACGCUCCGUCUCUUACUUGCUCAUCGGUCCUUCAUCUCCUUAAAUACUCCUCCACUUCCAAACUAGCCGUUGGACAAUAUCUUGAGGAUCGUCUUCCAAUAUACCCAUUGGACAGCUCUGUAUCUAGAAGAUUUGGUAGCCGUUGAGUGACAAAGGUAAAAUCCCAAAUUAAUUCCAAUCGCCCAUACAAACGGAAUCUUGGUUUCCAUAAGUAAAGCUUCUUCGUAUAGAAAGAUCUUAUCUUCAAGAUCCAAUUGUCAAUCAAAUAGAUUGAGUCAAUCAAAUCAAUCUUGAUGUGGAAUCCAAACCAGAUCACUAGCCGUUAUAUGAUUGGGCUUGAGUUACGUUCUGUCAAGUUCUGGAUAUAAAGUCUGAGAGUAAUAGACUUUACAAUCUGAGUCUGAGUGUGAUAGACUUUGCAAUCUGGGUCUGAACAUAUUCUGCUUCUGAACAGAUUUAGCUUUAAGGUCUGAGUUCAGCUCCAACAUAGAGUCUGUCUUAUGGUUCAGCUUCAGCAUAGAGUCUGUCUUCUGGUUCAUCAUUCACGUUCAGUCUGGAAUUUGUUAGAAUGAGCAGACUUCUGAUGUAGAAUAGACUUUGACACUAAAGUCUGGCAGUCUUCAGACUUUGAGUCUUGAGUCUAGCAAUCUUCAGACUUUGAGUCUUGAGUCUGGCAGUCUUUAGACUUUGACACAGAAGUCUGGAAAUCUUCAAAAUAUACUCUAGACAUAUGUUACAUUCAGUCUUCUGGCCGUCUUCUGACUUUGAUAAUAUCUUCUAUAUGUUCUAACAUCUGCAUGGUCUAUUACUCAACCAUCAAACAUGUUAGUAGCCUUUGAUUUAUUUUGUCAUCUUCAAAACAUCAUAAGGGAUUUCCCUAACAAUCUCCCCAUUUUUUAUGAUGACAAAACAAUCUCUGAAUAUGCAAAUUUGUAAACAUGCUUUUAAAGAUAUUAAUUUAAAUCAAAGGAUAUCAGAAGAUAACAAAUAGAUUGAGCAUAAUAAUAUAUAGAAAAUAAUCGCAGCUCAAUAUUAUGCAAUAAAUAAUAUCAACAAAUCAGCACAUAUGCAUAUUCAUAUCUUCUCCCCCUUUUUGUCAUAAUCAAAAAGCGAUUAUGAUGGAAAAAGUAUCACAUAGAGAAUAGAGAAUGAUAACAAAUAUGUCUUGCAUAAUUUCCAAAAAUAAGCUUUUAUAAGGUAAAUCGAAUAUUAAAAAUAUGCAGUAUAGCUCACUUCGAUCAUAUCGGCAAAUAUCCAAUAAAAAUCAUGGAUGCAUCAUAACUUGCACGUACCCUUUCCUUCCAUCCAUAAUAAGAUCACGAUCAAUCCAAAAAGAUUUUUCCAUAAUUGAUCAAGGCUCCCCCUCAAUUUGUUGCAUUUUUGAGAUGAUCACGAUUCUUUCAUUUUUCUUGGAUUUGCUUUCUCCCCCUAUGAUCAUGGCAAUAUUUGCGAAUAGAAACAAUUGUUGCUUGUUGUCGCGACCUAAAUUUUUAGGGUGGGUGAACCACCUAGGGUUUGGCUAAUGGAUUACUAAGUCUUUAAGCUUAGCUCGAACCCUCCCAAGCCCAUACCAAUUCGCGACUUAGAUUCAAAUUUCUUAACAUGCAAAUUGAUUUUAUUUAGGAGUCGCCACUAAUCAGUUUAUGGUAGGUCGAUUAGACACCUAAGUAAAAUAAUGGGAGAAUUACUUUACUCCUACGAACCAGAGACUAAGGGUACGGGGACUUGAUUACAUUAGAUUUCUCUAAUGCCCUUUCGGUACCAUUCUUUUUAUUUUCAAAAAUGUUUGGCAAUUGAAUUGAUUUUAAACUAACUUCCUAACGUGUGAGGUGAUCAUACAUGUGCGCAUACCACCAAUUUAACACUCAAGAAAACAAUUAAAUAUUGCAAAACAUACCUAGGAGCAACGAAAGCAUCUGCAUUGUUAAAUCAGAAUUCACAUCAGCAGCCCUAGAUAUGAUUUCUAAUUAACAAGCAAUUACUCAAUUUUUGUUUUCACUUUAUUUAAUGAAAAUCAUGCGAUGCAUGCUAAUAAUCUAAUAUGACGGGGCAGCAUGACCUAAACUAUAUGACAUGAAGAAAUGGAAUAAUUAAAUGCAAUCUAAAUGACCUAAUUCUAAUGACAUGCAAUGCGAUGCAAUGACAUACAAAAUUAUUUAACCUAAAAUGACAUGCGACCUAUAUGUCAAGCGACAUUUAUUAAAUGACAUAAUCUAAUGACGGGCAAUUUCUAAUUAGAAAUGAACCUAACAAUAAUCACUAAAAUGACGUGCAUUUCAUGGACUUAAUUUUAUAUAACGUGCACAUGAUUUUUCUAUUCUAAAAAAUGAAAUCUAUUCCUAGAAAUUGCAACUAAUUUAUCCUAAGACAAAUUUUAUGAAAUUCGAAAUUUAAAAAUGCAAAGGUGAUCUAGCCAAAUUAAGAUUCUAUCCAAUUUAAACUAGGGAUUAAGUUAUACCAAAUCCUAAUUUAAACUAAGACAUUAUCCAAAUCUAUGAUGCAAUUUAUCUAAUAUGCAAUGACAUGCAGAGAAUGCCCUAAUUCUAUAUGACAUAUGCAUGAUAUUUUAUAUCUUUUGUUUUUUUAUUUAAAAUUCAAAAUUUAAAAUUGCCACGUAAUUAAUCAUGCAAUUAAAAUCCUAACUUAAUGCAUUUUUUUAAAUAUUUUUUUGAACUAAAAUUGCUAUCCUAGAUAUGCAAGAUAACAAGAAAUAUUCUAAAACAACCUGAAUCUUGAUUCAAAAUUUUUUUGGGUUUUUUAGUGAUCAAGCACUUAUCAACUAAACAUUAAAUCUAAACAGUUAAUAUAAUCACUCAAUAAAGGAUCAAGAUAAUUGAAAAAAUAACCUGUCGUCUCACAGGUUAAAUUAACAAUUAUUCUAACCCUAACUAUCACAAAACUCAAAAUAAUUAAAAAUCUAGUCCGAAGUCUUACGGACCAAAUUAAAUAAUUAUCAUGAUUUAACAAUUGAGAUUCUACCAAAAAGCCCAAAAAUUAAAAAUAAUUAGAAAAAUGAUCCGAUGUCUCUCGGAUCAAAUUAAUAAUUAUAUUAAUUUCGGACAAAAUCCCUACGGAUAAUGCAUAUUAAAGUCACAAAUAUUAACAUCAAAUAUUACAAGUUAAAUAGAUGAACUAAAAAUGAGAUAAAAUAGAACAAAAUAAAUAAAAGAAAAAGCUAAACCACCUAAAGAAAGAGGGGCUUGCUGCAGCGUUGAUGGGUGCCGGACGGAGGAUGGCCGGCGUCAGAGCUCCGGCGAGGGCACAGCAGGUGCACAGUGAGGAGGUGUCGCAGGGCGCGGGGCCUGCUGUCGGGCACCGAGGAGACGUGAGCAACAACGAUGUGGGCUCUGGCGGUGUUGGGUUGCGGCAGGAACAGCAGCACGGCGGCGGCUAAGCGUCAGGUCUCGGCGCGGUUCGGCAGCAGUGUCGGCGACGCACGGGUCUUCGGCUCCGAGUAGCAGCAGGCGGCGGUGAAGAGAGUCUCCAGCGGCAACGGGUCACCGGAAUCGUGGGUCAGCGCGGCACGAACAACAGAGGAGAUGCGGGCCGGUACGGGGGCUCACUCGGCGGUGGAACGACGACCAGCUCGGAUCUGCGAUCGUCGGGGCUCUCGAGUGGGCAGAUCAGGAUAGCGGUGGUAUCGCGGAGAGGCGGAGACGCGGCGUGGGUGGCAGGGUGGCGACGGCGCAGGGGCGGAGGUGCGUUGGAGGCUGGCGUCGCGGUGCCGGCGCAACGCACGGUCGGCGCGUCGGGGUCUCCGCGAGUUGCAGCGGCGGCAGGUGAGGAGUGGCUCCGGCGUCACGAACCAGCGCGGAUUGGAGAUGAGGCGGAGAACGCGGAUUGGUUAGGCAGCAGCAGAAACCUGGCUAAAAGCGCCGGCGAUAGGGCCGGCGUGGGUGCUCACGGACGGACACUCCAAAAGGAAGGUCCGGUGUCGUCGGAUCUUGGUUGCAAACGAAAUUGCAGAAGUGGGGCAGCAAUUUGGGGAAGAUGAUGAACAGUAAAGGUCAAAUCAACCUUUACUGUUUCAGCCGCUUCCCCCUCAAACUCACUUCUCUCUUUUACUUUUUUUUUUUUUGGUACUUUCUGCAGGAAAAUUUUCUUUUCUUUCUCCUUUCUUUUCUGAAUUUUUUUCUAGAGAAGCCCCCCCACAGAAACUCCCCACGGAUGGCUUCUCUCUUUCACUUUUUCUGAAUUUUUUUUCAAAGAAGCUCCACACACGGAUCCUCGUACACGGUUGCUUUUAUAGGGGGUAAGAGAUAAGCCUUCAAUUUCCCCUUCAAAUCUAUAUCCGUGAUACAUUUUCACCAACCGAUCACUACUGAUAAAAAUUCAAGAUUACAAUAAAUAUUUACUCGAAAUCCAAAUCUCGCAAAAGAUAAGUCGCAAUAUUUUUUCACACAUGUGCUCUAUCCAAAAGAUUCAUAUCCCGGAAUAAUUUCAAAAUUUUUAUUUUUCACGAGAUAAUUAAAACACAUGGGCUUGGGCCAACCAGCUUGCUUCGUGGGCUUAGUCCAACUAAUUUGAACCCAUUCGCAUUGAUCCGAUAAAUAAAAUGCCAAAUGCAAAUAUAAAUCUAUAUGCUAUAAAGUUUAACUCCUAAUUUCCUAUGCAAUAAAUAAAUAAACUAAAUCGUCAAAAUUUAGGUGUCAACACUUGUUAAACAUAAUAAUUUUUUUUUUCAGUAUUUCCUUUGUAGCAACAACAUCUGCAACGAUCACUUGCAUUUUGAAAUUCGAGGCAAAAAUUUAUUUUCUUCAAUUAAGCUUUUCUCGAAUUUAACCUGCAUCAACUUAACAAAUUUUUUCACAAAUAAGCUGUAAUAAUAUCCACGUGAUAUAUAAUACCAUUUUCUUCAAAUAGAUAAAUUGAAUAGCAUAUAUAAAAUUAUCAAAUAUUAAAAUUCAAAACUAUUCAACAUUUUGUACGAUGCAUAAGGGAUUUCUUCAACAAUUUGCAAAAAUUUGCACAAGGAAUAGAAUAUAGAAUCUCCAUGAUUUUCUGAUUGAGUUUUCCAAAAAUCCAUAUGGAAGAUUCUUUUGUGACCUGCAAAUUCUUAUAUAACAGAUAAUAAUCUUUGCAAGAAUGUCACGUAAUAUCUUCCUUUGAUUUGUGGAUCAAACUUGCUAGAUAUAAUAUAUCUUCUAAGAAUAUAGCAAGAAUAUCCAUGAAUAUGCAGUAAUAUCUUUCGAGAUCAAAGAGAUUUCCUUGAGCAUAAAUUUCAGAUAUGCAUUUUGCAAAAGGAAAAUAGAUAUUUCUGUCACGUGCCAAAAUUGCAAUACCUUAUAUUUAUGACAAAAGAUAUUUGCAAUAUAAUAAACAAUCAUCCAAAAUGCACGUAGAAAUUUAUAAAGCGGGAUGAUAAAAAAAUAAUUCUCUUACCCAGGUAUAUGUUUGAAAUAUACCAUUGAAAAUAAAAAUCAUUACCAAUCUUCAUAGGAGAUAUUUUUCUGAUUGCACCAAAAUUUGUGUAGAUUUGUAAUCAUUCUUGCCUUAUUGAAUUUCCUGCAAUCAACUCAUUUUCUUUUUGGUAUCCAUUUGGAUCCUUCCAUGACAUUAGAGCAAAAUAUAUAAUCUCCAAAUAUUCUUUCUUAAUUCAUCAUAACAGAGUACUCAGAGAAAGAAUAUUAUGCACAAUGAUAUAAAUUCUUACUUAGUCAUGGUACGAUAAAAACAGAGAGAAUAAAAUCUUUGAAUAUCUAAGAAUAUCUUGCAUCAUCACGUAAAACAGAUUUUCACUUUGCAAAAUAUGAUUAAAUCUGAGAGUAUAAAAUUAGACAAAAUAAUCUGAAUUAUCUCAAAUAAUCACACGUACUAAAUCAAAUCUCAACUCACAAAUCAAAAAACAAAUCAUACGAUUCUUUCUUCCAUAAAGCAAAAUAUGAUCAUUAUAAAAUCUCAAUCAACCAAGGAUAUAUCGAAUAUGAGAAUUAUGUUCCCAAAUCAAAUUAAAAAUUUACCUUCCUUACCAAAUUCUCUUUCUUCUUUCUUCUUUAUAUCCUGCAAAAAAAAAAAAAAUAAUAACUCAUCUUUUCUUUGGUACCCAUUUUUUCUUGGGUCCAUGAGAGUUAGUAGAGUAUGCUGUUUUUAUCCAAUUUUUCUUGAUAGGUCUCCAGACUUUAGGACAUUCUUUCUCAAAGUGAUUUGAAUCUCCACAAUUUGAACAUUUGAGGGCAUUUCGACCAACGGGUUUUACAAACACUUUUUGAAAAUGAUUUUUAUAAAAUGUCUUUGGAGGUCUUUGUUUAAGUCUCUCCUUGACUUUAGGAAAAUCAAUUAAAUAAUCACUUUCCUUAUUGAAACCAAGUCCCGACUUAUUAUAGUAAGGAACUUGUAGAGAGAGGAUAUGCUCUAAUGUUUUUGAUCCAUUUGAAAAUCUUGUCGAAAUAUUUGAAAAUUCUUUCUUCAAAGAAUCAUUUUCUUUGACAAGUAAAUCUCGACUUUUUUUUGUUUGUAGAAAAUCUUUUUGCAAAAUUUCAAAAUUUUCUUUUUGAGAAAGAUCUUGUUGCCUAAGUCGAGAAUUCUCCUUUUUAAGUUCGAAAAUCCUUUUAAGAGAAGAUUUGAGAUUUGAACAAAGCUCAUUUAUAUACUUUGAAACUUUGAAAGGAAUUGCUGAAUGACUUACCUUGAUUUCCUCAUCGGAUUCUGAGUCUGAUUAUGAAUCAGACUUUGAUUCUGAGUUUGUGUCUGAGUCAGACUCAGAUUCUGAAUGUGCCAUCAAGCAUAAAUUUCCUUUCUCAUCAUCUUCUUUUAUUGUUCUUGUCUGGCCAUUCUGCUUGUAUUUUCUUCCAUCGAAUUUCCUUCCUUUUCUACUCAGCUUUUUGAAUUUCUUGACCAUAAAGGCAAGUUCUUCAUCGUCCAUGUCAUUUUCUGAGUCUGUUUCAUCAAAAACAGCAUUAGAUAUUAAAGCAAUGGACUUCUUACCUUCGGGAUCUUCAUCGUUGAUUUGUUCCACUUCAUAGGACUGAAGAGUGCCGAUCAAUUCAUCAACGGUGAGUAGCAUAAUCCUUUGAGUCUCCCGGAUUGAGGUCUUGACAUGGUUCCAAUCUUUUGAGAGACCUCGCAAGAGUUUGUUGACCUUCAUUGGGGCAAAAAUUUGAUGACCUUGAUAUGCUAAACCAUUUACAAUUUCUGUAAAACGGCUAAACAUAUCUCCAAUCGAUUCUCCUUGCUUCAUCUUGAAGGAUUCAUAUUUGCCAAGCAAGAAGUUUACUUUUGUCUCUCUUACACGAUCGGUCCCUUCAUAUGUAACAUGAAGUUUAUCCCAAACUUCUUUUGCUGUUUCACAUGAAGAGAUUCUAUUAUAUUCAGUAGGAGACAAAGCACAAUAUAAAGAAUAAAUUGCUUUCGCAUCAAGCGCUUCUCUUUUGGACAUCUCCAUCCGAGACAUAGGAUCGGGGGGUUUGCUUUCUUUGUCUUUGCCAUUCUUAUUUGAUGUAGACGGAGCGAUGGGGUUGAUUCCUCUUUCCACAACAUCCCAUUGCAAGAGAUCUCUGGAUCUUAGGAAUGCUUUCAUUUUGUUCUUCCACACGUCGUAUUCCUUUCCAUCAAAAUAUGGUGGCCUUGUGUUGCUUUGUCCUUCCAUAAGUCCUGGUGCCAACAUACUAGCCAUGGAUCUUUAACUCUGAAGUAAAACACUUCAAACAAAGUGAGUACACAGGCUCUGAUACCAAAUGAGAGUGCUAGUAUGAACACCUAGAGGGGGUGAAUAGGUGUUUAAAAUAAACCUUGGCAAAUAUAUGCGGAAUAAAAUAAACUUCAAGUAAAAUAAAAGAGUUAAGGAAGAGAAUAAGAACACAAUGUUUAUAGUGGUUCGGCUUAAUCCAAGCCUACGUCCACUCUCCCACGCUAACAGCCUUCUUGGCUGGAUUCCACUAUGCAAUCAACAAGAGAUUACAACUUUGAGUGCAAACACUUAGUAGUAGAUCACACUAUCUCACUAAGUCACUCUUUUGGUAUUUCUCUCACGAUCACAAAUGUUUAAGCUCUCCAAAGAUAAGUGUAUGAUCGAAGGUCGCUCAGACUUUGGAAUUAUAAAUUCUACGCUCCGUCUCUUACUUGCUCAUCGGUCCUUCAUCUCCUUAAAUACUCCUCCACUUCCAAACUAGCCGUUGGACAGUAUCCUGAGGAUCGUCUUCCAAUAUACCCAUUGGACAGCUCUGUAUCUAGAAGAUUUGGUAGACGUUGAGUGAUAAAGGUAAAAUCCCAAAUUGAUUCUGAUUGUCCAUACAAACGGAAUCUUGGUUUCCAUAAGUAAAGCUUCUUCGUAUAGAAAGAUCUUGUCUUCAAGAUCCAAUUGUCAAUCAAAUAGAUUGAGUCAAUCAAAUCAAUCUUGAUGUGGAAUCCAAACCAGAUCAUUAGCCGUUAUAUGAUUGGGCUUGAGUUACGUUUUGUCAAGUUCUGAAUGUAAAGUCUGAGAGUAAUAGACUUUACAAUCUGAGUCUGAGUGUGAUAGACUUUGCAAUCUAGGUCUGAACAUAUUCUGCUUCUGAACAGAUUUAGCUUUAAGGUCUGAGUUCAGCUCCAACAUAGAGUCUGUCUUAUGGUUCAGCUUCAGCAUAGAGUCUGUCUUCUGGUUCAUCAUUCACGUUUAGUCUGGAAUUUAUUAGAAUGAGCAGACUUCUGAUGUAGAACAGACUUUGACACUAAAGUCUGGCAGUCUUCAGACUUUGACACAGAAGUCUGGAAAUCUUCAAAAUAUACUCUGGACAUAUGUUACGUUCAGUCUUCUGGCCGUCUUCUGACUUUGAUCAUAUCCUCUACAUGUUCUAACAUUUGCAUGGUCUAUUACUCAACCAUCAAACAUGUUAGUAGCCUUUGAUUUAUUUUGUCAUCUUCAAAACAUCAUAAGGGAUUUCCCUAACACUAUUUUCUUAUUUACUAGACACUUGAUGAGAGUUUCCGGUUUCAAUCUCGUCAUCUACUCCUUUGAUUUCAAAAUUUUGUUCAUGUAAGAAUUUACCUAAAAAACGUCUUCAACCUAUGAAUCAUAAAAAAAAAAAAAAAAAGUAGAGGCUGAUUUAGCUGAAAGAUUGGAGCAUAAGCACGAUCCGAAAUAUCAAAUUGCACUUAUGUUUUCAUCGAGCUUUAGCCAUAAUUUUUCCAAUUUAUUAUGAUCAAAUCUUCAGUUCUUUGAUCUGUCAUGUUUGAACUUUCAUUAUUUUGUAGAAGAGAAUAUUUCAACGAGUUAAUUUGGUAUAAGAUUUUAUUUAUGAGCUUAUAAAUCAGUGAAUAAUUAAUCCUCUUUAUUCAAAUGGUUAUAGACAAAGUUUUUGAGACAUUUAAAGUUAUUUUUCUUAUUGAUAAUUGGUUUUUCUAAAUUUAUCAUGCUAGUAAAUUUGGGAGAUCAUUGAGUGAGAGUUUCAUUUUGAGCAAUCUCAAUCUUUUUCCACACUGCAUCUCUAGAGUUAUUUCAAAGUGGUGGUGUGGCCGUUUGAUAUGAAGAGAUUCGUGGAAAGGUCCCGAGCUUAAUUCAUUAGUAGCAUGUUUUCAAAUUGAAAAGCUUGCCUCAUAUUUUUAGUUUGUUUUUGAGUUUUCACUUUGUUUGCUUUAUUCCUUAUACCUGUAGCUAGGACUUGAGAUUAUAUUAUGUACCCCAUGAAUAGUUCAAUACCAUAAAUUUUGACAGGUUAAGAUUGAUGUCUUUUAGAUUUCGCACCAUAUUAUAUUGUUAAGGUUGCUAAUUAUAAUUCUUGAAACUAACAAACUAUCAAGUGCUGUGAAAUAUAUAUAUUGUGUGUUCUCUCAUUUUGUGCACUUAUAUUAUGGUCUUUCAUAUCCAUACAUUGCUUGUUCAAAUAUGCAUGUAGGCAAACAAUUCUCUUUACAUUCUUCAAGGAAUAUAUUGAGGGAAUAAUCAAAUCACAACUCUUAGACAUUCAGACAAAUCGUGCAUAGUGAAUCCAAGGAUCCAUCUCAUCUUGUUAAAAAAUGAUAAAUUACAUUUACCUUGUUCCUUGCCAAGACCGAAUUGCAAUCACAAGAAUUUGGUGGUGUCACUCGUAGUUUGAUAAGUCAUGUUUUGUUCACAUUGUGUUGUUUUUAACUAGUAGUUAAGUCACGUCUUUUACAAAUGACAAGUAAUUGAAAUUAUGAGUUCCUUCGAAUGAUUUACAUGACGGAUGAUUUGAUGAUAGCAUUCAGGGCUCUUAGUUUAUACUUUCAUUUUCUAUGACAAUUUGAUUAAAAUUAUUAUUUUAAAGGAAGCAGCCAUGGAUUAUUACUGGAAUCCCAUGAUUGAACCAUGCAGUCAAAAAUGGGGUCCAUAUGUCAUUAGAAGAAAGCUAUGCACGUUGCUCAUGCUUGCCUAUGGUCAUUCACUCGUGAAAGGGUUAAUAGUAAGAGAGUGGCUAAAACAGCCAAGAAUAUGCAAUAAUUUGGCUAGACAUAAAAUAAUGGGAUGUCCCAUCUCCCCCCUUGAGUCUACCUUAGUAUUAAUAUUACAAAAGCAUUGAUUAUUCGUCAAUGGCUUGGUAUAAGGAGCAUCAAACUCCCAAAACUUUUCUUACAAAUCUCAGUUGAGUUUUUCUUUUAGAAAUCAUAACAUUCAAAUAAUAAAAAAAGAAGAAGUUAUGACACUUAAUUUUUUUUUUUAGAAGUCAUGGUACUCAAAUAAUUGAAAAAAAAUAUGUGAGCACUCUACAGAAGUCAUGAUACUUGUGGUAUUUUUUUGUGAUUCUUUUUAGGAUUUUCGUCCUAUCGUUUUCUCAUCUUUCUUUCUCAAAAGAAAAACAUCGACGGAUGCUGCCAUCGAGAAAAAUGGGAAAAAUCACAUUAAACUCAUAUCAAGAAGUAAUUGUUGAUUAAAGGGUCUAAGUUAUGGUUAAAAGAGCAAGGACAAAAGACAUUAGGAAAAUUUCAACCGUAUCAUCAUAUGGCAAUUUUUUUCAAUGUUCUACUUGGACCAUGAGUGCAUCAGCCACGGACAAUCCACUUCUCCAGUGGCUCCAUCAAUUAAUCUUUUGACUCCUUUUUAAAGGGAAAGUCGUGAUGGGUUUUUCUUGGAAUGCUACAAAAUUUAAUAGUAAUUACUUUUUGGCAUUUGACGCAUAAUCAAUGAUGAUAUUGAUAUGCAUCUCCUAUUUUCCGCUGACAAUUGCUUCCUUGCACCGAAAGGUGAAAUUGUCAAAGACUAAAACAGCAAGAUUCCUCUGGUUGACAAAUAGCUGUUGGGAUGAUUGGUGUGCUCACACACAUUUGGUGGAGCUAAUUAUGCACCUAUUUUACACGUGAUACUUUGUUAGGGUCAUUCCAAAUUUGUCUCUACGUAAUAUUUCCGUAAGAGAACCCAAGGACAAAAUGCUAGAAUAGCCAACCUCUUAUAUUUCCCCUCAUUUCACAUUUUUAGCUUGCCAUCACCUUUCUUUUGUCUCCUUAAUUUUUCCGUUUUCACAUGUAGUAUCUCUCUGUUGGAAAGGGCUUUGAAUUUGAUUAUGCUUGGCAUUGUGUAUGUUGGAUGUAAAUUUUCUUUUUUGAAAAAUUAUACUUUUGAUACAAAAUUAUUCACUAGUUCACGUACAAAAUCAACAUGAGAGUCAAUAUCUAUAUAAUUAUGCAGUAACAGUAUCUUCUCUGUGCCCUGCAUCUAAGUUUGACACAUAGCAUUCUAAAUAGCUAGAAGAGACUUCUCCUUAUUUUAAGAACUGGAUUCGCAACGUUCUCCAUUAAAAAAAUGUGCCCACUUAGACUCCACCUAGGCUAAUAUUUUGCAAUACUGACUAGAUAGAUUAUUCAUAUAUCAUGAUGUACUUAUAGGCACUAAUUCCUUAUUAGCUACGUGAGUAUGAGUUCUACUCAAUCUAAUUACAAGGAGAAUGUCUCUCAUGACUUUAAAUUGUUUCUAUUUAGUCAAAAUGUUUUCAAACGGUCAUACUUCAUAUAUGGGAUUAGGGGUACAUUGACAUUUCCAACACAACAAUUUUUUACGGGCAAGUUUGUCAUGUGAAACUAAUAAAGGGAAUUUCAGCCAGCUUAAUAUUCAAAACAGAUCAGAGACCAAUAUUAUGCCUAUCUAUCAUAUGAUACUAUUAUUUUAACGUUAUACUUACUUAGCAUCUCUAUCUUGCACUUAUUGAAUGUUAUUAUAUGAUAAUUUUACGCUAACGUUGUCAUUUUCUUAAGAAAUGGUUCGGAAUAGAAAAUAUACUACUCUUUACUAUAAAAAUUAUGCUUACAUAGCCUCAAAAUUGGCGCAAUUGGUUGGGUCACGAGGGAUUUCCAACUUAGGAACUAGAGAUCGCUAGUUUGAAUCCCACAAACUACAUCCAAACUGCUUUGGGUUAUAGUCACCUACAUAGACCAAAGAUAUGAGUUUAGCUAGUUCAUGGAAUUGGCACAAUAUUUCAUGAGCUUCUAGGUAAAUGGCUCUCCACACCUAUAUUACAUGCGCUCACACACACUCACUUUAGGAGAAUGCUAACUUUACAUGGUGUUACACUUACUUUAGGAGAAUGCUAAUUUUACAUGGGAUUUUUCAUAUGCACUUAUUCCUCAUAAAACUAGGUAGUCAUUAUGCAUAAGAUCUUAGUCAACUUAAUUGCAAAGAGAACAUUCCUCAUGUCUUUGAGGAAUAUUACCCAUCAAUCCUAAACAUAUUGUACGAAUGCCAAUUUAAUUCUAAACUUUUCGAUUUUUUCAAUUUAGUGAUAAACCUUUGUGCAAAAUUCCAAUAUAGUCAUUUUGGUCAAUUUCCGACAUUGAAAUGGCCGUGUGUUACUUAGAAUGGUUAGCGAUGACUGGACUGCCGCAUCAAUAAUUUCAAGCAAAAAUUCAUCAAAAGGGUUUUAUUGGAACUUUCUGUAAAUGUGUAAAAAUUCAUCAAAGUCAAUGUCGGAAUGCACUCAUCCGAGGAGCUAUGCUUAAUGACUCAGCAAGUUGCAUAUGAAGGAAACGCCUUCAUAGUUAGUGGAAUAUCCCCUUUCAACGAGAUUCACGUGGCACUCGGCAUAACAUUUUGUUGUUGUUCCAUAUGAUUGUCAUGAAAUAGGAACACGCAAGAGUGAUUUUGAAAAAAUUCCACGAUUUCCAUAGUCACUUUGGUCGACUCUAGUUCUAUUUGCUUACACUUAUAGAUAAAAAAAAUAAAAAAUAAAAAUCUGCAUUUUGCUCUCCCUCGAGAAAAUUAAAAAUGGAAAAUAAAAUAGGCUUCAUAAAUUAUGAAAAAACAUAUAAUAACUCUACUUGUCAAUAAAUGUAUCUUUUUGGAAAUUUGAAAAAUCAAUUCCUGAUAACUGCAAUAUUUGAAAAAGAAAAGAAAAGAAAAGAAAAGAGGGUUUUGGCCCCUUCACGGGGGGGGGGGGGGACUUCAAUAUGAAUGAGAGCCCAUAGAGCAAAGUUCCUUGCUAGCAAUGAUUUUGCGUGUUAAUUUUGUCAUGUAAAGAGUAGCCAUGGUCAUUUUGAUUGUGUAUUAAUAUUAUCAUCUAAAGAGUAGUAGUGUUUGAGAUAGUAAACUAGUAUAAAUGAGAGCCCACAGAGCAAAAUUCCUUGCUAGCAAUGAUUUUGCGUGUUAAUUUUGUCAUGUAAAGAGUAACCAUGGUCGUUUUGAUUGUGUAUUAAUAUUAUCAUCUAAAGAGUAGUAGCGUUCGAGAUAGUAAACUAGUAUAAAAUGUUAAGAGGAUAGCAAAAAUUUAAUUUCCUUAGAAGUUCUAAUCUAACAAUUACAACUGCAGUUUUUUCUAACCUAGCAAUCAUAAUUGGCUUUAUAAUCUAACAAUCGGCCUAAUUAUCAUGUUAAUUCUAAAUUUUUAACGUUAUAUCAUGGAGCAGCAGAAUGAGCGGGGUAGGACUAUUACCUAACCAAUGUUUGUCCAUCACACGUGGAGGAAAAACUAGAUGCCUAAAUUAUGUUUGUCUAAAGCGGUGAAGGAAAUGAUAGAUAUCUAAUCAAUGUUUGUCCAUUAGCAUUGGAGGAAAGGAUGGUGAUUUCGACAUUGGCGGUGGUGACCUGCUCUAUGUAUUAAUAGAUAUUUUAUUAGACUACCAUCAUUGUCUUGAUUGACGCGACCGACAAGGUCUUUUUUAAAUUUUUUUUACUUUUGGCUAGUAAAGGCUUUUAGGACUUGGAGCCCUUUGCUCCAACUUUUCAGCUUCCGAAGGAAUUGAGUGGGUUUUAGUUAAAGUCUUAAGUGAGGUUAGAUUACCGAGCUCCAUAAUCCAUACCCAUCCCAUCUUUCUUCCUCGUGAUUUGGGCCUUUGUGAUCUUAAAUCAUUGGAACACUAGUAGUACGUCUCAAUCGCUGUUGCUAAAAAAUUCCAGCAAAAAGUUACCGUCUCUUUCUCCAUUGAUUGCUCUUUGACGCUCCCCUUCCUUCAUCUUUUCUCGCACUCGUGUCUCUUCGCCUUUCCGUCUAUCAUCAUUCUUGUCAGGGGUGUGCAUGGUUCGGGCGGACAGUUCCCGACUUAGAACUGGAAACCGCCCGUUAAAGACCGGUUCCAAAAAAUUGAAACCGGAUCCACCCGUUUAUUGCAUGGAUCCACCCGGAAACUCGACCGGACCGAUGGUCCGGUUCCCGGGUGGAUCCAUGGAACCGAUCUUGAUGCGAAAUAAUUUUGGUUUUCAAUAUAGAAUGACUACGUGACAUCAAAGUAAGCCAAAGAAAGAAAAAUUAAAUUUAAGUACGUGGAGAUGCGGAUGGCGGGAGAAGUAAAUGUAGCGAAAUGGCGAUAGGAUUAGGACCCAAAGACGAAGGGAGUGAGAUGAGAUCUAGGGUUUUUUUUAGUAAUUUUUUUUUAAUAUUAAAAAGGUUCCGGUCCGGUCUGGGUGGGUAGGCGGGCGAAUUCGCCCAUGGAACCGGGAACCGGACCAGUACCCACCGGUUCCCAUAAAUUGGAACCGGGAACCAGACCAGUACCCACCGGUUCCCAUAAAUUAAAACCAGGAACCGGACCGGUUCCCUCAGGAACCGCCGAUUCCGGGCGGUUCCGGUCCGGUUCCGAGCGGUCCGGGCAGUUCCCGGGUAUUUUGCACACCCCUAAUUCUUGCUCUUUCACACUUUUUCUUCUCCUUGCUAUAGCCCGACUUCGUACUCUUUUUCUUAAGUGUCUAUGACUCUUUUUCAUCGUUCUCUCCCUCCCUCUCUAUGUCUCUCUGCUUUUCCUUUUGAGGUGUUUUUAUCCGAACAUUAUCUCGCUCUUUAUUUUUUGGAACAAAAAUCAAAGAAAAUGUCAGAUCGAUGCCACUGUUGAGAAAAAUAGAAAAUUAGAUUAAACUCAUAUCAAUAAAUAAUUGUUGAUACAAGUAUUAAGAGUAUGUAGAAAAAGUUUAAUCACUUUAAUCGAAGAGAUUAUCAAGAAAAAGCUCAAGUUUGAGCCCAUUAACAUAUUCAGUUAACCAUUUUUACUAAAAAACAUUAGUUAAAAAGCUAUUGAUCAAUUAUGAUAUAUUAAUUGUUUAAUACGAUAUCAAUUCUUUAUUGUGAAACUUUUCUAACCCAAUUCACACAUUCAUCUUAACAUUCGGCUCUCGCAUGUUGGCUUAGUAUUAUGUCUGCUUCCACUUAAUUCAAGUAUCAUUCACCAUUAACAUGACUCAAUUAGAAUCUCCACUUUCGUGCAUGUGCUAACUAAAAUAACAACAACGCCCAUAUUCAUCCCUAGUCUCUUUAUCCAAAUUGAAUCAUGAAGGUUGUCAUCAGGACCACAUUGCUACACAACAACAUCCACCUUCAUUCCAAGUCUCUUUUGCUAGAUCAAACUAUGAAGGCUGCCCAAAAAUCGCGUUGAUCACAGGAUUCCUUUCCUGAGGUAUUCUCCAAACAUCGGUAUACUUGGGAUUGGCCAUUAGCUAUCAAUCAUUGGCUCUGGCAUAAUUUCUUAGGAGUGUCUAGCAGAAAUUUGAUACCUUUAACCAGAGAGAUCACCAAAGAAAAGCCUAUGUCUGAGUAGGCCAAUAUAUUUUAUUGAAGCCAAAUUUACUCAAAAACUAGGAAAUAUUAAUUGCUCCAUACCAUAGCAAUUCUCCGGUAUAAGACUUUCUAACAUAACUCACAUGUAUAUGUCAAUAAAAAAGGAUCUAAGCAAUGAUUAAAAGAGUGAGAACGGAGAGAUAUUAGACAAACCCCUACCACCUCAUCACAUGGCAAAUUUUGAUAAUGUUCCACGCGGAGUAUGAAUGUGUCUACCUCAAAUAAUUCACUUUUGUAGUGGUUCCAUCAAUUUGUCAUUUGACUCCUUUUUUGAGUGGAAGUCAUGAUGGGGUUUUCUUGGAUGCUACAAACUUUAACAGUAAAUGCUUUUAGCCUCUAGCGCAUGAUCAAUGUCGAUAUUGAUAUGCAACUCCAAUUUUCCAACGAGAAUUGCUUCAUCAAGUGACUAGUGUGGGACGUUAACAAAGAAGAGUUCUGCUAUAGCGUGACCGCACUGUCCCUUCCAAUAGCGAGGGCGCAAAUGGGACCGCAAGUUCUAUUUAUGUAAUGCCAACCUGAUUACAACUUUAAAAUGGGAAAUCUUUACAAAUAUCUUUAAAAUAACUUUUAUCCCUUUCUGAUUGAAAUGUCAGUCAAAAUGCCUUCCCUCCAAAUUGAACACCAAGUAAAGUCAUCAAUCAUUUCUUUUCGUUACUCUUGAAAGCAUAAAACAUUCAGUAUAUAUACUAGUGUGCAACUAACUUAUAACUGCACAUAAUCUCGUCAUGACUAUGAAUGUACAGACGUAAAUAUGUAUGCAAGCACACAUGAAUAUGUCUAAAAGUAUGUGUAUUUUAAUUACCUCUUAUUUAGUUAGAUAUACAUCUUGAUCACAAAAAACUUUUUUUUUCAAAGAAUUGGUAACUAGAUGAGUUUUGAAAUGACUUUAGAAAUGUUGUGAUCUAUAUACUCUUUUAUAUUGACUGUGGACUAAAAAAAGCCUAGAAAUGUAUUUAAAUUAUUUUUUUGUUCAAAUUUUAAAUUUUAUAUGAGUAGUGCUUUUCCACUUAAAUUAUAAACUCAAUCUGAAAUUUAGAUCAAUUCUAAAUAUGUUGACCUAAUGUUAUGGGGGGACAAACAUUUCAGAAGUCCUAAAAAAUAAAUUGGGCUUAUUAUGGACACUUAAUUGAGAUGGCAGUCCAACUUUACUCCUUAUGCUUUUCAUUUAGGUUUUUGGCCCGUUCGGAUUUCAGAGAAAAAUAAGCACCACAACUUUUUACUUUCUAAUAAGAGCCUCAAAAUCGGGUAAAGUAAGAUGCAAAAAGGAAUCAUUCAUUUAAUUACAAUCAUUAUGGUUUUCAAAGCAGAAUUUAAUAAACAAAAACCCUUGAAAGGCACAAAGAUACAUAGAUCAAAGCAGGGCUCGGCAAAUAACAUAAAAUUUAAGCAAAGUUCACAAUAACUGGAAUUACGUGAAAAGUCAUAACAUUGGAUACCACACACACUAUAAAUAUAUAUAUAUAUAUAUAUAUAUAUAUAUAUAUAUAUAUAUAUAUUACUUUAAGUAUGAGUUUUAAUCUAUUUUGCCAUUGCUCAUACUUCAAGUUAAUUAUUCACAUUUUUAUUGAAGGUGUUUAAUAAAUUUGAAACCCCAACCAUCACCUCGUCUCGAUUCCCACAAGUACCCAUACGCACAAACCGAUGAAUAUAUUAAUAUUGUGAAAAGGAUUAAAGAUGCCACUUAUCACGCGCGCAUGGGGUGUGCGCAGUCCUUGUCCGUUUGUUCUCUUUAUUAAUUACACUUUGUUAUAUCGAUAAUGGCAAACUAUAAAAAGUAGUUAUUCCGGUGUCGGGGUUUUGGACUAGCCUCUCCUGAGAUUUACAUCUAAAUAGCGACUUGCGGUAAAGUCUGACAAUCUGGAGGGUUGUGUAAUCCCUAAGGCUGCGUUUGGUAGUCCGGAUUUGAGUUCGGAUAGGAUAACCGGAUAGGAUAAUUUGUUAUCCUAUCCGAUGUUUGGGAAUGUCCACUGGAUCGGACAAACCUGGAUAUAUCCGGAUAAAACGCCGGAUAAAAAAUCCGGGGGAGGGGGUGCAAUAAGCCUGAAUUGGAUAAGAUUUUUUUUUAAGGAAAGAAAGAACUUAACAAAAAGAGAAGAUAUCACUUGUCAUUAUCAAUGGUGGCCACUGCGGAGGUGGCCACAAUUCCUAGAUCUAGGGUUUUUCCAUGGCCUUUAAUUAAUUGAAUUUUCUAUUUUUUAAUUUUAUAAUUUAAAUGAAUAUCAUAUUUAUUUUUUAAUAUUAUCCUGAAGUGCACCAAACACUUGAUCAGAUUAGAUAUGUCCGCCUUUAUUAUCCAAAGGAUUUAAUAUCCUACUUUAUCCUAUCCUAUCCUGAUCAUUAUCCAGACGACCAAACGUAGCCUAAAGGGUAAUCUCCAACAGUUUCUCGGUUAUAAAAAAAAAAAAAGUUAUUAAACUCGUGAUAACCCUAGUCGAAUCAUUUUCUUACUUUAAAUUUUUUUCAUAUUUUUUCUAAGCCACUUGAUGGAACUGCAGUGCAAAGAAUUAAAUUGAAGUUCGCAAUUUUUUGUCUUGAUUGAGGAGACCGAAAGAGCAGUCAUUUUUUAUAUUUAUUUUUGGCCAAUGACAAACUUGAAUAGUGUGCUACCAAUUUUUCAGCUUCCCAAAGAUUAAAUGAUGCUUAGUUAACUUAACUACGGUUACCUUUCAGAUCUCCGUAAUCGACAACCAUAUCCUUCUUCUUUCGAGUGGUUUGGAUUUUUGUUAAGAUUAUCAAUCGUUAGAGCUCUAGUACUAAAUCUUGAUCGUCAAUAGGUAGAAUAUUAUCAACAAUUUCUAUUCAAUAUACAAAUCUAUAACACAAGCUCCCACAUACAUAUAUCGAUGAAAAUAUUAAUAUAAUGAAGGGAUUAAAGAUGCUACUUACCAAAAAUAAUUUUUUUUACCUUACCAAAAAAAAAAAAAAAAAAGAUGCUACUUACAACGUGCGUGUGUCGGUGUAGCCUGUCUUUGACCAUUUGCACUCUUAAUUAAGUUUUGUUAUAUAGACAGCGACAGACUAUAAAAUGUCCUUAUUAAAUAAUGGAUGAUCCAAGUCGAAUCAUUUUCUUACUUGAACAGCUCGUAGUCAAUUUCUUUAACCCACUUGAUGGAGCGGCAACUCAAUUUUUAUGGUGUGAAGAAAUCAAUUUAAUUCCACAAUGGAUUGAGGAGGACUAAGAGCAGUCAAUUAUUUUUUAAUAAAUAUCACUAAAAUCCCCAAAUUGGUCCAUUUAUGACAAUUUAUCCCCGAACUAAUAUUUUUACUAUAAAAAUCUAAAACCGAUACAUUUAUGAUAAAUUUUACUCCAAAUUAAACUUUAAAUUAAUACUGACAAUUUUGUCAUCCGUUAGUUCCUAUUAAAUAGGAUUGCUAUCACGAAAAUACACAAACUAAUAUACUUGUAAUAAAUGAAGGAUAAAAUUUUAAACUAGUACAUCUGUCAACUACUAUAUGUUAUCCAAUUUAGCAAUUUAACGGUAAAAUUUAACGAAAAUUAAUAUAUGGUAAAUUUGUUACAUGCGUACAAGUGAGAAAUUUUUUAUGAUCAAAAAAUUAAUUUGAAAUAAAUUUAUUAUAGAUAUAUUCAUUUGAGAUUUUUCAUGAUAUUAAUUUUUAUUUUUAUUUUAUUUUAUUUUAGGCAAGUAAGGACUUGGAGCAGUGUGCUCCUUACAGUUUCCCUAGGAUUUGACCGGUGCUUAUUAACUAGAGUGAGAUUACUGAGUUGCAUGGUUCUUACCGAUCUUCCCUUUCUUUCUCGCGGUUUGAGUCUUUGUCGAGGUUUUGAAUCCUUGAAUCUCUUGUACCGAAUCUCUGUCGUUGAUGAUACAAGAGCGUCUCACACCCAGGGCCCUAUUCUACUUCGUAUCAAUGUGUCCAUCGUCACUUGUCAUUACCAGACUUUGGCUCUAUAAAAAUAUGAUUCAACAAGCGCCGCCGCCCCACCAACCACCCCCCAAAGAAAAAACCAAAAAAAAAAAAAACCCAAACCUGACUUAAUGGAAAAGGCGAUAGUAGUGCUCUAGUCUAAAGACUCAUCACGUAUCUCUCUCUACCGCCCUCAAUUGAAAAAAAUAGCAAACAUUAUUGUAGCCGCUUCAUUUGAAUAAAUCUGGAAUGAGGCCCCAUAGUAGAGGCUUGGUGUUCAUAAAACAUAUCAUAAUACCAUCCCCGUUAAUAUUCACUACAUAGGAAGUGUAAAAAAGACUUCCAAGUCACCCCUGAUACAAUUAUCGACUGACACCAAGGGCCACGUUCUAUUUCGUAUCAACGUGUCCAUCGUCACUUGCCAUUACUAGACUUUGGCUCUAUAAAAAUAUGAUUCAACAAGAGCAGCAUUUCGCUCUUAUAGAUACAUACCUAUAUAUAUAUAUGUAGGUAUGUAUCUAUACAGAGAGAGAUGAAAGCUGUCAAUCAAAAUGAAAUCAACUUUUUAUCUUGCAAAAAGGGCAUUUCUCAAAGAAAUCAUCGUAUGCAAGUUUGGAAGAAGAGGCCUCGUGUGCACCGUCUAGGAAUAUAAAUAAAAGUCCAUAGACUAUAUUCUCACAUAGUCUAUGAAUUAAAUUGAAUAUGUAUUAAAAGUUCAUAAAUCAUAUUGAAAUUAAAAGCUUAUAGACGAUAGCGCGCAUUGAGCUAAAGUUGAGAAAGCACAUUGAAUAAAUUUAAAAUUUAGAGAUCUCCUUGAAUUUUAUGGACUAUUUAUGUUUAUGUCAACGGUAAUUAUGUAUGAAAAGCACAACUGACAUAUAAUCACAAAGGAUGUUCCUAAAAAAGUCCCUACAAUAACUCAUUAUUUUGAUACGAUAUGUACUCUAGAGAGGCAACUGUUGUGCUCAAAGAAUUUGCACAUCAAUAAUAUAUGGAUAAACAUUUGUAGAACCAUCCAUAUAAAUAAUAACUUUUAGAAAAAUGAUUCUCAUUAAAAAAUAUUAAAAAAUAUUUUUUAAAUAUGGUAAAGUAUGAGUAUUUGGAUUAGAAAUUCCGCGCUUGAGUGUAGAAACGGUAAAGUUCGUUUCCGAAUCCUUGGCAGCGAAGUUGAGUCCAUAGACGCUAGAUCCUAAACCUCAAUGCUCCGGUCUCCGAUUUCUGAACCCACAUCUAUCGAGGCGGGGCCCGCGACAUCCGUGCCUUCUACCUCGGUAUAUGAUGAAUCUGUAGGUCUUAUAUACAUUUCAAAUUCAAAUUCACGCAAGUGAGCGCAGGCAAAUAUCGAUGAAAAUGUUUACCAUCAUGAGGAAGAAUAAAGGUGCCCUUUAAUGAAUUUUCUUAAGUACUCUGCAAGUUCCGAGGGUCGACUCCUGCUUUCUUUCUGCCUCCGCCUUGGUAUAUGGUCCACAUACUAAAUUGAGUUGACGACAGACUGGGUAAAGUUGCAUGUUACGUGUUCUCUUGGUCAAACGGUGCAAUGAUCGCCAUUCUACGCCACGUCACCUGGAUGGUUUAAGACGAAUCGUUUGUUUACUUUAUAACAGCUGAUAAUCAUCUCUCUCUAUCUCCACUCGAUUGCUAUUCUACGCUCCCCUUCAUCCGUUUCUUGCGCUCGAAUCUCUUCGCCUCGUUCAUCUAUCGCUCUGUUUCGCUCUUUCUUCAUCUCGGCACACCCAUUCUUCCUCAUCCUCUUCCUCCUGUCUUCCUCCUUUUUCUGUGCUCAAAUCUCUUGGCUUUGUUCGUCUCUUGCUCUGUUUCGCUCUUUCUUCUCGUCGGCUCAACCAUUCUUCUUCCUCCUCCUCCUCCUCCUCCUCCUCCUCUUUAGUUUCUGCUGCUCCUUUUCAUCAUUCUCCCUCUCCGUCUCUCUUUUUUCUCGCUCUUUCUUUCUCAGGAAAAAAAAUCAUAGAAAAAUGUCGGCAGAUCCUGUCGUUGGUAUUGGAUGGGAUGUCUUGAAGAGCUAUGUAGUUGUUCCCAUCGAACGUGGAUUCGGAUACGUGAUCUCCUCCAAGAGAUUCGCCGACCGUCUUCGGGGGGAAGUCCAGAAUCUGGAGAACGAGAAUCAGAGGGUCAAGGUUCUUGUGGAAGAGGCUAGAAGGAAUGUUCGGAAAUUCCUCGAUGUCUUCACGACGUGGGAGGCUAAUGCUGACAAGGCCUUGGAAGAGGCGCAAGAGCUGUUGGACGACGAAAAGGCGACCAAGACUUGCUGCUAUGGGACUCUUCCCGACCCCAAAUCUCGCUACCAGUUCAGCAGGAAGGCCGAGGGCAAGAUCGAGGUCAUUAAGCAACUCACUCAAAAAUGCAGCACAUUCAACGGAUUGAACGACAUCUCCUUCAUCGAUCCUGCUUUCACUUAUUCUGCCUCGACGUCGAUUAAGCUUGGGGAUGAUGGCGUCUUCGAAUCCAGAGCUUUGAUGAUACGGAACAUCAUGGGCGCUCUUGCCGGCAACAGUAAUAGUGUGGUCGGGGUUUAUGGGAUGGGCGGGAUCGGCAAGUCCACCCUUUUAGUGGAUGUUGAAAGGAAAAUAAGCGAAGAUAAGUCGUUCCAUUGGGUCGCUAAGGCUGACGUGUCGGAAAAUCCAGACAUCAAGACGAUUCAAGGAGAGAUUGCGGACGCCUUGGUCCUUACUGAGAUAAAGAACAAAGAGACUAUCAGCGGGCGAGCGAAACUUCUGCACGGGAGGUUGAAAGACGAGGAGAGGGAGAAAAAGGUCCUCAUUAUACUGGACAACCUGUGGGAGGGGCUUGACUUAAACAAAGUCGGCAUUCCUUGCGGACACGACAACAAAGUCAUAGGAUGCAAGUUAUUGUUGACGUCAAGAGAUCGUAAUGUUUUGCGAAGUGAAAUGGGCUGCGACAAGGACUUCCCCCUUGGUGGGCUGGAGGAGGAAGAGGCAAGAAGUUUGUUUGAGAGGCUGGUGGGAGACAAAGUUCAUGAUGGCGAGUUUAAACCCUUGGCGGAUGAAGCACUAGCCAAAUGUGCAGGUGUGCCUUUCCUAAUUGUUGCAAUGGCGAAACGUUUUAAAUAUGCCGAUUUAUCUGAAUGGAAGGACACUUUGAAGAAAAUCGAGAAGUCUAAAGAUAAAAAAAUCAAUGAUUUGAUAAACCAAAUGUUGCAAUGGAAUUAUGAUAAAUUAGAAGAGGAGGUGAAGUCAUUAUUACGACUCUAUGUUGUUUAUGGUAUCUCCAAGCCUUCUCUUGAAAACUUGGUGAGGUACAGCAUUGGUUUGGGUUUGCUUCAAGAAGUAAGCAGCAUGGAAGAAGCUAGAAAUAGAUUGAUCUCCCACAUACAUGCUCUUCAAGCGUCCUCCUUUCUGUUAGACAGUGAAGAUGUUGAUGGUUUCAAGAUACAUGACUUGGUUCAUGAAUUUGUUGUUUCGGUCUCUUCAAGAGAUCACCCUCUUCUCGCGUUGAAAGAUAAGGACGAGUCGAUAACAGAGUCAUCGAAGGACAAGCUCAAUAGUUAUAGGGCGGUAUGCUUUCCGUUUGUUGACAUGGAGGAGCUUCCUCAAGAGUUAUAUUGCCCUGAAUUGCAAAUCUUUUUGUUUUUCACAAACAAUAAAUCUCUUAAGGUCCCAAAUUCAUUAUUUCACUCUAUGAGGAAGCUCAUGGUCUUAAAUCUUACCGGAAUACGUCUCACUUGCUCCCCUUCAUCACCAUUUCAAUUCUUGGAGAAUUUACACACUCUAUGUCUUGACGGUUGUUCAUUAGAUAAUGUAGCCAUUCUUGGCGAGCUGAAAGGGCUACAAAUCUUAGUUUUGUGAACUCCAGUAUUUAUGGAUUGCCAAAAGAAAUUGGGCAAUCGGCAGAGCUGAGGUUGUUAGACUUGAACUAUUGUCCACAACUUGAGAUAAUUGAAUUGGGUGUACUUCAAAGCUUGAUCAAGUUGGAGGAGUUGUACAUGAAUGUUAGCUUUAAUCAAUGGAAUACCGUGGACCAAACUCCACCAAUUAAUGCUAGUCUGAUUGAGUUGAAUCACAUGAAAAAUCUCUGCACUUUGCAUGUGUACAUUCCUAAUCUGAGGAUGCUCCCUGAGGAUCUAAACGUCGGGAAAUUAACCAAGUAUGAAAUCCGAAUAGGUAAUGUGUGCUAUUGGUGGAGCGAGUGCAAAGGAUCAAGGACAUUGGAGCUCAAGUUGGAUCCAUUAGGCAAUGUUCUUCGAAAAGGAUGCAUUCAAAGUAUCCUAGGCAAAAUUGACAAUCUGUUUUUGGAAGGGUUGGACAGAAAUGAGCAAAGUGUUUGUGCGUUAUCCCAAAAAGGUUUUCCAGAAUUAAAGCAUCUACAGGUCAAAGAUAAUUCCUCUAUCCAUUGCAUCCUCCAAUUGCCAUCCAAUGCACAUUUUACGAUGUUGUAGUCGUUAAUUCUCAAUAAUCUCAUCAACUUGGAGAUGAUAUGCAAUAGCCAUAUCUCCUCCAAGUCCUUUAGUACAUUAAAAGUAGUACGAGUCAAAAGUUGUGAGAAGAUGGAAGUAUUGUUUCCUCUUUUAGUGGUGAGAGGACUUCCACAGCUACAAGAGAUUAAAGUUGCCGGUUGCAAGUGAAUGCAGAGGAUUGUAGAUGCCGAUGAUGGUGGCAAAGUUGAGUUUCAUAAUUUGCGUGUAUUGGAAUUGCAUAAUUUGCCAAAUAUUAAGAGCUUUUUCACUAUAGGGAUGGCUUCUUUGAGUAGUAGAUUUCACGACCAAGUUGGCAUUCAAAUUGCAUUCUUCAAUGAGAAACAGGUAACUUUCUGUCAAAAGAAUAUAAUACUUAUUACUAUUUCCUUCCUUUGCUUAUUAGAUGUAACACAGAUUAUGAUGCUUAUUUAUUUUGUUAUUUUCAGUUUGUUAUCUUCCUAAUUACCUUAUCCGUUCAUGCCUUCUCUAUAAUUAGUUAAAGCAAUCUUCCGUUUAAGUUAAUUGUGUAGAAAUCCAACUAAUUGUACAAAAUCCAUGUAAAUUUAGUUUGUGAUAGGUUUUAAAUUAUUUUCAACUAACAUGCUGCAAGUAUAUCUAUAUUUACAGGGUUUCAUAAGGCAAAAUUGACGAGAACUUCAGCAUUAAAGCAUUCCAUAAGUACAGUAAUUUUUAAUCCUUUGAAAUGAAUAUCACUGAAUUUAGUUACCGAACUUUGUUAUUAUUCACAAAAUGUAUAAAAUAGGCGACUCUCUUGAAAACCAAUAUGAAGAAUAGGAAGGAUGAUUGCUUAUAUAUAUAUAAAAGCAACUAUACUAAUCUAAUUGAUGCAUGUCUUUUGUAUGUCGUGUUUAAAUAGGCAUUUAGUCAUUGCAUAGGCCCAAAAAUUAUAAGAAUACAGACUUUUGUGCAUAGGUUUUUUCUUCUUUUUUUUUUUUUAGUGAAAGUACGCCUUGGCAAUUGUAUGACUUUUUGUGCAUGGUUUUUUUUUUUUUUUUACAGACUUUUGUGCAUAGCUUUUUUUUUUUUAAUAGUGAAAAUAGGCCUUGGCAACUGUGUGAUUUUUUAUUAUGCCGCAUCAAAGUCAUCAUUGCAAAUUUGAAAUUCUUGUUGUUGGAAUUCCAAAGUGUUACAUUUCUCUACUCCAUACGGCGGUAUUAAGGCCAAGUUGUUACAAUAUCAAAUGAUGGAACUUGAUGCCUUGAUGGAAAAUCCACCAUCUUAAAGUCCAACUAGUUUUAGAGAGACUCACUUCAAAUGUUUUGAUGGGCCUAGUAUUUUAAUUUGGCACUUGGUAUGUCUUAGUUUAAUUUCCAAAGGUUCAAGUGCUCCACAAUUUAAUCUUCAAGAAAUUUGUGGCGAAAUUUGAGUUUUCUUUUUGUUGAGUCCAUCCAAUUUAGAUUGUGAAUUUUAUGUAGCUUCGAUAUCUUAUCAAGAAAAACCGGUGGGGGUUGCCCAAUCUCGCGAGACCUUAUGUAAUCAUUGCGGUUUCUCUCCAUGUUAAUUUACAAAUCUAAAUACUAAGUCCUUUAAGUAAAUGUCUUCACAUUUGGCCUUUAAAGUAUGUAUAGAUAUAUUGGUAGACAAAUCCACAGUUUGUGUUUAAUAUCCUAUUAAAUUGGUUAUUGAUAGUGAUUUAUUGACAUUAAAAGAAGUCAAGUGAACUAUGGAUAAACAAUUGUCCAAUUAAGGAAAACACGCGUCUAUUUUACACGUGGAAGUAGUUGCUGCCGGUGGAGCCUUUUGGCUGACUAGACAAGAUUGCCCUUUAAUAGUGGCUUGGUUAUAGCUGAAGUUGAUGGUGGGGCCCAAGACUCGGGCCAUAUAUUAGUUUCCCCUUAGUAAAGAGUCGUGGAGAUUUUAGUUGAUGGUGGGUCCCUCAAGGUAGCAUGUCUAAGUAUCUCCACUUCAACCUCGACUUUUCUACUUCGCAUGCAAUAGAGGAGUUAGAUUGGGAGGCUAUGCAAAGAGGCUUUUGGGCUUCUAACUUUCAAGGGUUCUAAAUCUUCAUUAAAGAAUUUUACUCUUGCCUUGAUGCCUUCUCAUUUUAGGCAUGGAAACUAGAGCUGUGAAGAUCUAUGAGAUUAUAAUGAAAUGUUUUUGUUAACUAUAAUAAAUCUCUUCCAACAUUGUAAAGAGGUGGAGCAGACGAAAAUAGCAAUGGAAGGUUGGAUUGUCGAGAAUGACAAUAGUCAAACAAAGAAACGUAAAGAAGUUAAACUUGUUGUAAUAGAUGGGAGUAACAGGCAAUGGCAGGUAGAUGGGAGAUUUCGAGUAACUUUGCAGAAGAAGGGUCUUCCCAAGUUGAAGCAAUGAACUUUUAAGAAGACUAGUUACUUUUUGCCAAAAAUAAAAAAGAGAAGAAAAUAAAGCUGUCCAUUGUAAGUUAUCCUUCAGAAGGAAUAAAACUUGCUCACUAAUCAAAUUAAGUUCCGCAAUCAUUUUCCAAGUAAAGAUUGGACUAUUUAGCAACGACAAUAGUAUAGAGAUUUUUUUCUCUUUUUUUUUUUUAAAAAAAAAAUUCGUUUUUUCCCUUUUGUGGAACUUAAUAAUGCCCCCUCUCUUCUUGGCACACGUAUAUAUUAACAUUUUGGAAGUUCCUAAAUUCGUGAUUUAACUAAAUCACACUUCCAUGAGUGAAUAUUGCAGGUUGUCUUUUCAAAAUUGGAGACAUUAAAUAUCAAGGGCUUGGAUAAUGUCGAGUUUUUGUUUUCCCCAUCCAUGAUUAAAUCUCUCGCACAACUGAGAGAUCUACGAGUAUCUUAUUGCAAGAAGAUGGAGGUGAUCAUUACGAAGGAAGAAGGGUUGUCAUUGGAAAUAUCAAAAACUCUGGCAUUCCCGAUGUUAACUAACUUAAACUUAAAUUGUUUGAAAAGUUUGAUGAGCUUCUCUCGCGAAAAGUGUAAGAUUGAUUUUUUUGUUUUCAUCACUAAAGAUCUUCUUGUGGAUAAAUUCAUCCUUGCAAUACAAAUGGUGACAUUCUUUUCAUCCAUUGAAAAACUUAUGAUAGGUUCAUGAGAAGCUUGGAGUCAGGACUGCAUCAAAUCAUGCUCCACUGCACUCUUCAGUCAAGAGGUACAUGAUUAAUGUUAUGCCAAAAUAUUAUUUAUAUAACAAAAGUAUUAAAUAUGCAAAAGAAAAAGCAUAGCCAAAAUAAGAACUAACUAAAUAACUUACAAAGUGUACCUUGGUUAAAAAUAUUUUAAAGAAAAUGAGUGGUGUACAAACAUAAGUACUUAGAGUUGCCGACAUGUAUGAGUUGCAAUUUUUUUAAUUUUAAUUUCUCUAGAAAUAGUUUCCAUAAAGAUGGUUAAAUAUCUCUUAUCAUACUUGCACAAAGCAUGAACGAGCAAUACAACUGCGAAACAAGAUCUCUAAAAGCUUUUUGAUGUUCAUAGGAAACUCAAAGCUCUUAGCAACCUCGCAUGUAUGGCAUCGACAUUGCACGCAAGCACAUUGAAAGCAAUUUAAGAAACAAUGGAGAGGAAAGUGAUAGUAAUGUUCAAGAAGCUGUAGAUGAAGGGCCUUUAAGAUAGUCACUUGACUUCAUUUGCUCUUAAAAGAUCCCCUUUUUUGCCGUUAAUUGAAGGAAGCUUUAGUCUCCCUUAAUUCCACUAGCAAAAGGUAUUGAGCCCUCUCCGUCGCUAAACUGAGCAAGAAUCUAGGGUCCAGGGCAUCCGAAAUCACUCUUUUAAGUUUUAACAUGAAUUGGAAGACCAAAGUGAUCAUUCAGUGACUUCUCUAAGUGCACUGCAAGUUCAUUUAAUUAUUUCAUCCAUAUUGUAACUUAAAUUACCGUUUCUAAGUGAUUUAACAAAAGCCACGUAUACUAGCUAUUUCAUUCUUGGGUUAGCAAAAAAAAAAGCACCAAUUGUGAUUUGAUUAUUCUGGGAAAUUGACUAAAAUCAAGAGAGGGAGUGAUUUUAUUUAAAUUUGAGAUUAUGAGAGAUAAAUGUGAUUAUAUGAUAGUUCAGGAGCAUAUCCAAAUUACCAUUUUGCCUUGUCAACAAAAUCCGGUCAGAAUUCUCACUUUUUGUUUUGUCUGCAGUAAUUCCAAAAGCCUUCUAGAUCAACAUUUUUUUUUUUUUGUCAAAGAGUCAUCGACAUUUUUGUAUGGACAUUUGUGCAACUUAAGACAGACUCAUUAAUUUCAUGAAUUCGAAAUUUACAUCUUGACAUUCAUCUAUCUUGGAAGUUCAUGAUUAACUCAAUCAUCAAUUCCGUGAGCGAAUAUCGCAGGUUGCAUUUCCUAAAUUGGAGGCAUUAGAAAUCAGUGGCUUGGAUAAUUUUGAGAUGAUAUGGGACAAUAAAGUUGCUGUGGAUUCUUUCCCCAAGCUAAAAACCCUUUGUGUGGUUGAUUGCAAUAAGCUUGUGAGUGUAGUUUGUUCUUUCAUUCUAAGACAGCUCUUGAGCUUGGAAAGAUUGGAUGCAAGAAGAUGUGGUUCGCUUGAAAUUGUUUUUGAACUUCAGACAUUGAAUCGUCUAGAUGGACAUCCUAUUGCUCUUCCAUUAAGAGAACUGACGGUAUCAAGAUUACCAAAGCUAAAGUGCAUAUGGGAUAAGGAAAUCCAUUGUCAAAUAAAUUCCAGUGUCUACGUUCUAUUAGCGUUUCAAGAUGUGAGAGCCUCACCUCUUUGUUUCCAGCCUUAGUAACCAGAUAUCUAAUUCAACUUGAGAAGUUGGCGAUCAAUGAAUGUGGCAUUGUAGAAACCAUCAAGAGUGAAGAAGGACUAUUUCCCAAGUUUGUAUUCCCAAUAUUAACCUCCCUUGAGCUUGAGUGUCUGAGAGAGUUGAAGUGCCUCUACACAAGAACACAUACUUCCCAUUGGCCGGCAUUGAAGACCUUGAAGGUGCAUGGCUGUGACAAAGUGGAGAUACUUGCAUCGCACUCUGAGAAUGAGGUGCAACUUGAUAAACUCCCUCUCUUCUUGAUAGAAAAGGUAUGAUCGAAGAUUACUUCUUUUGCUUUCACAGUGAAUAUUUAAAGUGAUGAUUAGGGUCACAACCAAGCAUCUUAUAUAAGUAGCUCUACGUAGGAAGAUGUAAACUGUAUGACUCACCUUCAAUCUAUAGAAAUAUUUCAACAUUGAAACAUCACAUGUUCUUCAAUUGUUGACUGAACAUUCUUUUCAAAUGUAUGAAAUGCAUUUUUAAUGAUCCCCUUUUAAUAAAGGUUUAGGCUAAUUCCGAGGGUUUAUUUCUCUUCCAAGUGCCACAAAGAUGAAAACACAUGGCAUGUGUCAUGAUCUUAGUAUAGUACAAGUGUCUCAUCUAAUUUAAAUCCUAUCCUGCUAAAAACAGAAAGAUGUGACAUUAUUGUUGACAUUAAUCACUGAAAUUUGUGCACGUGUGACUGUAAUUGAUGCAUAAGUUAUUUUUGCAAGGUAUUUAUCUUUAGAAUCGUGAAUGUAAAGAGUUACAUAAGCUCAAAUAUUUAUACAAGUCAAAUAUACAGAUCAGUGAUAAUGUUUAAUUGAUGUAGGCACAUUUCCUUUCAUUGAAUCACAUGAAACUCAAUAUUUUAUAUAUAUAGUUACCGCGCGCAACAUACAGGCCUUAUAUCCUGAUACAUGAAUGCUCUUUUAACUAAGCUGGCUUUAAAUUCUAAUUUGACUAUUUUCUCAGGGCGCAUUCCCUAAUCUCCAAGAGUUAACGUUGGAUUUAUCGGAACAGAUGGAGAUAUGGCAUGGACAUUUUAAUGAUAGAGAAUUUUUCUGCAAGCUUAGAUUGCUUAAGCUUCGUCAUCUCUCCCAUGAGUCUUCAAUAUCCAUAUGUCGUUUUGUUGAGAGUUCAACCAAUUUGGAAGAGCUAGUUGUAUGUGAAUCUUAUCUAGAAGACCCAAGCAAUAAUGAGGAAGCCAUAGAAGGCACAAUUCAUGACAUGAAAGUAAUAUUACCCUUUUCAAGAUAUAUUCGACAUCUGCAAACUCUAGAUGUGUCACAUUGUGACGAGUUAUCAAAAAUGUUCAGACCGACAAUUGCUGAAAAUUUGGUGACACUCAUUAAAUUGAGGAUAAGUAAUUGUAGGAUAUUGACAGAAGUCAUUAAUGAUGAGAAAGGUGGGGAGGGGUGUAUGGUAGCCUUCAAUCAACUUAAGUCUAUGGAGCUUGAUGGGUUGAUAGGGUUGAGAAGUUUCAGCUGGAUACACUUUGAUGUUCCCGCUCUUGGAAGAUAUCAUUGUGACUAGGUGUCCCAACAUGAAGUUUUUCUCUCAAGGAUCGAUAGGGGCAUCAAAGUUAAAGAGAGUUCAAGUGUCAAAGGAAGUGUGGUUUUGGGCGGGAAAAUUCAACAUCACUAUCCAAAAUAUGUUUGAAGAAAUGGUAUGCACCAAUUACCAAAUUCCAUGCAUUUGGAUGGUUUUGACCACUAAAUGAAUAAUCGCUUUUUGCUAGCUAGAAGUUUACGCUUAACGAUGCAUUUUUUGACAGGGUACGUUUGCUGGAGUAGAGAAAAUGCUGCUGUCUGAGUUCCCAGGGCUGAGUGGAAAAUAGCAUAACAAACUUAGUCCCAUCAAGUUGUCUUGGCAAUUAAAAUCAAUGGUGGUAGAUAAAUCUCCGUUAUUUAUUAACGCUAUUCCAUCCAGAUUGAUGCUUGUCUUAGACAAUUUGGGCUAUUUGCAAGUGUGCAACUAUGAGUUGCUUGAAGAAAUAUUUGAUUUGGAAGGGCUGGAGGUUGUGGAAAGCACUCGAAUACUACCUCAACUAUGGGAAUUGAACUUGGCCAAUCUACCAAAAUUGAGGCGACUGUGGAAUAGAAAUCUUCAAGAAUCAAUGCGCUUUUAUUCUUUGGCUACUCUCAUACUUUAUAAUUGCAAUAACUUGGGACAAGCUUUUACUUCAUCAAUGGCUCAAUGCCUUGCCAGUCUUCAUCAAAUGGAAAUAAAGGAGUGUGGUCAAAUGGAAGAAGUGAUCGUAGAGGAAGAACGGCAGGGAAGUGCAGUGGAGAAGAUUACAUUCUCGAAGCUCCGGCAGAUGAAAUUGGAAUGGUUGCCCAAUUUGACUUGUUUCCUCUCGACAAAAAAUCAUACGCUGGAAUGCUCCAACUUACAAGUGCCGAGCAUUAACCAUUGCCCCAAGAUGAGAAGUUUGACUGGGCAAUCUUGGAUGGAGAAUGACCAUGGCACCCCUGCAUUUUUCACUUCCCAGGUCAGUCUUUCAAACAAAUGCAUCUUUGGCAUUUCAUUUGGAACAUGUUCUCAUAGUACUGGACAAUGCACGGUAUGAUGCAAAUUUUGUGCUUUGUGUGGGUUUAUAUACAUAAUCUUCUAAUAUUUAAUAAUAAGAUUAAAAAUAUUCUAAUCCUCAAUAAAUAUUACUAUUAUAUGUACAUCUCUAUAUUCUAUUAGAAGUGUUAAGUCGUUAUAAGUUCAUAAUUCAUAUCAUGUGCAGUACUUUAGAAUUAAUUAGUGAGGUUUUUAAAAAGGUGAUCACAACAACCAUAUAAAAACAUUAACUUUUUGCAAUUUCAAUUAUAAAGAACUAAAUAGCAAACACAAAAUAGCAUCUAAAAAUGGCAGAAAAAGUAUUAAGUAUUGCCCCUUCAUAUUUACUUGCGUGGAAGCAAAUUAGCGUCGUUCUAUUUAACAUGAAUAAAAGGGAAAAAAACUUCAUAUUUAUAAAAUCCAAUUUCCCAAAUUGCUUAACUAUUACAGCUCAUUAUACCAUAAUCAGUGAGUUGACUUUUUUAUUUCUUAAUAAUCAUCAAUACUUGAGCUAGGUCUUGAUAAUGAGAUAAAUAAAAAUAAAAAGGUCAAUAUGCAUGAAGUGGUUUGCCUUCUCCAUUCGUAAAUCAUUCUCCAUUCGCUAUACUCCAGCAACCUAUCAAAUUACGUACUUGUAUUAUAGAAUAAAUAUUAACUCUAGACUAUUAUAUUUAGUGAUAAUUAGUGUGAUAGUGCACACAAUCUAUGUUAGGCAAGAGAAAAUGUAGAUUACAUUUUCCAGAAAAAGAAAUGGCGAGAAAAAGGAAAAAAUAAAGAGAGAAAAUGACAACUGGAUAAUAAAUAGUAGCAAUUCCGUGGGCGAUUACUGACAUUGCAAGUCUUAUUUCAUAACUAAAUGACAAAAUUUAGUCGAUGUCCAAGCUAAAAUAAAAAUUUGAAAAAUUUAUCAAAUCAACAACACCACCGAAGGGAAAGUAUUAGGUGCAUUAAUUACAUAGCAUAGGAUUCAUAUUAAAUCAUCUGCAGAUCGACGCGUGUCAAUCGAACCAUCAAAAUUUUUGCUCCCCCCUCUCUUCAAAUAACGCCCCGUUACUGGAAAGCUCAACUCUGCUCUUCCUAGUGUGGCUUUUCUCUCUCGCUCUCUUUCCUCUGUGAAGGUGCAUCUCUAUACAUGAACCACACCUCGGCGUUGGCCUCCGUCGGUUGCGGUGCGCUCGCUGAACAACGGAAAAAAAAAACAUAAAAAGGAAGAAAUUAGACGAAGUCUAUUUGAUGUUUUAGCUUCUCUCUCCUUAAGAACUGUUCGCUCUGUCAUUUCGUUUCACCUUCCUCCUCCUCUUCGCGACGAGGGGGAAAAAAGAAAGUGAACCAAGUCUACACAGUCAAGUAACAAUAACUCUUCUUCCUCCUCCUUACCCCCCAUCCUCUACCUUCUUUUUUUGGGGCGAUUGAUAGGGUGAUCCAUCCAAUGGUUGAAUCGGAAGCUUCGGAAUCGCUUCUCUGAAGUAUGCCUCCUCUCUACACGCGUGCAUGUGUGGGUUUUGAGCAAUUACGCAAACUGGAGCUUGUUGCUUUUGGUGGGCCAAUGGGAUCUCCGAUGCGGAAGCGAUUUCAGCAUUGAUUCAGCUGGGGCAUUGAUUCUGGCGAAGAAAAAUUAAAAAAUCUUCUCUUCAGCCCUCCCUUCCUCCUCCUUCGUCCACAGCAGCCCAACCUCCGCCCCUCCUCCGCCGUCGCCCACGGUGGAGUUACCGGCACCUUGAUUAGGAUGACCCUCACUAUGUCUAAGCUGAGCAUGGCCGACUUCCUCUGAUUUGUCCGUCUCAUUGUUCUACAGAUCUCGAAAUUAGGCUGACCCUCACUAUGCUUGCGUUUUUUCUUAUUCUAAUACUUUUGCAUAAUUCUUUCUAUUGUUGCCUGCGAGUAGAAUGUUUAAUUAUGAGGAGUAUCUAUAUAUUUGUUUACUUUUUUAUCGUAACAGUUAUCACUAAUUAUUUAUUUACUUCUAAUGUCAUUUGCAUGUAUAAGUUGUCAUGUAAUAAUAGGUAUCCCCGCACAUUUUGAGGAUAUUUCAAAAACUUAUUGUUACACUGAAUCGAGAAUACUAAUAAAUUUGGGGAAGCAUAAAAAUAGUCAUAUGAUUUUUUGGUAGUGACAGGUUGUGAUAGCGUUAAUUUCAUUUUUGUGUCAAAUAUGCGCUGCCUGUAAUACUAAGUUGCUCCCACAUUGUUAGAUAAUUUCAAAUACUCAUCAAAAUGCUCAAUUAAGAAUAUUAAUAGACUAAGGGAAGUGUGGAAAGUCAUUUUGUUUUUUUGGUUGUGAGAAGUCCUAGUUGCGUUAACUUUAUUGUAACCAAAUGAAAAAUAUCAAUACUUUGCUUUUUAGUGGACAAUCAUAUUGUGGUCAUAACACGGUAAAAAAAGAAAAGAAAAAAAAACACAGUUGAAUUUCUCCAAACAAACGUAUUGUGGUCAUCCGCUUCUUUUUUCAGUUCUUUUUAUUUUUCUUUUAGUCUCCAACACCCGAACAAAACUCCAAAAUCCUCAAGACAAGGCAUCAAUUAAGGAUAAGAAAUUGGUUACCAUUUUUUGUGAGUGGUUGGCCCGCUAGCCCACUGCAAGAUUCUACCACAAAAGUGAAUAAAUAAUAUUUCAAGCAAAGUUAUUAAUGGUCCAAUGUAGAAUUAGUAAGUUGGCCCAACUUGCUAUUCUAUGAGAUCAUAAUAUAUGUUAAUUAUUCCAAUCAUUAUAUUGUCCGUGCCUAUUACAUAUUUAUUUUUUCUAAUACAAAAAUUUUUCUGCACAUAAUAAAGAAAAAACUUGUAAACAGUUGAAGUAAUUAUUAUUUUUAUCCGGUUCACCAUCUAAUUUGCAUGAUGCUCCUCAUUUGUGAACUUUAUUAAUUGAAGAUUCAUAAGUAAUGUUCGCCUAUUACAUAUUUAUUUUCUUUCAAUACAAAAAUUUUUCUGCACAUAAUAAAGAAAAAACUUGUAAACGAUUGAAGUUAUUAUUAUUUUUAUCCGGUUCACCAUCUAAUUUGCAUGACGCUUCUCAUUUGUGAACUUUAUUAAUUGAAGAUUCAUAAGUAAUGUUUCGCAAUUGGUAUUAGUGCUGAAUAAGUAGCGGUGCUCAUAGUAAAUAGAGGAAAUAAUUUCUAUCGCAGGAAGACACAUUUGAUGAGUGUCGGACUUGAGUUGCCAAUCAAUUGUAAGUGAAGAUGCACAAAUCUCACUUGUGCUCCCAUUCCAUGGCUUAUUGAUCCCAACCAUUGAUCUAUUUAAAAAGUUAUUUCUAGAAUUUAUUACUCAAUGCAUCAAUGAUUGAUGAUGAUUAAGGCACCAUAUGGCGAAAAAAUGGGUUAGUAUAUCUCCAUCCUUUCCAUAUAUACAUGGACAUACUUAUAUAAUCAUCUUCCAUGCCCAUGCUAUUAAAAAGCAAAUAAGCAUCAUUGUACAAGAUUUCUUAUGUCUGUACAAAUAAACGCAAUGUCCAUGCAGCUGAUUCACUUUUGCUAAUAAUUUUUUGAUUAUUCUAAAUCUACUAGAGAUGAAAAUGGGAAGUUAAUUUCUUUUAAUUGAUAAGAAAUAGAUGUAGAACCAGCUUAUACCUAUCGCUGAAGCAUCAUUAUAAUGCACCUAUCAGUGCGGCAUUGGAGCCAACAUAAGAAAGAGAGAGGAAUGACAUGUAUGCAUAUCUCGAUUGGAUUGCAAUGUGAAGCACAUGCAUCAAAGCUUCUUUGAACCAUGCUUCAGCUACAUUCAUUCCUUGAACCGAAUAAAUUUAAGAAAUUCUUACCUUAUCUAAUGUUGCAUUAUCAAAAAAUCAGUGCAAGCAACUUUGAUAAUGAUCAAUGCAAACAAAUGUGAAAGUUGGAGAAUCCAAGUAUUCAUCAUGAACUUUCCAAAAAUUAAAGGGAGAAGGUAUUGCUAGUAGUAAAUGUCAAUUGAGGCACUUAAAAUUCAAUGCUCAAUGUACUAUUGAUUAUAAAUGCAUUUAUAAUUUCAUGCUUGUUGCAAUGCAAUAUAAUUUGCCUUAGUCAUUAGUCAAUUUAAAUGAAAGCAUCAACUACUCUCUUUUUUUCACUAACAAGCUCUCGCAUACUCAUGUUUUGUGAGAGUGAGGGAAGUUUAGAAAUUCUUUCUUUGAGGUCAUAACUCAAUGUGAUCAUAUUCAUUAUGACAUUUUUCUCAAUAUGCUAGGUACAAUGUGUCCAGCUUAGGUGGAUUGUUCUCUCCCAUAUGGACAAUUUAAGCAAAAUAUGGAGUGACGGUCCUCAAGAAACUCUCACUUUUGACAAUUUACAGAAAGUGCAAGUUCACAAUUGUGGGAGCCUUGAAAGUGUGUUUCCGCAUUGGGUGGCUACAAGUCUAACCCAACUUAAGGAACUUCAAGUGGAGUCUUGUGGGAUUGAGGAAAUAGUCACUAGUGGGAAUGAGACUCCACAUUCCAAUACUACUCAAGAUCUUUUCCCAGAAUUAACCUCUCUAGUGUUACUGAUAUGCCACAACUUAAGAACUUCUGCACCAACUUGCCCACUUUGAAAUGGCCAUUCUUGAAGGAAUUGCGAGUGACUCACUGUGGUAAAGCAAACAUGAUGUCUUCUGUAGCAUCUAUGAGCAAUUGGGCUCAAAAAGAUUAUCAAUGGGGCCUUUCAGACCAAGAAGCACACUCUUUAUUUGAAAGGGUAUGAUUUCAGCUGCUCUCCCUUAGUUUCUAUUUUGUUCUUUAAAGCACUCAUUGAUCUCAUAUCCACUACAUAAUCAACCCACGUUAUAUUGCUAUAGAAAACAUGAUCUCUCUAAAUUAUUAGUUUGUUCACAACAUUAAAAUAUUUCUAAUAUCUUGAGUAUACUUUUCAUUUGUGGACACCCAUAAGAUAUUUCAUAAAUUAUAAUUACAAAAAUAAUUAUAGAUUUUUGUUGAAGGCACAAUAUAUUCCUAAUCUAGUCUAGUGGUGCUCCUUGGGGAAAUCAAUGAAAAUUUGACAUGAGGUCCACUUCAAUGUUGACACGUGUUGCACAUUUGAACUUUUCUUCUCUAUUUUGUCUUCUAAAAAAUCAAAAAAAUAAAAUAAAAAUCAAUACAAACGUUUAACAAAAAUAAGAUUAGUACCUUAAUGCACUAUUUUCUAUUGUAUUCCUUAAUUGAUCUCAUCUUAUACAUAGUCAUCCUGUUGUAUCACUAUAGACAACCCAAAAUUCCUUACCUAUGAGUUUGAAGACAAUAUAAGAUAUUUUAUUAUAUCUUAGGCACACUUUUAAGUUUAUGGACCCAUAUGUUUCAGUAAUAUCAUAUGUGCAUCCCAUUACAUAAGUUUCCGAAGAUGACUAAUUUUAGUUGACAAGAUAUUUCUAAUAAAAGAUGAAUUUGAUGAGCUUGGAGGGAUCUUGACAAGUUCACUCUAUAAACUUAACCAUACCAACUUCUAUUUGAGACUUUUAAAAGCUUGAGACUUGAAUGUAGGGCUCUUGAGAUAUAAUGAACUUUAAGAAGAUGGCCACCUUCCUUGUGAAUCAUCUUAAUAGGUUUACUUUUUACAGCACAUGAUUUAUUGUCAAAACUUUGCUGAAUUUACUUCUCUUGUUGUAUUGGCAAUUCGACAGGAUUUUCCCAACUUGGAGAAACUUUUUUUAGUCAAUAACAAUAUUCAAAUGAUACAAGAUGGAAAUUUUCCGGAUGACAUGUUUAGCGAGCUAGGAGCACUAACACUGGCAUGCUUUCAUGAUAAAAAGGCCGUCUUUCCUUCCAUAUUCCUCCUAGAGAGAUUUCAGAAUCUACAGAGCCUUGAGGUCUUCUGUAACUCCUUUGAAGAUUUAUUCCCGGACGAAGGGUUUGUUGAAGAAGGGAAACAUCCAAUGCUUGAAAAUUUAAGAGAAUUUAAAUUAAACAAGCUACGCAACUUAAAGUCUGUGUGGAGAGAAGACUCUUUAGUGUCGAAAAUUCUUUAGAGCAUCGAAACAUUAAAGGUUUGGGAUUGUCCUCAUUUGAUGACAAUAUUUCCGACCAUGACAUCCUUCCGGAAGCUGACGGGCUUAGAGGUGAAGAAUUGCGCUAGAUUGGUACAUCUAAUAAUAGCUUCAACGGUCACAAAUUUGGUGCAUUUCAAAAGGAUAACUAUAAUAGAAUGUGAAAGAAUGAAAGAAAUAGUAGCUGACGAUGGAAAUGGAAAAGGAAAAGUGAUUUCUUUUGGGAAUCUUUUGGAUUUGACACUCCAACAUCUACCGAGCUUAGAAUGCUUCUCCUCCAUUCCGAGUUGCAAUUUUACGUUCCCAUCCUUAUGAAGUAUUGGAGUAGAAGAGUGCCCGAAAAUGAAGACAUUUUCUAAGAGUAUGCUAAGCACACCACGACUAAUUUGGGUGAGACUAUUCAGAUACAAGUUGGAUGGGAACUGUGGGGAGGGUAAUGAUCUUAAUACAACCAUACAGAAGUUAUCAGCAUAAACAAACGCAUAGAAUUUGUAAGAUCCAAUUGACGUCAUUCUCUCAUCCAUUUUUAUUUUCUUUUUAUUUAUUUAUUUUUGGCAGUGCCGUAAGUUUUGAAAAAUUUUCUUCUUGUAACUUUUCUGUUAUUGAUUCCGUCAUAUCAGCAUCACCGUCAACCCUAUCGAUCGAUCUCGGCUCAUCCUUCACUAAACAGAAGGAAGCAAAGCAGGGCUCUCCUUCUCCUUCCUGACGCCAGAGGCUCUCUCCAUCUUUCUUCUUCCUCCUCGGUGGAGCAAAACUGGGGGGAACCUCUGCUGCCUUCACCGAGGACGGAGCGAAAAUGAAGCAUCAGGAAUUGCCAGGACUGCGAGACUGCGAGAAGCGAAGCUGCACUUAGCGGAGCGGAGCCAAGUAGAUUCAGUCGUCCGCUCACUUCAUCAAAGCAGAAGAAGAUCACACUCUCUCUCCGCGUUUGCAUCCGACAAAUCGUAAGUUCACGUUUCUUCCGAUUUUGGUGUCUUAUUGCGUGUGAAUUAGGUUGAAGCCGGAAGUUGGUUUCGUAGAGACCUUCCUCAAUCCUCGCCUCCUUCUUCUAUGGCUAGGGCCCUUUUCUUCAACCUAGCAAUUUUAUUGCCCCUAAAUCCACAUCUUCUGUGCUUUCCUCGCGAGCAUUGGCGAGAGAAACGCGUCUGCGUAGGACAUCUCUGCAUGUUUGAGCUCCCAUCGAUGGAGAUGAUAUAGGGAGAGAUAUCUCUCGAGCAUCAUGAAACUUGAAAAUAUUCAGAGAGAAUUCCAUGCCUUGUCAAAAAUAUGAGGGGGUCACUUUUACGCCUUGUUCUCAAUGUACUCCAGACUGCUCAUCCUCAUGAGAAUUUCUUGUGGUUUGACGUGUCUUUGUUUCUGCUUGCGUAACUCUCUUUCGCAUUGUUCUUUUCAAAUUCUAGAAUAAAUUUUAACAAGCCCUUUUACUUUGUCUUGAUUGGUUACGAGAUGCUGCAACGAUAAAAUUUGUUUCCAAUUUAUGCUAAAUAUUUUCAUAGCAAGUCAAACUGAUGAAGUGUGCUUAAAUUGCCUCUUCACAGAACUGUCCCUCUCGGUGCUUUGCUUGCCAUCCUCUUGUGGUCCAAUCCAGGUACAGUUGAGGCGCCGUCGUUGUCUCGCGUUUCUUUUAUGUAGAGCAAUAACAUGGUUUUAGCUUCAGUUUUCAUUCGGUUCCUUUCAAAUUUAAUUCGUACCUAUUCUGCUUCUGCAUUCUGCAUGUCUGGUCAAUGGGAGGGAACUCCCGGUGUUCAUCUUUUUUGUUGGGGGAAUGGUUAUUGGAAAAAGCGAAGGGUGUCUUCGAGCUUCUACCAUUGAGAAGGAUAAGGUUGUGUUUUUAGAUGUGCAUCCAUUACACAAGGUUUUCGCGGCUUGCGGUACUUGUUAUGAUAAGCUUUUGGAUAGUGGAUGCAUCUAGAGUUAGGUGGUCCUAUUGAUCAAUCGUUCGCCCUUUUUGAAGUCGAUGCAACUAGGAUGGUCAUGUAAGGAGUGUGCUUCGUUUCAUUGGCUAUAAAAGAAGAUGUCAAUGCGAGUAGAACAAUGUCGACAGUCUUUUUGACGCCUUGUUCUCCAUAAACUCCGGACUGCUCAUCAUCAUGAGAAUUUGGAGGGGUGACUUGCGGUUUAACAUAUCUUGUUUCUACAUUCCUAACUCUCUUUCUGUCUUUCUCUUCAAAUUCUAGAACAGUUUCUAAGAAGCUCUUGUUUUUAUCUUGAUUGAUUACUAAUGAUGUGGGGGAUACUUUUGACUUCUGAUCUAUGCUGAAUAUUUUCAUGGCAAGUGAAAUUUAAGUUGCCGUUUUUCAAGUACUAGGAGGACCAAACAGUUAGCGGAUUAAGGCAUCCUGAGCUGGUUUUUUUAUGGUCCCACUCACCCAAGGCCUCUCACUGUUUUUAAAUCGGCUGAUAACUUUCCCAAUGGAGUACCCUUUUUCGAGGUGGUGAUGAGGCCCUCUUAUGUUAAGCAUGGCUUGGUAUGAUCCCACGCUUAUUGACUCAGACUGGCAAUGUCCGAAAAUCAAAUAUAUCGAUGCUUUUUAGAUCUUUGCUUAUAAUCUAGUGUAUUUCCAAGUUUACUUCAUUGUAUAGUAUACCACACGAUACAUUAUUUCCUUGAAGUGUCUGCAUUUCCAAGUUUACUUCAUUGUGUAGUAUACCACAUGAUACAUUAUUUCCUUGAAGUGUCCGUGGGUGGUUGGAGGUUCGAAAAGAUAACAAUCGUCUUCUUCUUCUUGUUGGAUAGAUGUUGUUGGAAAAGCAAUUGCUGAGGCGUCUUAAGAAUAGAAUCCAAGUUCUCUAAUAUGGAGCAAUCGGACAAUGUUAUUCAAUGCUGUAAAUUUAGAAUAUAUAUGUAAAUCACACCAGGAGACUAGUUGAUAUGGACAAGCAAAUUGCAAAGAAUUGUUGCUGCCUCCAUGACUAAAGAGAAAGACCUGAUAGAUAAGGGGAUGGCUUGUUAUGAUUCUGAAAUUUCAUUGUAGAUCUAAUGAUUGAUAAUUUUGUUUUCAAAUGGGAGAUACUAUUGUACUUCGUUAUAUUAAUCAAAUUUAGGGGGGAAAAGAUGAUUUUACUUUGUCAAAUUGAACCAACGGUUUGAUAAAAACCUUAUUUGAGCUGCACUUGAAAGAAUCAAAUAACUUAGGUUUAAAUUUUCAAGUCUAUCGAUGAUCCAGUGAUCAAUGUAUUUGCUUUUUCCCCUGUGAUUGUGAUUCGUGUGUCUGAAAUUGAUAUGUUUUAAAUAUAUAUAGGAUCUGGAAGGUUUCUUCUGAAUGUAUACCCUUUUGCAUUCUCGGAGCAUAGAUUUGACCUUGACUUUGGAUUGAUGGCUUUCGUUAUAUGGUUAUUGUCUAUUAAACUCCUGAAACUAGCAAGUAAUGCCUUAAACUCACGACAUGUACGAUUUGAUUCUCUCAUUAGGGUAUGCUUAUGUCUUGGUCUGUUCUUCACUAUAUGUUGGUUUUUCAACCAUGUAGAUGGGCAGUGUGCUCCUGUUCAAUCCAUCGCGUGACAUAUUCAGGACAUUAAGCAAAUUGCCACUCUCGGGUAUUUG